rnacentral:lncRNA from 1 species
CUAAGAUGACAAGGAUGAAAUGAGCCUUUCCUAACCACUGGAUCAUCUAUAUUGUUUGUAAUAAAGGUUCACAAAUAUAUAUACAUUUAGAUAUCCAUGGCAAAAACAAAAUGUUAAAAUAAAAUUUUGAUAAAUUAAUUAAUUUUAAUUAAUUUCUAAUUGAUUGUUAAAACAUAGAAAUUAUCAUGAUAAUUUUCUUAACAAGUAUUUAUGUAUAUCUUUUAUGUAUUAAUUAAAUAUAAGAGAAAUCUAAAUAUUCUAAAAUAAAUCAUAUAUGUAUCGUUAUUUCUUUUAUAUCCUUGAAUACAUUUAAAUUAAAUAGAUCAUUAUUUUAGCAUUAAAUAUGUUUUCAAUUUCGAUAUGUUAUUAUCAAAUAUUAAAAACUUUAUUGUACAAAUAUUACUUUCUUCACUAAAACAACUUUAAUGUGCAUAUUAUUACUUAUUUUAUCAUUUCUUAAAAACACUUUUAACAUUUUUAUGGGUUUUGAUCAAUUUCCAUCGCACCAGAAGUUUUUGUGAAAAUUUCCUUAGAUAUUUCUUGAUAUAUUUCGAUAUAUCCAUAAAAUCCACCUAUUGAUAUUUCCAUAAAAACUGAUAUUUUUAUCCUUCACUAUGUCUAUAGAGAAGAUUGUUAUAGAGAAAAUUGUGAAGGGCAUAUAUUUGCUCCUAUUGAUGAUAGGUUUAAUAUGCAGUUCUUUGUUUUGAAAAUUGAUUGCUUUUAUAAUGGCAGUAGUUCUGCUAAUAUUUUUUUUCCUUCUUAACAUGUGACUCUGUAUAAAAUUAUCCUUAAUAUACAAAACUUUCUUAUAUGUUUAGAGGCUUGUUGAACAUGAAUUCUACAAACAAGAUAGUUCUAUGUACUUUCUAUUGUUGACAUCCAAUUUCAUACUAGCAAUGGACCUAUGACGAUAAGCACUUUGACUAUCGUGAUAUGCAUAAUUAAAUGAUAUGCAGAACUUGUUUCAUUAUUAUCUCCACCCUUGUGGUUGUGUCAUCGAUUAUUGAUGCUGCAAGGAGGUAAUUACCACCGACCUAUUGCUGGAAAUAUUCCUCACUACCCUGUCAAGGGCCAACACCACUCCUACUGCUCUGACAAUGCAGAGAGGACACCUACUAUCUAGUACCCAUAUUAGGAUAGAAGCCUUUACAUCAUGAGGUCAAUGGGGGAGCUAUCUUGAGUACCCUCACAUGCUAAGGUGGGCCACUUCCCUUUGUCCCCUGGUUGGCUUUCAACCCUUUGCACUCUAUCAAGACGAUAUGUCAUGCCCCAAAACCCACUCCAAGGGCAUGACAGUCAUUUCACACCUCAAACUCGAAGGUUCAAAGUCAAAACGACACAAGUUUUCAUCUUGUAAAUAGAAAUUACCAAUUACCAAAUUGUUGUUCAAAGUAGUAAAAUAAAUAAAUUCUAAAAUCUCCAGAUAUCAAUUUAUAAAAACCAACACAUCAACUCAAGUGUUAUUGUCCAAAUAACUUCAAACUCAAAUAAUUCAAAUUGAAAAUAAAUUUUAACAUUUAAAUAAUGUUCAAAAUAAAAAGAGUUUUAACAAAUGUCCUAACAAGCCAAUUUCUCCUCCAAUUUCUCCUCCUAACCGUCACUCCUCGCCUGAAUUGAGGGUACCUGGAAAAUUAUCAACAAAGGGGGAUGAGCUCAAAGCCCAAUAAGGAACAUUAACAUAGUUUCAUAGAUCAAUUAUUUUCAAUUAUACUUAUAAACAGGAGAUAUAACAUAUAUUGUUUUGAAUGAUCUAUUUUCAGUUAUACAAAUAAUGAUCUAUUUGAUUGUUUUGAAUGAGUUCAAACCAGACAUGAUCCUUUUAUCUAUCUUCUCAUGCAUGUAUUGCUAUCCUUUGGAAUUGUCAAUUCCAUGCUGUCUGUUGUGAUAAAAUCUUAGGUCCAAGGUUUAGCCAAGAAGGAGAUGGGAUAGGGAAAUACUAAAGAGGAGAGAACAUGGAACUUUUAUUUUUUUAUUUUUUUGGCUGGUGAUGCGUGUGAUAUGUGAUGGUAUGAUAAAGUCUUGUCCAGGAAAUUUUUUUUUUUUUGACAAAUUCUUUAUAUUUUAACCUUUCUUAUACUACACAUACUUUAUCGGUGUGUAUUUCAGACUUUGCAUGGACAUAAAGCAGGAGAAAAAUUUUCAGGUCACUAAAGCGUAUGGAUUCAUAGUCAGGGGAGAGCUAGAAAUUUAAUUUAGAGGCACCCUUUUGAGAAUAUACGAAUAGAAAAAUGAAAGAAUUAAUUAUAAUACAAAAGGUUGAUUAUGCUUAUAUUCAAUAAUUUAUCAUUAAUGGGAUUUAAUGAUUUAUCUAUUUAUCUUCAUUCAGGUAUCUAAUUAAUUUUAAAUAUAUGUUUUUUUUUUUAAAUCUUAUAUAAAAAAUUUAAAGAAUAUAAAUUAUUUCUUUUAUUAAAAAAGAGAUAAAUAGCAUCCACAUUAAGUUAAUAUAGAAUUGCUUUGGAAACUAUUCUUAUUUUUUAAUUUUUUUUUUCCUUUUUUGUAAUCUUUUUUCAAAUAUUGGAAUAGAAAGCAUUAAUGUGAGAUUCAUCUAAGUAUUAUAAUUACUUAUAUUAAUCAAAUAGCAUAUGUCCCAGCUUAGUGGUAGAGCAUUUUAUAUGGAUACACAAUAAAACCCUAGUUUGUAUCAAAUUUUUUCAGCUUGUCCUAGCUUAGUGCAUUUUUGCUUCCAGGUGGUGUAGGAAAGGAUGAAAAACUUCUGCCAUUUAUUGGGCUAGUACUAGAUGAAUUGAAGGUUCCUGUGCAAAUUGACUAGUAAUAUGUUUAAAUGCUUUAGAAUUGUGUGAAGAAGUAUUAUAGGUAUUUGUAAUCACUACAAUCCAGUUUAUAUGACCAUUGGACCUUUUAUGGAUUAAGUUCUGCUGACUCAAGCACGUUAAACUUUAAUAUUAGUUUUCCUUCUAAAUUCCACACCAUCUAUAUGAGUCACUUGUGCAUGGACCUAGUAAGCUCUGCUACUAUUUAUUACUCAUUUUGGUGUUAUUAUUUUCUUUUCCUUUCAGUAGCCUUCUGGGCUGUCUUAGGGCUGAUGACCUCCUGUUUAUUCUAGUAUUUUGGAGUUCUUGUAUGUCAGUAGCUACAACUUCUCAAUAUCACUAUUGGAUUUAUUGUUUUUAUCAAUUCCUUCCUUCCAAACAGAAUGAUUCCUUCCUUCAUGCCCUAUUCUUUGUGCCUGCAAGUUAAGCAAAUUGCUAUGCUGUUGCUCCUAAAGGCCCUUGAUCGGUAACAAAGCAUGAUAUAGAACUACCCGUGAAACUUGGUCCAAAUUAUGACUGAAAAGAAAAUGUGUAGGAAGAGUAAGAAGAAACUGAUUUUUUUUCCCUUUCGCCGCCACCCCACUCCCCUCCCCCCCACCCCCCCUCUUUUUUUCCUUUUUUUUUAUAAAGAUAGCCAAGAGUAAGAUGAAACUGAUAUUGAAACACAAUAUUCUUUCAAUCAAUUAAAUAACAAAAUCUAUAAGCACAUUUAUUUUGUAGGAUCUCAGUGAAUGAGUUCAGGUUUUAAUCCUACUGAUCACAAUGCUAAGUUGCAAGGUUUUUUUCUUUUUCUUUUUUAAUAUUCUGUUGCAUUAAUAUAUUAAGCACAAGGAAGGAUGAGAAAUUCUUCAUUACACAAUCCUCUAUACAAAGUUUGAUCAAGAAGGUGGAUUUGUGUAUACCGGUUCAAUAAGUCAAAUCUAGCUAUAAUUCAUGAGGUAUAAAAUCUCCUACAAAAGAAAGCAUAUGUCUAGCUCCAUGUUUUGCUAACUUAUUUGCAGCAUGAUUGCCUAAGCGAGGAACCUGAGGGGUACAUCUUAACUCUGAAGAAAUAUCAAUAAUUUGGCAUAACCACCCACGAAACUUCCAGAAUCCUCUUCUUUACCAUAUUAUGACAAUAGUAGAAUCGCCUUUUGAAAGGGCUAGAAUUUUUGCCUUAAUGGCUAAAUCUCGACCUGCAUGUUUAGAGGUACUCUUAACACUCUGCGAAAGUGAUCCCUAAGUAACCUUUUUGUUCCUAACUACCUUGGGUUGCCCAAAGAACAUCUAUCAAAAUGAAACGGAGCAAAACCCAUUGAAGAUGGUAGUCAUUCAAAAAGUGUCUCCUUGGUCAACCUCGUGGUUCUGCAAACUAGGUUCCAAUCUAGUAGAAUAAAGCUUAAAAAUCCUUCAUUGGUGGAAGCCAACAAGGAAGAAGACAAGUAAAAUAAGUUCUUAAUUGUUUCUUGAGACCUCUACCUAUCCUUAAAAAUUCUUGCACUCCUUUCCUGCCAAGUAGUCCAAAUCAAAGUGAGGUUAGCAACGCGCCAAAGAUUCCUGCCUCGAGGAAGUCCUCCAAAACCUCUGAAGAACAUAAUCAGCAUUGCCUCCUCCUGUCCAGGUGGUGCCCAAUCAAUUCCUACAAGUCGAAACAUUCUACAUCAUGAUGUCAAUGCUACGGGGCAAUGUAAUAGAAAAAUGAUCUAGAGACUCCCUGCUCAUACACACCAUUCCAAGCUAAGUGCUUUGUAUGGUCUUCUUUUUGCCACAAGUCAUGCAAAGUGAAGACUUUUGGUGAGACUUUGAAUUUCCAAUUGAAAGUUGCAGGAAUAAAGGAGACUACAUUGAUAAAAAUAGAGAUAACCUUAAAGAGCGAACUAACUGAGAACUAUCCUAAAGAUGUCAAAGACCAAACUUUCCAAUUAAGAAAAGUGGGUGACAAAUAGACAUGGGCAAAAGAAAACAUUAGAUGAGCUAGUUCCUCAAUUUCCUGCAAAUUUCUUGUUUUCCACUACUUUUAGCCAAGGAUAUUUUGACCAGAUGGAUUUCUAGGUUAUCCACUAAAUAGAACCUACAAAUUUAAUCCUAGUGCUUCUUAUGAGAAUUAUGUUAUAGGGAAGUUCCUGUAAAGUAUUUUGGUUGCACUUUUUACUGCAAAGUAGAAUCCUUGAAAAGAAAUUCUCAUUAGCCGAAGUUCAGUUGUCCAAGCCUGUCAUGUUUGUUGUAAGCCUGAGCUAUCAUUUCAAUGUUUCAAUUGAUUACAAUAUAAAAAUUUCCUGGAAAGCUUUACUAGUCCAAUAGUCUUUUCAUGUUUAAUGGUGUAACCUCACUUAUCUCAGGAAUGUUCAUUUUUAAGAUAAUUUAUUGCUAUGUGUAUUUGAGUUCAUAAUAAUGGAUAUGCACCCAAUGCAUGGUAAGUGAUAACCAGUUGCAUCCAUGGAUAAAUAUUAGUGCAUCUGUAGUAAUGAUGACAAUCAAGAACCUAGUUGUGGGGUUGUCUCUAUGAUGAGGAUAUAUCUCCAAAAUAUACAUCAAGAAAAGGAAUUAGUGUCAGUUGCAAUAAAAGUAGGAUUAAUAUUACUUGGACUUAAAUUAGGAUUAGCAUUUGUUGGAGUUAAAUUAGGAGUAGCUAAUUAGGUUAUUGGAGAAUUAGAAUUAAAGUCAUAAUGGGUUAUUAGAAUCCUAGUAGACUUAGAUUUCUUAGGAAGCUAGGCUCAUAUUGGCCUAAUCAUAAAAAUUUUUACUUGACCAAACUGAAUAAGUUGGUUCUCCAUUGAAUCAUACACAACUUGUUUAAAGGAUCAGAGUCUCAUCAUCUGUACAUUUUCUUAGAAUCUAUACCACUUAAUCUAAUAUAAAUACUGAAAAAUAUUUAUUCUAGGUAUUUUUUAUUUCUUUGUGUGCUAGAAUAUAACUAUGUUCUUGUUUAUAAAUGUCUGUGUAGGUUGCAUCAGAGAAAGGACUUUUCUCUAUUGUCAUAAACCUGCAAGUAAGUUGCUUCUCUCCAUAACAUUUUAGUUUUUAACUAGGUGCUUCUGCAUGCUGGAAGAGGAGUAAAAGUUGUAAUCUUACAGGUACCCGGUUCAACACACUACAGUAUGAUAUUUUAUUUUGUAACUAAGGAAUUGCUAACUGGAUCCCUGUUGCAACGAUUUGUUGAUGGUUAUGAUGAGUUCCGAAAUAGCAGGCUGAAGCUCAUCCCAUCAGUUCCCAAGGUACUUUCUACAUUUUCCAGUUUUUGAAGGAUGCUCAAAUAGAAUGUCAGGACUGUUGCAGGCAGUCCUCACUCCUGCUUGCGGUGCUUAAUAAUUCGUGUCACAGAAGUCUGUCUAUUACCUGUGAAGCGAUCACCCCUGUUGUGUCCACCUGUAUGGCUCAAUAAUUUAUAUUUGGAUGAUCAUGCUGAUUACUUCUUAGCAGAUCUUUUAUGCCUCAGAAGUAUAGGAUUAAGAUAAGAUGCCACACAUGUGCAUUUGCACUUCUUUCAUAAUGUGGUUUGGGUGGAUAAUAAAUUGGUUAGCAAGCAUGUAAAGUCAUGAUUGAAGUUGCAGUGGUAAUCAGGUUUUAUCAUAUUAAUUUACUUCUUUAUUAUUACUAUUAUUUUUGUUCAACUGGAUCCAUGCAUACUUCAAUAGAUUAAAUGCUUAAUUGCUUCUACAAAUUGCUUCCAUAAAUUAUUCAAAUAACUAAACACAGGUUGUUAAGUCUAAUUUACUCUCUCCUUGUGGACCCAUGCAUAUGUGCCAUAUGUUCUGAUUUGAUACAUUGGAUUCUCAUUGAACUGCCCCAAGUGUCCUACAUUACAUCACCAUAUCCAAAUUUUGUAUUAGCAUGUGACAAUUUGCUUCAUGUGCUAAGAUGCAACGAGUGCUGAUCCAUUGGUUAGAUGCUAUUAUUGAUUACUUGAAAUUGGUUCAAGGAUCUUGAUUUGGUUAUAGAGUUGGACGCUCCUCGAGAGUUAUGGACUAUGCAUAAAUUAUACCCAUUCCAACUAAAUUGAGAGAGGGAGCAUCGCGUCCAAGGGGCAUGUCACCAUUUAUGUUUGAUGCACUAUAUGAGAGGUUGACCUGUUUCUGUGACAAACCUAGCUGUGGCCCUUGAUUCAAUAUACCCAGGAGAUCUUUGAUUGGUUGUGCAUGUUCUUGUGGUUAGCAUGGGCCUCCCAAGUCAAUAACUAUCAAAGACCUCUCAUUGGUUAAGUCUAUGAAUAUGGGCUCUUAAAUAAGGUGUAGACUACAUGAUAUACAUCAUGUGCUCAAAUCUUUCAAGUUUAAACUUUUAGGAUAAUUGGUUCACCAACAUUGUAUCAGAGCCUCAUUUGGUGGGAGGUCAUGUCUUCGAACCUCAUGACAUAUUUAUUUCCUUGAUUUAUUAAGCCCAAAUGAGGCUACUUUAUUUCCCUAGUUUAUUAAGCUCACAUGUAAGCCCGAAGUGUAAGCCUAAUGGAGGCCCCACUUAAAGGAGGGUGUUAAGAGUGCAUGAUAUACAUUGUGGGCCUAUUACAAACUUAUGCUUUUAGGAUAAUUGGUUGUUCAACAUAAAGGAUUGUAGAGGGCUCAUUGAAGAAGGAUUUUUGUCUAUCUAAAGAGUGCUCUUCAGCCAUCUUGAGUCCUUGAGAUUUCCUGUACAAGCUUAAGCCGUCCUUGGGGCACUAUCAUCUUUCUCCAUCUGCUCUCUUUUUAGCCCUUUUUGCUCUCCUCUCAAACGUUUUAUAACUCACCAUUCCCAUGGUUACUUCAGACCUAUCAUAAUAAUGCAAUAUAUUUAUUUUAGUUAAACUGACUUUGCUUCCUCAAGCAUUUCUUGGUUGUGCUUGGGUGGGUUAGUAAAUAUUUGAACACAGCCCAAAUUCAUCAUCCGGACCUUAAACAUUCCCAAGUUUCAAUACAAACUAUUAAGUCAUUGAACUGAACCUGUCCUAUCUAUGGAUUUUCAUGUUGACUAAACAUAGUUCACAGCCUUAGGAUACAUUAGUGGCUGGUAUCCAAUGGGUUUCUUGAUGGCCCUUAAAAACAGGCCAUCUCAUUUUCAUGAAACCUUAUAUUGAUGUGGGCAGUUUUUUCUCUUCAUCCUCGCUAGAAUAUUAUUCCAUUUCUGUUUUCUGCUUCUUUGUGCUCUUUGACAUCUCUAUAUUCUGGGCUUGUUCUUUCAAUACUGUUUCAUUCAGGCUCCAUGGAUGGUGCGCCGGAUUGUUGGAAGCACCCCUCAUUUCCUAGGAAAAGUAGUUGAUUGCAAUUAUAUCCGUGGUCCAAAGUACUUGGAGGUAAAGGCCCUUCUAAAUUCUAUAGUAUAUGAUUUUACCUUCAGAAAAAUUCUGAAAUUCAUUCAGGAAUACUGUAGUUUAACAUCACUCAAUUUUCUGUAGAUUGAUGUUGAUUUUGGUUCUUCAACUGUUGUUGAUGGAGCUUUGGCCUUUGUAAAUGGUGCAAUUCCUAACUUGGUUGUUGACAUGGCUUUCCUUGUACAGGUAUGUUCUCUUUAUUAAUCCUGACCAUCUUAACUGAGUGUUGAUCAGGACUUCCUACCUAAGUUGUUGAUUAUAUUCAAUGACAUAAGCAAGGAUUCACUUACAGGAGAGCUAAUCAUGUACUGACUUUCUAAUUAGAGAUGACAAAGUCUAAACCUGCCAAGUUGUUGCACAAGCCCUGGAACCUGCUUAUAUUAUUUUAAACCAAUAACUAUACAUAUUUUAUCUGAUUCAAGAAACUUUUUAAUUUGGAUAACUUACAGGAAUGUCAGUUUUUUUAUAGUACUAAAAUCAUCACCAUGUACCAACUUGGUGAGUUACAGAGAAACUUUUAUGGGAAGGGAUGGGGAGGCAAGAAAGACCCACUUGGUUAAAUAUGAGGUGGUCUGUUUGUUGAAAGUGGAGGGAUGAGCAGAACAUUGUUAGGAAAUAGCUUUGAAGAUUUGCGGAAGAAAAGGUUAGUGGAUGAAAUUAGUGUUAAGGAAAUUCAAGGGAAGGAGUUUUGGUGUUCACGAGAGGUAGGAGAUUUGUUGGGAUAGGGUUGUGGAAGGUGUGAGAAAGGGGUUUGUGUUGUUUUGCUCAGUUGUUGUUAUGGCAUGAUGAUGCUUCAGGGAAGACACUGUUGAAAGAGUGAUCUCCUAAUCUGUUCAGAGUUACAGUUAAGUAGAGAAGUGGAAAAAUACUGGAUUGUUAGGUUGGAGAGAAGAGUGGGAGAAACUGCAGUCCAAGCUUUAUCAGGGUUCUUCCCAACUGGGAAAUAUUGAAGUGAUCUGUAGUAUGGUGGGGUGGAAAACUGGGGCUGAGGUGAUGCAAUUGAGUGGAAUCUUACUGCAGAUAAAAGUAGAAUAUCUGCUGAAUCACUUUUAUCAAAGGUAAGGAUGAAUUGGGGUACGGUUGAUGCAAUUGAGUGGAACCUGACUUCAAAUAAAAUAAUUUUUUGGUAAAUCACUUUUUGUGGUGAUAGGGAAUAGGCAAUGUUGACUAUCCAGGAGAUUUGGGGUUUUUUGGCACAUGCGACAGUGGCACUCUUCAUGAGUACAGCAGUUUGGAAAAUGAUGUUUACCAUGCCCGCUGGUGAGCAGGGGAAGAAUCAUUGCUAAUCAGUGUUGUAUGUUAAGAAGGAUGGCGAGUGUAUUCAUCUCUUUCUCUGGCACAGAGGCUUGAGACUUAUGAUCUGCAAUCUUGAUCCUUUUUGGAAGUUUCAGGUGCCCCCCACAACUUAUGAGCAAGGAGCAGUCCAAUCGACAUUAUGAGUUUGUAGUGAGGAUAGGAGGAAAGGUGGAAGACUUCACAUUAUAGUUGGUUUAGUGCUUAUGGAAAGAGCAUUGUGAAAGGACUUGUAAAGGCAUUGAAACUCUAGUCUAGAAGUUGUUGGAGAUUAUCCUUGGAUGUUUAUUUCUUGGAGAAAAUACUUUUGAUUUCCUUAGCUUUUUACUUGAAUAAGGUGGAAGAAACCCUUUGGUGCUUUAAUGUAGCUUGUGCUGCACAUAUAUUUCUGGUUAGACACAAUCUUGAAACCCACUCGACUUCUUUCCAGCACUACAUCUAAUAAUCUCCUUUUAAAAACCUAUAACCCUCUCAAGCUUUGUGAUGCCCUGGAGCAUUUGCUAAUUGCUACCAGCCAUAGAGAAGACCCCCAAGGAAAAUACUCAAAAGUUUGGGCCGCCAGGAGAUUCUAUUCUAUCCCAAAAAAAUUGCAGAAGGCAAGCACACUGGUCCUCUCUUUGGUGGAUUAUGGAUUCUUCCAAUACUUUCAAACAACACUACGCAUAAAACCGGCACCUAACCCCCCCACCCCCCAACAAAAUUCUUACGCCUUCUAAUUUUUCAACCCAUUCACUUUUCUUAUAGAUUCUUUGAUAAGUAAAGAUUGGGCUUUGGUUGGAUAUAUUAUUUGUUUUUUGUUUUUCAAAUUAGAAACUUCUAUAUAAAAAGUAAAAACUCUUGUACAAAAAUAAUUGUGAAGAGAGAGAAAAAGGGAGAAUCCCUAAUUAUUGUUAUUAAAAAACUGUAAAGAAUACACAUUGGACUUGGGUAUAUAUAUACAUGUUAGUGGGAUCCACAAUACAAUAAGGAAAGACUAUACACUAUCUAACACUCCCCCUCAAGCUAGAGCAUAUAUGUUAUAUGCACCAAGCUUGUUACAAAUGUAUUUAAUUCUAGGACCUCUGAGAGAUUUAGUAAAAAUAUUUGCUAGUUGAUCAUUUGAAUUGACAAAACUAGUCGCCACACAUCCUGAUGCGAUCUUCUCUCUAAUGAAGUGACAGUCAACUUCAAUGUGUUUGGUCCUUUCAUGGAAGACUGGAUUGGAUGCAAUAUGCAAAUUGGCUUGGUUGUCACAGAUGAGUUUCAUCUAUUCAUCCUUUCCAAAUCUCAACUCCCGAAGAAGAUGUUUCAGCCAUAUGAGUUCACAUGUUGCCAGAGCCAUAGCUCGAUACUCGGCUUCAGCACUAGAUCUGGCCACUACAUCUUGUUUCUUACUCUUCCAAGAUAUUAGGUUACCUCCAAUAAAAACACAAUACCCGGAAGUGGAACGUCUAUCUGUGGGUGAGCCAGCCCAACAACUUGGGUAUGACCUCUGUUCUCGUACAACACACUUGGCCUGGUGUGCUUUUGAUAUAUUGAAGAAUGCGGAUUACAACAUCCCAAUGGCUAUCACAUGGUGACUAUAGGAAUUGACUAACCACACUUACAGGAAAAGAAAUGUCUGGACGAGUAAUGGUGAGAUAGUUCAGUUUACCUACAAGUCGCCGAUAUCUCCCAAGAUCUCCUAAAGGCUCCCCCUAUCCUGGUAUAAGUUUGACAUUUGGAUCCAUAGGAGUGUCUACCGGUUUACAGUUUAACAUACCGGUUUCUUCCAAGAUGUCUAAAGCAUACUUCCUUUGGGAAAGAACCACACCGGAACUGGAUUGAGCUAUCUCAAUCCCUAAGAAAUACUUGAGUUUCCCCAAGUCUUUAGUCUGAAAGUGGGUGAAAAGGUGUUGCUUUAGUUUCUGAAUACCAUUCUGAUCACUGCCUGUAAUGACGAUGUCGUCCACAUAAACUACCAGAUAAAUACACUGCCCCGAAGAGUUAUGAUGAUAGAAAACGAAAUGGUCUGCUGUACUGCGGAACAUGUCAAACUCUUGAACAACAGAACUAAAACAGCUAAACCAUGCUUAAGGAGAUUGUUUCAAGCCAUAUAGAGAAUGGCGUAACUUGCACACUAAACCAGACUCCCCUGAGCAACAAAACCAGGUGGUUGCUCCAUAUAAACUUCCUCAGCAAGAUCCCCAUGAAGGAAAACAUUUUUAAUAUCUAACUGAUAAAGAGGCCAAAAACGCAUAGCAGCCAUGGAGAGCAAUAGACGAACAGAAGCUAUCUUGGCAACAGGAGAGAAAGUGUCACCAUAAUCAGAACCAUAAACCUGAGUAUAGCCUUUAGCAACCAAGCGGGCCUUAAGGCGAUCAACCUGACCAUCAGGGCCAACCUUAACUGUGUAGACCCAACGACAACCAACUGUAGAUUUACCAGAGGGUAAAACAACAAGAUCCCAAGUGCCAUUGGAGUGUAAAGCAGCCAUUUCAUCUACCAUUGCCUGUCGCCAGCCUGGAUGGGAAAGAGCCUCAGGGGUGCUCUUGGGAAGAGAAACAGAAUAUAUAGCAGAAACAAAUGCAGAAUAGGAUGAAUAUAAUCGAUGGUAACUCAAAAAAUUGUAAAUGGGAUGAGGAUUACGAGUAGAUCAAUUACCUUUCCGAAGAGCAAUGGGUAAGUCAGCAGAAGGAGGCAGAGCCAGGGCAGGAGAAGCCGAAGGGAUAGGAAGUGAGUCAGCAGGUACCUCGGCCAAAGAAGGAGGAACAGCGACACGAUGACGGCGAUGAUAAACCUGAAGUGGGCGAGAAGGCACUGCAUCAGGUGGGGAGAUAAUGGGAAGGGGUAAGACUUCAGAAACAGGAAAAGACUCAGAAGUGGAGAAGAACGGUGAGUCCUCAAAAAAAGUGACAUCAACGGAGAGAAAGUAGCGAUGAGUCUCAGAGGAAUAACAACGAUAACCCUUUUGAAGUCUGGAAUAUCCAAAGAAGAUGCAUUUUGUGGCUCUGGCAGAAAGUUUGUCCUGUCCAGGAGUGAGAAUAUGAACAAAGCAAGUACAACAAAAAACACGAGGAGGAAGAAAAUAAAGUGGUUGGUCAGGGAAAAGAAGGGAAUGAGGAAUCUGAUCGUGUAAUACAGAUGAUGGCAUACGAUUAAUCAAAUAACAUGCUGUAAGAACAGCGUCCCCCCAAAAACGAAAAGGAACAUGACUAUGGAGAAGAAGAGUACAAGCUGUCUCAACAAGAUGUCGAUUCUUACGUUCAACUACCCCAUUUUGUUGAGGAGUAUGAGCACAAGAAGACUGAUGAAUGAUCCCAUGUUGGGACAUAAAUGAAGUAAAUGGUGUAGAAAAAUAUUCCCUGGCAUUGUCACUGCGCAACACACGAAUAUAAAUAUUGAACUGGGUUUGGAUUUCAGCAUAAAAUUUCUGAAAAAUAGAGAAUAAAUCAGCUCGAUUUUUCAUUAAAAAUAACCAAGUAUAUCGAGAAUAGUUAUCAAUGAAAGUGACAAAAUACUGAAAUCCUAAAGUAGACGCGAUCCGACAAGGACCCCAAACAUCAGUCUGGACAAGUUCAAAAGGAGACUUUGUCCGAUUAUUCAAACGCUUUGGGAACGAGACACGAGUAUGUUUCCCAAGCUGACAGGACUCACACGCAAGCAACGACAAAGAUGAAAAACUAAGGACCAUUUUCUGGAACUUGGAUAGACUAGGGUGACUCAGGCGACUGUGGAUGAGAAGGGGAGCAUCAGUGGAAAUGCAAACUGUAGGAGUUGAAGGCGCAGUGAGGUGAUAGAGGCCUUAAGAUUCACGUCCUAUGCCAAUCGUCUUCCCCGUACUCCGGUCCUGCAAGGUCACAAAUUUAUCAGAGAAAGUGAUAGAACAGUUAAGAGUGCGAGUUAUUUUGCUGAUGGAAAUAAGAUUAAAAGGACACUCAGGGGCAUAAAGGACAGAAUGAAGAGAUAAGGAAGGGAGAGGAUGAGCAAAACCAAAACCUUUAGCCCUAGUUUGGGAACCAUUAGUUAAAGUAACAUUAGGUAAGGCAGAGGUAGUAGUAAUAGAAGAGAAAAGAUCCUUAUUACCAGAUAUGUGAUCAGAAGCGCCAGAAUCUAGAAUCUAAGGUCCAAGAGAAGAUGUGUGGGUAAGACAAGUAGAAGCAUUACCAGUCUGGGCAACAGAAGCUGACUUGGUGGCCUGAUAGCGAAGAUAGUCAUCAUACUCACUGUCAGUGAGGGAAAUACCCUGAGAUGUGGAGGAACUGGGAGGCUGAGGCGACUGAGGAUCAGAUGACUGGGCCACGUGGGCAGUGCGGGGAGGCCGCCCAUGUAACUGAUAACAUCGAUCACGAGUGUGGUCAAGCUUAUUGCAAUAGGUGCAAUGAGGACGUUAGCCUCUACCUCGGUUACCACUGCGUCCUCCUCGAGAGCUAGUUUGAGAAACUAACACAGAAGAAUCUGAAGUCUUAUCAGAUGGCAAAGUUUGAGUGGAGGAGAUACAGAGGAGGCGAGCAAACACAUCAUCUAAGGAUGGAACGGAGGAACUGCCAAGAAUCUGAUAACGGACGGUCUGGAGAUCUGGACGGAGGCCAAUAAGCGUAAGAACCAUGAAGAAUUUGUCAAUUUGUGUUUGUUGAUCCCCAACAUCAGUAGUAAGAGGCAUCACGGUCAAGAAUUCCUUCUUAAGACAGGCAAUCUGGCCAAUAUAAGUAAAUAAAUCCAUGUCUUGUUGUCUGACAUUGACAAUAGAAGAAGCCACCUUAUAAAGACGUUGGAUAUCAUUCGUGUAUAGCCCUUUCGCCUGAUUCCAAAAUUUAAAGCGUGUUUUGUAGGCCCGAAGAUGAAGCAGAAUCUUAGGAUCAACUGAUUGCCAUAACACACUACAUAACUGUGCAUCUAUCUUCCUCCAUUGUACUCUGUCAACCUCAGGGAUAUCCGCCUCCUGUGUAACAAGGUGAUCCUCAUAACCUUGAUCCAUAAACCAAAGCUCCACAGAGGCAGACCAGGACAAAUAAUUUUCACUCCCAAUCAAUUUCUCCGAAGUAAUCAUAGGAGAUCCAAAUAUGACAGAGGAAAAAGUGAAACUUUUAGUAGCCAUAUCUACUUAUCUGGUGAACGAAAUACGUUUGGAUCGAAGAGAGCCCUAAUACGGCUUAUCGCGGACUUCCUAAGACACGUGCAGGGCUCGGGGUGGAGAGGAAGUCAUUGGAGGUCGUCGGAAAGGUGGUUUAGAGGGCCGGCGGAGACAAAAAAAACCCAAAAAAAUGCACUUUUAGGGCUCAGAUGACACAAGCGCAGAUGGAGGGUGGCUAGACGGCAUCAGGCGAGGCUGGAGGUGGAAGCGCGUGGCCGAAAAGUGCCCCACGCGCCGGCGCGUGAGAUUUAGGCCGCCGGAGAAGAGACGCUCGUGGACGGCACGUGGCUGGGAUUCUUCCUCCGGUGCUUUGAGAAAAGUUGAAGAUCUCCUCCUUGCGCACCUGAUGGUAUGGUCGGUGUCGGAAAAGGAUUUCGCUGGAAAAGGUCGCCGAAAAAGUCGCCGGCGGUGAGGGUUUUUUGAUGGCAACACGGUUGAUCAGAAGCUUUAGGAGAUGGGAAGGGUGACUGGAAUGAAACACGGUCACUGAAAGAUUUCCCAGAAUGGAUUCACGGAUAAACCGGAAAUAAUUAGGAUUUUUUUUUUUCCCUAGACUCUGAUACCAUGUGAAGAGAGAGAGAAAAGGGAGAAUCCCUAAUUAUUGUUAUUGAAAAACUGUAAAGAAUACACAUUGGACUUGGGUAUAUAUAUACAUGUUAGUGGGACCCACAAUACAAUAAGGAAAGACUAUACACUAUCUAACAAUAAUAGACUCAUCAUAUGUCCUUAAAAAUUACUUCAAAAACUUUUUAAAUUUGAGAUAGUAAAAAAAUUUUAAUUUUCUAUUCUGAGAAACAAAAAACAAAAAGUGUAUCCAAACCAACACUUAGUGAUUUAGUGAGCAAGUAUAAAGAUCAGUUGAUUUUUGUGUGUGGAUCAAGUCAGUUCUCUGAAGCAUAUUUCUUUUUUUUUAAGGGCUGGUUGUUUUGUUGUCACAUUCGUAUCACAUUUUCACUGCCAUGUCCAUCCAUGUCCAUGCUACGUAUCCCCCUGACAUGUUUAGUAUCACACUAGAACAUCAUUACAAUAUGCACCCUGCAUGUAAAUUUUUGUGACCAUAUAUCACAAAAUAUUUUCCAGUCACCAGUUUAAGGACUAUAAAAUAUGAAUAAAAGAUCAGCUUACCUUACAUUAAGAAGCCAUCUCUUUAUAAAUUCUCACUUUCCAGUAUCAGCUUUAAAGGCAAACAUUGUGUUGAAAUAGCAGGAACAAUGAUAAUAAGAUGAUUCUUUUGAGACUAUGGUUUCUUGAAGCUUUGUUCAUACCAGAGUUGUUAUGCUAAGGUUCAUCAUGUGCCCAAGAAGUCAGUCUCUUAUAUGAAAAUUUUUCUGAUGUUGUUGUCUUUGUUCUCAGGGAAACACUGAGGAUGAGUUGCCGGAGAGGUUGAUCGGCGCAGUCCGGGUUUCCCGUGUAGAUUUUUCAUCAGCUAUAGUCCCAAAAUUGGACCCAUAUACAUAUGCUUGAGUUGAAACAUUGAAUUUUAUACAAAAUCUUUUGUUUGUUUCAGGUAUGCAGACAUAUAUGUAUAUUAAUAUUGCUAGUUCGACUUUAUCAAAAGAUUUGUUAGAAAUAAACAAUGUUUUUAGAAUGGGAUUGAAUAUUGAAUUAGAAAAAUUAUCAGUUCGACGUUUAUUGAUUGAAAUAGUGGUUGAAUCAAAGUCAAAUCGGUAACAUUAUAAACAUAUAAUUUAUAUUUUAUUAAAUUAAAAAUAUAUAUUAUUACAAUUUGUAAUAAUAUUUUAUUUUUUAUAUUUGAUAUGUUAAAUUAAAUAAUAAAGAUAAAUAAAACGUAUUAAUAUAUUAAAUUUUAUUAAAUAAAAUAUAUAUAAUAUUUAAAUAUAAGAAUAUAUUUUAAAUGAAAAAAAAUUAUAAUAUUUAUUUUAAUUACAUAUCCAUGCAUUUUUUAUUUAAAAAUCAUUAUAUUAAUUAAUUUAUAUUAUUUUUAUAUUUAUCAUAAAUAAUUAUCAUAAAAACAUUCUAAGAUAAAAAUAUUUAUAUAUGUUUAAAUGUUUUAUAUGAUAAAAAUUAAUAUAUAUAGAUAUAUUUACCAUAUUAUUAAUGAAAUGGCUAUGUAACUUAUGUUUCUCUACCUGUUGUGUUAACCAGCGUAUCUUAGUAGCGGACAAAUGAGCAUGGGAGGCAGGAACAGGCAAAUGAGUUUAGAAAGAAGGAACUUGGACCAGAUGAAUGGGGAGCAACAAGUUUUUGGUCAACUGAUGGUUGACCAAUUUGUGUGAAACCAGAUGGUCUAACCGUUCGAUUAACCAAGUUUAAAUUCAGACUGGAUUGAUAGGAGAGCGGUGGAUGGUCGAGUGCAGUUCAUCAGAUCGAAUGGGAGAGGCGGGAGGACACUAGUGGACGAACGAUUGACUAUUGGUGACAAGGAAAUGAAAGAAAAAGUGACGAGAAUCAAGAUAAUUCUAUUUUUAAAUAAAAAAUAUUAUUUUGGUCCAAAACUCGGUCAAAGGCGUUUCGAAGGACAAAUAAAUGAACCGACUCCAAACUCCAAGGAGAUUGUCCUCGAUCCUAAACUUCUAGUCGACUCGGCAUUACACGACUCCCACCCUAUGCAUUAUGAAAUGUCGGGAGAAAAAAUUAUGCUACGCGGUGCAUUGUAACUUGUAAGAAAAGAAAGGAGAUGCCUCACCUCCUCUUUCUCACAUCACACCUACCAGUCAAAGUCCCUCCUACCAGUAAACCUCGCAUGCUUCUCCCCUAAGUCAUCCUCCUCCUUUCCCUCUAUAAAACCCACUACGUCUCAAUCUCAUUCCAAAAAUCCACCUAUCCAUCACUGCAACGAUGUCUGCCCAUAUCAUAGUGUUCCCUUUUUUUGGGCAAGGCCAUCUCCUCCCUUGCAUUGAGCUCUGCAGACACCUCGCCUCCCGCACCUUCAACACCACCCUCAUCAUCUCCUCCAAUCUCUCCUCCUCCAUCCCCUCCGAUCUCCGCCGUAUUCCUCUCUUCCACAUCUUUGAGAUCUCAUCCUCAUUACCUCCUCCUCCUCCGCCAUCGUCGCCCUCCCCGGAUUCCGAUCCCAUGAGCCACCACCAUCCCCACCACCAGCAGAUGGGUACGGCCAUCGAAUCCCUCCUCUCUUCCAGAUCCACAUCCCCAGACUACGUCCCACCCCUCUGUGCCAUAAUCGAUGUGAUGAUGAGCUGGAGCAAAGAUAUUUUUCAUAAGUUUAACAUCCCAGUCGUUUCUUUCUUCACCUCCGGUGCCUGCUCCGCUGCCAUGGAGUACGCCUCCUGGAAAGCCGGCGCCUUUAACAUCAAGCCCGGCGAAGUCCUACCCCUUCCCGGCCUACCCGAAGACAUGGCCUUGACUUACUCCGACCUUCAACGCGGCCCUCACGGUCCUCCUGGCGGCCCACCUGGACCCCCCGGUUCAGGAGGCCCACCUGGACCACCCGGUGCAAGAGGACCACCACGGUCGGGUCCCAAGUUCGGGGGGCCACCCAAACCGGGGCACCAGCCACCGUGGGUCGACGAGACAGCGGGCUCGAUCGCGCUUAUGAUCAACACGUGUGACGACCUGGAGCGUCCGUUCAUCGAGUACGUGGCCCACCAAACCGGAAUCCCGGUCUGGGGUGUGGGCCCGCUUUUGCCAGAUCAGUACUGGAAGUCAUCCGGUUCGCUCCUCCACGAUCGGGACAUCCGACCCAACAAGAAAUCCAGCUGCACUGAGGAGGAGGUGAUCCAGUGGCUAGACUCCAAGCCCCGUGGAUCCGUCCUGUACGUGUCAUUCGGAAGCGAGGUAGGUCCUACCAUGGAGGGCUACGCCCAACUGGCGCUUGCAUUAGAAGCCUCGAACCGGCCAUUCAUCUGGGUGAUCCAACCCGGUUCAGGCCGGCCAGGUCCACCUCGACGACCGGGUUCAGACUCAAACGAAGACAGCGGAUACUACCCAGAUGGAUUGGAGGAGAAAGUAGGAAAAAGAGGUCUGAUAAUACGUGGGUGGGCACCACAACUGUUGAUACUGAGUCACCCAUCGACAGGUGGAUUUCUAUCACACUGUGGAUGGAACUCCACUGUGGAGGCAAUAGGGCGUGGAGUGCCCUUUUUGGCUUGGCCAAUCCGUGGAGACCAGUACUCCGAUGCGAUGCUAGUGGUGAAACAUCUCAAAAUUGGGUACAUGGUGUUUGCUAAAGAUGCUUCUGAAAAUAUCGUAAAAGAGGCCAUAGUUGACGGAAUAGAGAAGGUGAUGAGUGAUAAAGACAUGAAGAAAAGGGCGGAGACGAUAAGUGGUAAGUUUGGGAAUGGGUUUCCGGCGACUUCGGCUGCUGCUUUGGAUGCUUUUAGGGAUUUUAUCAACCAAAGGGCUCCAUAAGCACUUAUAAUUAAUGUGUCAUCCAUCCAUACACCUUUUUUUUUUUUUUUUUUUAAUGUAUUUACAUAUCAUGUAUCAUGGAGGCCUAACAUAUUAACAUUACGAUCUUAUAAGCUUUAGUCUCAAUUUUUGCACUUUGAUGAUAUUACUAAAAGGAGGCCCGGUAUAAUAAUAAUUUAUCUUUUAGUUUUUUAUUUAGGUGUUUGAUAAAAUUUAAUAAAGUGAUUUCAAGUUAAUUUAUUAACUUAAAAUUUAUUAUUUAAUUUUUAUUUUGAGUACUAAAGUUAUUUGAUAAAAUCAACUUAAAAUUUAUUCUAAAUUAUUAAAUUGAUAUAUUAAUUUUUCAUAAAUUAUAAUUAAGAUAAAUAAGAUCAAAAUAACAAUAAAUGUCGUGGAAUAGUAAAGAAAAUCAUGAAAAUAAUAAGGAAUGUUUUGAAUCCAACUCACCUACCACUUUAAUGGAUAAACAUCCCAACCCUUGCAACAUACUAUAACCCCAAGUGGUAAAGAGCUGACAUCAGUAUGCCAAACCUUCUCAUUGAUGUGAGCUCUUGGAGAAAGAUUAGUAUGUUAUCCUUAAAAUAACUUUUAUUUAUUAAGCAAUGACCCUUCCAUUUGACAUAAUCGAAAUCACUAAGGCUAACUUUUGUCCCUACUUGAUGAGUGAGUCUCGUAAUUAAGCUCCUUUCUACCUUUGUACUUGAGGGUCAAUCUCCAUUCAAUUAGAGGAAACCUUUGCACGCCUUUGUUAUCUUUUAGAAAGUAUAGGAUAAAAAUAUAAAAUGAAGAUAUAGAUUUAAAAAUAAAUUAAUUAUUUUUACUUAUUAUUUAAAUUUAUUUUUUAUCUUAAAUCAUACCAUUCAAUUAUUUUAUCAUAAAUACUUGACAAUAGCAUGCAACCCCAGAUGAAACAAAGAGUCCAUGCCUGAAGGGCCUAAAUUCUAUUUUUAUUUCCAAGCGGGACCCACUAAAAUAAAAGUAUAUACGACAUCUUAUCAUUAAGACAAAUUAUUAAAGAUUAAUUAAAAUUCAACAAAAAGAUUCAAUACAACUUUUUAUUAUCAUAAUUCUGAUGCUAAAAAAAUGAAAUGUUAUAAAAAACAAUCAUCCAAAAAUUUUAAAUAUACUGCUCAUUUUGGGAUUAGGAUUGUUGUUUUCAAGUAAAGAAGAUGAGGGCAAUGUUAUAAUUUCACAUGUUAUAUUUGUAUUUUAUUUUUUCAUAGUUUUUAUGAUAAAAGUAAAUAUAAAAAAAUAAUUUUUUUUAAUAUACUUAUGGAAGUUAUUGAAAAUAUGUGAAAUUAAAAUCAUUAAAUGAAAGUAAAAACUUAGAAAAUUAAAAUAAAAAAUGAAAUCAAAUUAUAAAGCAAUGGGAUUAAAGUUGAAAAAAAAAUAUAAUAAUAAUAAUAAUAACAUGUACAAAACAAUAAAAAUCAGAUGCAUCGCCUAAUCAGGAGUAGAGAUUAGGUGUAGAGAAAACGUAACUAAUGGUGUUGGGAGUUAUAUGGAUUGUUAAGUUAUUAAUGAAGAAUAUUUGGAAGUUAUCGGUAUAUAUUUAUAAUUAUAGUUAUAUUUAUAAGAAAAGAAAUAAAAUAACUGAUUUAAUUAAGAUAUAUCUUAAGUUGUUUUUUUUAAUCUUAAAUUGUACUAUUAAAUUAUUUUAUUAAACAUAUUUAAUUUAUUUAAUAAUUUAAAUUAAAUUAUUAAAUUACUUUAAGUUAUUAAAUUGGUUUACCGACAUUAGAUAACUUAAUGAUUAACCUUCAAAUAAUUUAUGACAAUAGCAUGCAACCGGGGAUGAAACAAAGAGUCCAUGCUUGAAGGGGCUAAAUUCUAUUUUUAUUUUCAAGCUGGACCCACUAAAAUAAAAGUAUAGAUGACAUCUUAUCAUUAAGAUAAAAUAUUAAAGAUUAAUUAAAAUUCAACAAAAAGAUUCAAUACAACUUUAUAUUAUUAUAAUUCUGACGCUAAAAAAAUGAAAUGUUAUAAAAAAUAAUCAUUGAAAAUUUUAAAUAUACUGUCGGUUACAAAUAUUAUUAAAAGUAACAUGUAAUUAUCAAAAUGGAUAUGAAUUUUUUUUAAAAUUUAAACAAUUUCUUUAUUCCACUAUAUAAACCAAGCUUUAAUUAAAUAAAUUACUAUCUUAUUUAAAACCCAAUUCAUAGUAGUUUCCUUUCUAUUUUUUUUAAAUAUAAUAUUUAUAUUUUUAUACUUUAACUAAAUUCAAGUAAACUUGAUAUUAAUAAUUUUUUUGUAAUUUAUAUUUUCCCGAUGAGCAUAUAUAAAGGAAAAUUAUAAAUACAUUCACCUAAACUCUUUUCACAUCUACCCUAUUGGCACACUCGCUUAAAAACUUCUAAAUAUGUCCACCCUACAAUUUUUAAAAACCCAAAAGACCCUUCCCAUUAUUCUCUCUAAACCCAUCUUUUUCCUUUAUCCCUCAACUACAAACCCUUAUUACAAAUCAUCAUGUUUGAAGUUUAUUUAAUAUUAGAAGCCUAUUGUAACCAUGGUCAUAACUAAUUUUUGAUAAAAAAUAAAAAAAUAAAAACAAAAAAAACAUGUUAAAAUGGUUGAAAAACAAUUUGGAAGGAUGUAUGUGUAAUUUAAAAGUGAGAAAUCAUGAAUGGCUGAUGUAAAUGAAGGAUAAAAAAAUAAAUAAAAAAAUUGACCCCGUGAUAUCCAAGAAGGUCUAACAUAAUUGAGAUAUUCAAUCCUUUAAUUCCAAACAUCUCAACUAUGUUUGGUUGGUGAGUGUUAGACAUUUAAGCUAGGACCUAACAUCAUGGUUCCAUUUUUUUUUUUUUUUUGGUUGUUGAAUGGUACCUUGAGGGAUUUCAUCAUGGGGCAUUUAUAAACUCACUAAAAUAAAAGAUAAUGAAAAAGUAUAUGUAAAAAAAAUCGUAAAAGAAAAAAGAUUACUACACAACAUAAUAAACAAAUAAAUCAUGAUGACCUUUGAAAAAUGGCCUUUCACCUGUUUCAAAAUUGAUUUCAAAAUCCAUUAGAUUAUUUGGAAUCAUUUUUCAUUUACUUUUACUAAACAGUAGCCAAAAGUAAAUUACAAACGAACUCUCAAUAUGGAGUGACAUUUAACAAAGACACCAGCUGUAGACCCCCAUUUAGGCAUGGGUCACUCUUUCUCUAUUUGUUUUGCAGAUCACAUUUUUAGCCAGGUGUCGCUAUCCCAGCGGGCCACGUGUCGCAUCCUUAGUGGCCAUAAGGAUUUUGAAGCUGCAGAAGGAGUGAGACAGAAAAGGUGGUGACCGAAAAGAUGGCAGAAAAGGCAGUUGCAGGGAGGCGAGACAGAAAAAAGGUGGCAGAAAAGGCGGCUGCAGCAGAGAUCGUUGGGAAGGCAAAUCCGAGAUAGAGAGAAAGGAAGAAAAAUGAGAGGACUAGGAAAGGAGAAGGAGAAGACAACAUUGUGGGGAACGGAGGAGUUUUUUUAGUUUUUUUGAGAAUUUUGAGGGAAAGAGAUGGGGGUUUGAAUUGGAGCAGGAAGCUAAGAACAGAGGAGCGCAGAGUUGCUGGGAAGAGUCCAGGACACGGAGCUGAGAAGGGAGAUUUCCAGGUAUGACCAUUUGUUUUUUUAUGCAUAUUUUCCAUUUUUUUCAUAUUGUCCAAGCCUGAUCAUCAGUGAUUUUUCAUGUCUGCUUGUUGGGUUGUUCUGUUUUGGUGAUUACUGAUUAAAUGUUGGAAGAGUUUGUUGUGUUUUAUGCCCUAUUCUGACAAGUAUUUUCAAUCGUAACUCACUGGAUGUUGGACCCAUGGAUGAAACGAUGAAAUGGGUCUGAUAUGCUGGUUAAAGUCUUCAUUUUCUUCUUCUUGUUGCUAUCCUGUUAUCUCCUAGUUUUCCUUUCCUCCCUGAGUGCACUCAUGCAAGCGUGUCGUCAUCUCAUCCCCAUGUUUUUUUUUCCUUUAUCCGCCAUACCCAUCAUUCGUCUAUACACCUCUCUCUCUAGGUCGUCAUACCCAUUUCCUCACUCAAGCUUGCAGGAAUCAGGCAUCCUCCACUGCACCCAUUUUCCUCUCAUUCAUUCUCCAUCCCACUCCCCCACUUACAUGGAAUCUCAAGAGUGCAUGCUAUCCUUCACUCUUUCGCAUACCCGUUAAAACCACUCACCCAAGCCUCCAUAUCCAUACGAUCCACCAAACCCGUUUCUCUCUCUAAACUUUCACCUACCUGUGGGAUCCUCCCUAAAAAAAUGACACGUGGCUCUCUCUCCCUUGCACGUGGUCGGCCCCCUCGCGAUGCGUGACAUAGCUCAUUCCAUCCGGGUGUCCCACACCCGGAAUUCCUCUCCACUGCCAUUCCAUUCGGGUGUCUCACACCCGGAAUCCUUCUCCGCCGCCAUUCCAUCCGGGUGUCUCACACCCGGAAUUCCUCUCCGUCGCCAUUCCAUCCGGGUGUCUCACACCCGGAAUCCUUCUCCGCCACCAUUCCAUCCGGGUGUCUCACACCCGGAAUUCUUUUCCGCCGCCAUUCCAUCCGGGUGUCUCACACUCAGAAUUCUUCUCCGUCGCCAUUCCAUCCAGGUGCCUCACACCCGGAAUUCAUCUCCACCGCCAUUCUACCCGGAUGUCUCACAUCCGGAAUUCUACCCCGUCGACGUUCCACCUUCCUCGGAUAUCUCGCAUCCGGAAUCCUGUCCGUCGACGUUCCACCUUUUUCUCCAUCCUUUGAGCAUUUUCUUGAGGUUCCCAAGAUCCCAUCUUCAAUAAACUUGGCCACCAUUUUCUUCUUGGCGAGCAACUUUCGAUUUUUUUUCGUGUUUUUAAAAUGAUUUAAAAUAAGCGUGAAUUUAAAUCCUGUAAUUCCAAACGAUAAAGUUUAUAGAAUUAAUUCAUGCAAAAUAAACGGGCUUCGAUGGGGGCCCUGCAUAUGAGAUUUCAUGAUUGAUUGACUGAUUGAUUGAUUCAUUAGUUAUAUGUGAUUGAUUCACUAUGUUCCUUGAUAUACAUAUAAUCAUUCUGUGUUUAUUCACUAACCCCAUUCCAUGACAGCGCGUUGCUGUUUGCUGCCCAGGUACGCAUUCACUCAUUCUGAUCAUUCACUAUACACAUUUUGAUUCCCAUAUGUGCAUAAUCAAUUCGGGUAUUCAUUGAUUUCCUUAGUUAUAUGCAUAUGAGAUUUCAUGAUUGAUUGACUGAUUGAUUGAUUCAUUAGUUAUAUGUGAUUGAUUCACUAUGUUCCUUGAUAUACAUAUAAUCAUUCUGUGUUUAUUCACUAACCCCAUUCCAUGAUAGCGCGUUGCUGUUUGCUGCCCAGGUACGCAUUCACUCAUUCUGAUCAUUCACUAUACACAUUUUGAUUCCCAUAUGUGCAUAAUCAAUUCGGGUAUUCAUUGAUUUCCUUAUCAGAUGCCAUGAUUGCUUCAUUUUAUUAGUAGAGACCCAUUUUAAGGACUUAGAGGGGGUGCUACGGUCUUUAUCGUACCUUCCCGAUAAGUAACCUGACCCCCGAACCCAACCCGAUUUUUCACAGAUCACCUUUUCCAAAUAAGGAGUCACACUUAGGGUUUUCUUUCUUAUUUUGUUUACCCUUUAAAAAAUAAAACAAAAAUAAGUAGCGACUCCAAGUCAUUUUUUUUAACCAAUUAAAUCUUUUUUUCGAAAUAAAAAUCGAGCUUCACCAUCGAGUGGAAAACGCAUUGAGCCGAAAUGCAGGGCCCACACCAGCACAAAGAAAAACAACUUGGGAGUUUGAAAAAGCAUUUGACGAUGGAAUUCUACAAAGCCAGACUAAGAAGCAGCUUAUGAUGUAAUGCAUUCAACUUGGAUUUUACUGUGAGAUUGGUGAGGGCAUAAAAAUUAAACACUCACCUGCUCAUGAGCCACAGCUUGUUAGACCUCCAUUCUCAUCCGGUUAUUGAUCCAUGUAUGCUGAUUAUGUUGGGAAAUUCAUCUAUAGAACUCAGCUUCUCCAGGAUCAACCUCUCUUGCUUGGCAUCUAUGUUAUAAUGUAGUUAAGAUUUCACACGCUAUCUCAUUGAAAUAAAAUUAAAGUAGGCCAUGUAUAUGAGCAUCAUAUCUCCAUUAACAAUCUAGCUUAACUAUGGACACAGAUUGUGAGGAUACAUUCCUGAUCAGGAUUCUCAGUGAAAUUGGAGUGUAGGGCAUUCUCGACAUUGUCCACAAUGGUUGAGGUGGUCAUGGAUGAUUCAAUGCAGAGAAUGGCUGUGAUGGCAUCUAGUCUGGUGACCUCAUUUCUGAACAUCAGUCCUGCAUGUGCUGCAACAUUACCAGAGUUACUAGAGCAUCAUAUAAGUAGGAAGGUUGCGUUGGAAAGUCCAUGGAGGGCGAGAUACCUUGGGCUAACCGUAUCAAGCUUUCUAGCAUGCGCACAGUUGUUCGUUCUGCAUUACUUGAAUUAGUGUUCAUCACAUUAACCAUAAUUGGGGAAAUAAACAAGAGAAGAGAUUCAAAUUGGAAACCUCUCAUUAACCAUAAUUCCAAUACCAAGGUAAUCCAAAGCUAGAGGAGCAUCAAAUCAAGUAUCCAAGCAUUUGUCCAUAUAAACUACAGUGAUAGAUGUUAAGAUAGCACCCACUGUUCAUCUCCUCCUAAAACUAUGUUUAUGGAUGUCGAUGCCACUAUAGGUCUUUUAUUGUUUGUUUGUUGUUCUUUCAUAGUUAUUCUCAGCGUGCAAAUUGAUUCUUUUGGUACUAUGUCAUUAUACUACACUGUCAAAGGAUGUUAGGGUUUACAGAAUAAGGAACACAAAGGGAGAAGAUAAAACAGAAGUAAAUGGAAGCUCACUGCUGACAAAUGCAGUGCCCUUAAAAAUUCCAAAACUGAAAGCUAAUCCAUUGGUACAUCAGGAUGAGACAAGAGCACUGCUCACAAGUGAGAUAGGAGCACAAAACAAAGGCAAAUUCCAAAAGGACUAGCAUAAGGACCCAUCAAAUGGAUAGGUGAUAUAUGAUAGCACUAUGGAAAUAUCUUCAUCAAAGAAAACUGGUGAUCAUAAUCUUCCAAACCACAACAAAACAUGCCACUAUAUUAACUUAUACCAUUAAUAUAAUACAUGCCUAUAUUUAGUCCGACAUAGUAUUGAUAUGAGCGUAAGUGGGCAAAGACAUAAUUCCAGAUUAUAGUGCAGUCCAUACAGAUAUGUUAGCAGGCCUCUCAAAGUGGUGUUAAGGAGAUGUGUUUAUACAAAAACCAAACAUGCCAAGCUAGAUUUUAGUUAUGCUACAGUGCAAAACACUUAUAAAAGAUUUUACCUCCUAAGUAAAGGAAGUGGCCAGAUAUUUGCUAGAUUUUCAUCACGCCUGUCUUUCUCUGAUUCUUUAGGCUAAUCAAUUUCACAAAAUAAAUAAAUCAAUAAAAUUCAAAAUUUAAAAAUUUAAAUUUUUUUUUUUAAAAAAAACUAUUUUUCAAAUGCCUCGUGAAGAUUAGGGAGCUAAUGUAUCAAUUUUAAUGAUAUAUUACCACAGAAAGAAUGUGAGAAGAGACAACUGCAUCCCAUUCUGGGUUCUUUGUAGAGGUGUCCAUUGGGUCGGGUCGCCCAUUUUGGCCCGUGGCACGACCUGACAUUGUAGCAGCUAGGCCAGCACGACCCAAAAGGAGCGAGCCAUGCUGGGCCUAAAGAAACAGCCUGCGCUACCCGCCGUGCCCACUGUGCCGCCCACUUGGCCCUUUUAAAUUUAAUUUAUUUCAUUUCCUUUUAUAUUGAAUAAAAAAUUAUUUUUUUAUAUUUCAUUUCCUUUUAUAUUCCAUUAUUUUAAAUUUAUUUUUAUUUUGAUAAAAAAAUAAACAAAUUCAAAUGUAAUUUUUUUUUUUACUAUUUUUAAAAACAAAAAACUAACAUUUCUAUAAAUUUUACAACUACAAACUCGAUAAAUAUAAAUGUAAAAACUAAAAAGUAUAAUUAUUAGAGGUGUAUAAAAAAUAAAAAAUAUAAUUAUUAGAGGUAUUUAAAGUAACAAAAAGAAAUUUUAUUUAAUAAUGAAAAAAACUUAAGAAAAAAUGACUUAAAAAAUUAAAUUAAAAUUUUUAACAAAGUGGAUGGCCCAUGGGCCAUGGCCCACCAGCAUGACUCAUCGUCACGACCCGCCGGCCCGACACGAUUUGCCCACGGACUUAUGGGCUAUGCCAUGCCACCUCUUUUCCUUACAUGGGUUGGCCUGGCCCAGCACACUUUAUAAGUGAGACGUGCUAGCCCGGCACGUUGGCCCGUAAUGGCCCGGUCAAUAUCGGGCUGUGCCGACCCAGCACGGCCCAUUGGACACCUUUAGUUCUUUGUAUCCAAGAGGACAAGAACUAUAUCAAAUCUGCUCAAUAAGGGUCCAAACAGUGUUGUAUUAACACAGAGAGCUAAAUUGGGUUAAGAAAUAUUUCAAUAUCACCAAGGAUUGAAAAAUCGGAAAAUGUCGCCGAUAUUUCGGAGAAAUAUCAGAUAUCGGGCGGCACCGAAACGAUAAUCGGCACCGAUUAUCAAUCGACGGAAAAAUCGGCCAGAAAUCGCGAUAAAUCGGCGAUUUUUUGAAGCUCCCAUGCUUUUGAUUUGAUGGCCAAUUUUGAAUUUUUGAGGAUCUGAUGGCCCAGAUUUCACCCGUGUAUUUGUAAAGGCCUCCAACGGUCAGAUUUGUGAUCCAAUGGUGGAAAAUCAAUCUUCACUUUAUCCAAGGGCUAUGGAGUGUUUCCAAUGGUUAUAUGAAGAUCUAAUGGUGAAAUUUGAACCAAAUUUUGAUCCAACGGUUAAAAUUAAUUUAUAACGGCUAUUUGACCAUCCAACGGCUAGUUUGACCAAAAAAAUUCCUAUAAAUACCCACAUUCCAUUUCAUUUCAUACAUCAAAAUUCUUAUAUGAUCUAGCAAAAAUUUUUUAUUUUGAAAAUUUGGUGGUGAAGGGGAUUAACUCCAAGUCAAGGCUAAUUAAGGUAUGUCUUACCUUUCAUAAAAUUUAUUUUAUUAUGCAUAAUUCAAUUUUAUUUGUUAUAUAUAGUUUAAUUGAUAUUAUCUAAUUCAUAUGGAAAUGUAAUUGUAAUGUUUAUCUAUUUCAUAUAUGCAUAAUUCAAUUUUAAUUUUUAUUAGUAAUGAUUCUUAUCAAUUUCAUGAAUAUGCAAAUUUAAUUUGUUUUAAUUUAAUUUAAGUCUUAUCAAAAUUUUAUUGUAAUGUUUAUCUAUUUCAUAUAUGCAUAAUUCAAUUUUAAUUUUAAUUUUUAUUAGUAGUGAUUCUUAUCAAUUUCAUGAAUAUGCAAAUUUAAUUUAUUUUAAUUUAAUUUAAUUCUUAUCAAAAUUUUAUUGUAAUGUUUAUCUAUUUCAUAUAUGCAUAAUUCAAUUUUAAUUUUAGUUUUUAUUAGUAGUGAUUCUUAUCAAUUUCAUGAAUAUGCAAAUUUAAUUUAAUUUAAUUUAAUUCUUAUCAAAAUUUUAUUGUAAUGUUUAUCUAUUUCAUAUAUGCAUAAUUCAAUUUUAAUUUUAAUUUUUAUUAGUAAUGAUUCUUAUCAAUUUCAUGAAUAUGCAAAUUUAAUUUAAUUUAAUUUUAAUUUAAUUCAUAUUGAAAUUUUAUUGUAAUGUUUAUCUAUUUCAUAUAUGCAUAAUUCAAUUUUAAUUUCAAUUUUUAUUAGUUCUUAUCAAUUUCAUGCAUAUUAAAUUUCUUACAUGUUUUAUCUUUAAUAAUUUUAAAUUUGAUAUUAGUUUCAUAAUUCAAUUUUAGAAAAUGGCUAGUGAAAACGGUAUCAUGGGUCGAGAUCCUUGUUGGAAAUAUUGUACACCUAUGGAAGGGAACAAAAAUGGAACAAUAUGCAAUUAUUGUGGGUUGGCAAUAAAGAGUGGUGGGAUUACUCAUUUUAAUUUCACCUAUCACAUACAGACCCUAAUUCAAAUACAAAAAAGUGUCCUAACGUGCCUCCAGAAGUGAAACAAGAAAUAAGACGACUUAUAGAGCAAAGAAAUAAGGCAAAAGUGAAGAAAGUUGUAGAUAUAGAAGAGAUUCGAGCAGAAUUGCGAGACACAAUGGGAAGAAGACAUAGACAUGUAAUUGGUGAGGACGAUGAGGAGAACCUUGGUGGUGAUGGUGGUGGUGAUGAUGAUGAUGAUGGAGAUGAUGAUGUGUAUAUGUAUCCGGCUGACAUGCACCCUGAUGAGCGACAUGCUUAUAGAGAGGCGGUUCGAGCAUCAAAAGCUACUGAAUGGAAUUGACAACAAGAAGAACAUUUUAUAAAAGGCAAAAGAAAAAACAGGUAUAAUAUUAAUUUGAAUUAUUACUGUUUCUUAUCAACUUUAUCAAUAAUAUUAAAUUAGCAUAUAUGUUUAAUUUUAAUAAUUAUAAUAGGCGAGUCUUCACAUCCAACCAAUCCAACAACAAGGCAAAUGCGAAAAUCGCAAAGUGUUCGAUAUUCAGAUCCAUCACUGCCUGAUGCACCCUCAUUGUACAAAUCUUCAGCAGCAAGACAGAAAACUGUGAAAAAUCUUUUCAAAGGUGGUGCCAUCAAGGAAAUCAUGGGACGUUUGAUCAGUAAGUUCUUCAUAUAUGAGAGUGUUCCGCCCAGUAAAGCAGACUCUCACCACUUCAAGAACAUGAUUGUUGGUGCACAACAAGCAGGUAAUUACUAUAAUUUUAAAAGUUGUAUUUAUUUUAACAAUAUCAUUACUAUUUAUAUAGUAUGAUUGACACAAAUGUUCUUAUAUGUUUUAAUUAUAUAUGGAUGGUAGGUAUGGGUAUAGAACCAUCGUCUCCUUAUGAAAUCAAACACAAGUAUUUGGAUAUGGAGUACAAAGACAUGGAAGCUUAUGUCAAUAUUCAAAGAGAAAAGUAGAAGACUUAUGGAUGCACGAUUAUGUCUGACGGAUGGACUGGGCCCACGAAAUUAAGCAUAAUUAAUUUCAUGGUAUAUUCAAAAGGUAGCACAAUCUUCCUCAAAUCCGUUGAUGCAUCAAAUAAUAUAAAGGACAACAAAUACAUAUAUGGUUUGUUGAAGGAUGUGAUCAAGGAAGUUGGCAAACAAAAUGUGGUCCAAAUAGUUACAGAUAAUGGGUCGGCAUUCGUGAAGGCGGGGAAGUUGUUAAUGAAGAAAUACAAUCUUUAUUGGACUCCGUGUGCAGCACAUUGCAUUGACUUAAUGUUCGAAGACAUUGGUAAAAAGACGAGUGUUGCAGAUCUAAUUACAAAGGCUCGAAAGAUAACCAACUUCAUUUAUAACCAUGGUUGGUUGCUUGCACAGAUGCGGAAGGUGUGUGGUGGAGACAUAGUUCGUCCUGGAGCAACAAGAUUUGCAACCAAUUAUAUAGCCCUCGACAAUCUUUUGAAAAAGAAAGCAAACUUGAAGAAAGUGUUUAUCAGUGAUGAAUGGGCACAACACAACUUAAGUCGCACAUUAAUCGGCAAAGAGGUUGAAUCACUUAUGUUUGACCAUGAGUCCUGGGAAAGAGUGGGAAAGUUAGUGUCAAUAUAUGAGGCGCUAUACAUAGUUCUUCGCAUUGUCGAUUCAGAAGUUGUUCCUACAAUGCCAUUUGUGUAUGAAUUGAUUCGAGUUAUGAAAGAGAACCUCAUUCGACUUAAUGCUAAAGAAUGGGUGUUAGAAAUAAUUGCAGAUCGUUGGGAUAGAACUCUUAAACAUUUUCUUCAUGCAGCAGGUAAGUAUUAUUCAUCUUUGAAAUUUAUUGGUAUUUAAUAUGUUUCUUUCAUAACAUUCUAAUUUUACAUUUCUACUUUACUAUUGUAGCAUUCUUUCUUAAUCCAAGAUUUCAAUAUAAACGUGGAGUUGGUACUAAUCCUAAUCUACUUCAAGCUGUUCAUGAAGUCUUUGCGAAAUUAGAUCCUACAUCAGAAGGUUUUAGUCAAUUUGGAAAUGAGGUAAAUUAUUAGAGUUAUAAUAUAAAUUAAAUAAUUGAAUUUCAUUUACUCAACUUUUUCACUUUCAAUUAUUUAAUAUGUAGAUUAUACUAUUCCGAGAUGCAAAAAGAGGAUUUGGUGAUCGAGCAGCGAUUGCUUCGAGGUCAGAAAUGGUUCCCGGUGAGUAUUAUUUGUGAAUUAAUAAUUCAUUUCAUUAGCAUACUAUUGUAACUUUCCAAUAUAAGUAUUGAUAUCAUUUAUUUGGUUGUAGUUGAAUGGUGGUUCAUGUAUGGACAUCACGUUCCUACAUUGAGAAGGUUGGCCAUCAAGGUUUUAUCGCAAACUGCAUCAUCUUUAGUUUGUGAGAGAAAUUGGAGCACGUUUGCCUUAAUCCAUACAAAACAAAGAAAUCGGCUUGCUUACCCGAUGCUCCAACAAUUAGUUUUCUGUUAUUAUAACAUGAAACUAAAGAUACGUGACAUGGAAGCAGAACAUGACAAAGUUGCAGAGAAAGAUUACCUCAAUUUACUUGACAUUGCAACUGAGGUUGGUGAAGAAGAAGAUAACCAAUUGUUUCAAUGGGUUAGACCUCUUCAUUUAGAUGAUGAAGAUGGAAAUCCCGACCCACGAAUUGCCGCACAUGUCCGAGAAGCAGGUGUUGAUGUUGAUCGAGUGUUAUCCGAAGAAGUUCAUACUGAUAGUUUCAGCCAAGACACGAGAGAUUCAUUUCGACAAGGAAUUUCUCAGCCGGCAGUCACUUCUCAACCUUCUUUUGACUCCAUGAGUGUUGAACAUAGUAGUAGAACUAGUGCUACUGGUACUUCCGCUUCAGGUUAUGAUGGUUCAAGAGGAGAGGGGACCAAUGAUGGUAGCGACCCUGGAAAUGAUGAAGGGGAUAUUAGACAACAACAACAAAGUAGACAAUCAUUGGCAUUUACUUGUGAAGAUGAUUUCACACAUUGUACUCAAGAUGAAGACCACGGCUCUAGAAGAGCCGGUCCAGGUGUUGGAGCCAUUGGAAAGCCAUAUAGAGGAAGACAACGAAGGAUGAUGCCAUACAACGAGGACUCAUUGUCGGCCAGUUUUGAGUCGAUGAGUGUAGAGACUCAAUUCAGUGAUUCAUCAAAUGAAGCCAACAUUUAUGCCCCUUAUGCAAUGAGUUAUGGUCAACCUCCUCAAAAUCUUUCAAGUUCCACUGAUGAAGAGUAUGAAAGGUAUAACUAUCCUUCUUCCACACAAAUGCCAUACUACCUUCCACAUCAGCUGCAACAACAAGGAUUUCAAACGAGCACUGGGAAAACCCUGGAUUUCCUAUCCAUGGACAAGUUGUUGGUAGGACUCAAGAAACUUAUGCAUGGCAUGUUCGUACAUACAAUCAAUACUAUCGAAACUCCAUGUCCUGGUAUGAAUAUUGUCUUCAACAAGAUGGACUCCUUUCAUCUAACAAUAACAAUAUGAUGGAACCACAUCGAUCUUCAUUUUGGUAUUAAGGACCAUUGCAAUGUCAUAUACUCAUAUGUAUUAUGUUUAUGUGUAAAUUGUUUUCAUUUAAUAAAAUCAAAUAUUUCUUAACUCAAUUCUAACUUUCUAAGUGUACAAUUCCAAAUUUCAUAUUUUCUAUUCUUAAAAUCCAAGUAUCGUAAACUGUUUACCGAUAUUUUUUUCUUUGACCAUAUUUAUGUCAAUUACACUUAUAAAAUAACUUUAACAUGUAUAUUCUUGCUUAUUUUAUCAUUCUUUGGAUUUUUCUAAGCAUUCCCAUCAAUUUUGGAUAAUUUUUGUCUCACCGAUAUUUAAUGAAAAAUAUCCACCGAUAUUUCUCCGAUAUUUCCGAUAUAUCCGUAAAAUCCAAGUACCGAUAUAUCUGUAUUUACCGAUAUUUCAAUCCUUGAAUAUUACAAGGAAACAAAUAGAAGGAGAGGCUACUUUUGGUAAAGAUAGAUUUAAGAACACCUAGCUAAAGUAUAUUUCAUAUUUACCUCUUUUGUUAUGUUACAUGGAUUCAGGUGCUAGUGUGCUUGUAGGCAUCCAAUCCUUCAAAUUCCAAAAUUUUAGGAUGUGGAGACUUUAAUAAAAAGGAUCCAUUAGCAACUACUGAUACAUGGAUACAACGUAAUAAUGAUUGAAAUACUACUAAGCACACUUCCCAAUUAAGUCAAACAUAGUCUUGCAUUCAAGCAUAUUUUAUUUGACUUUCAAUCUUCUCAAUUAUGAGUUAUACCAGUAAUAAGCUUAUAUUUCCAUGUUCCCUGAAAACAAGUCUCUUCAAAAGCGGCAACAAUCCUUUUAAGGCAAGGUUGCAAUGAUCUCUAGAGAACAAAAGAAAAAACUCCCUUGUAAGCAAGAGAGUAGUAUCCAAGAAGGAUUUCAUGCCAUGUUGACACGGGAACUUAGGUGAAGUAAAAGAGGUUGAGUACCACAAUUUCUGUGAGACAAAUGCAAGAACAUAUAUUUAACAGGAAACCAAAUAAUAUAAACAAUCAAGUAACCAUAAUUUAAAGACAUAAAUUAGAAAACUAGAAAUUCUAAAUCAAAAUGAUACAUUGACCAGGAUCAUAAUGUCCUUUAGGAUUUGUUGCACCAAAGACAAUUGUCCUGGUACAAAGAGACGUCACAAGGCUAGCCUGAAAAAGGAAAAUAAUUAGUAAGAGAAUGUCAUUCAUGAAUUAUGCUUCACUAAACAUUAAAAGAACAAAGAAAAAGGCAGUCGAAUUUCUAUUUAAAAAGUUUAAACAAAUGGAACAAUAACAAAGUGAACAUACGGUAAAAAUAACAAUAAAAGGUUUUAAUUAAUCUCACCAACUUAUAAACCAUUGAAGGGGAAUUGGAACACUAGAGGAGAUAUGUAGGUGAAACAAAUACAUAUACUCUCAAUAGCAAACCCUUAAUACAUUCAUUUGUGGAUUCUUGCCUCUAACAUACCUCCUCUCUCAUCAAGAGUUCUCAACUCUACUUUCCUAGAACCUCUACUGGCUUAAAGGUCAUCCCUUAGAAGGUAUUCUAAGGGAUGCACAUUCUGAUAUCUCUAAGGAUGAAGCUUCUCUCUCACAAAAAAUUCCUAAAAAUGCCUUUAUUUCGAACCUUCAACUUAGCUUCAACAUACUUCAGUUUGCCCAUGAAUUUAUAGCCUUUCCACCAAUUAACCUAAGUCUGUCUCAACUCCCUCAAUCUUCAAACCCAUGGUAGUGAAGCUGCAUGCCUAGAAAAUGGAAGGAAACCAAACUCCAAAUAAUUUGGUUAGAAGUCACCAGAAUAGGGCAAUGCUUUGAAACAGGGCUUCACAUUGCUUCUUGUACAAUGUGGGGAAUUCUAAAUUCCAAAUGUAGGAAAUAAAAAUAUCUUUCACAAAUGGGGUUGCCCUCGGCAAUGCAAGUUUGGUGAAGUCAAAGACAUCCUUAUAAAGGGAGGAUCAACAAAACUACAAGCAAUGGCAAUGUUAUAAAAGCCCAUCAUAUGAAGUUAGUUAAGAGGAUCCAAGCUUCCCCAAAGCUCUUCCAAAGAGUAAGUUAAACCAAAUAAGUCUUCCAAUUUGAUCUAGAUGUUCAAUUCUAGAGAUAAGCUAUUUGGAUUAUAAGGUGCUUCAACCAAUAAUCCUCUAAACAAUCCAAGGAAAAUAUAACAGAAAAUGAUUAAGAGCCUAACACCAUCUCACAUGUCUUUUGCAAGUAAAAUAUCUAAAUAAUCCAAGCCUCAUAAGAGGGCAAUUCAGCUAAUUCCUUACUUCAACCCUCUAAUAGGAUUCAAAUAGUUUUCCUACCAAUAUGUUCCAGUUUGGUUUGUUAGAGAAUAACAAUAUCCAAGACUCACUUUCGAAGGAAAUAUCAAAUUGCUUCCCUAUUACUCCUAGACCUCAACCCACAAAUAUUUUUUAAUAGGCAAGAAAGAAUUUAUUAGAAAAUUUUCCAAACAAAAGACCCACCACCUAAUGCCAAAUUGUAUACCAACUACAUUGCUAGAAUGCCAUUGUGAAAUCAUCAGGCCUAGGGCCAUAUCACUUCCCAAACCAUUAAGAGCAUAAAAGAACUCUUCUUCCCAAAAAGCCUCAUCUCACUUCUCCACAACCAACCUUUCUAAAGCUCUAAAGACCUUUUAAUAUUGGGCCUCCAAUCCCCAAAAUCUGAGAACUGAUGGAAAAACUAGCAACCCAUUCUUUCAUUCAUCCUUCUCAAAUAACCAACCCUAUUUAUCAUUAAUUUUCCAAAAUCAUUCCUUCUAAACUGGUUUUGAGCCAUCCUAUGGAACAUUUGAGUGUUUCUAUCACCUCCCUUUAGCCAUGACUCCUAAGACUUCUAUCUCCAAGAGGUCACCUUUAGGUUUGCUUGAUAAUAAUAAUAUGCCAUAGCACGCUUUCUAGCCUCCAAAUCCUCAUCUUCCAAAGACCCAACUCUCUCCUUAUUGUACUAGUAACCAGUGUUGUCAAAGGUAAAAGGUGAUGCCAAGGCGAGAAGACCCUUUUUAACCUGAGGUGAAAGGCGAAAAUUAAGGCAAUCACCUAACUAUAAUAAGGUGAUAAAAUAGUAUAAAUAUAUUUACCAUUUUACCUAUUCUAUAAUCAACCAAUAUAAGUAUUCUUCAAUAAUCAAUACUACUAAAUUUUCAUCCCCUGUGAUGCCUUAUAAAAUUAAGAAAAUAGUAAUAAUCAUUCAAAGUGUUAAAUAUAAUACCCCACAUCAUAAGAAAAGUCAUACUAUUUAGAGAAAUUCAUCAUGUCCAUAUGCAUAUUCUAAUGUUCCAAACAUUCAAAAAUUAAAAUAAGAAACAAAAUAAGAUAAUGAAUGCCCUAAAGAUGCUUUAAGCAUCAUCAUUGUAGUCAUUAUUGAAAUUAAAAUUGUCAUCACUUCCAUCAAGACUAUAUUGGCAUCCCUCCAUCUCAUUAUCAUCCUCUUCAAUGUCCUCUAAAUUGCUCUCUUUCUCUUCAAAAUCAAGUUGUGAAGUAGUAGCCACUAAAUCCCCCUUUAAACUUGUCUUUGAUCUUGCUCAAAGUCUAGUGGAAAUAUUUGCAUCUCCCACUCCUGCUACACUUGCCACUACACCCCAUGUCUAGCUAUCAUCUACAAAAACCAAGCCAUCCUCCACAUGAAUGGUGGUGUCUUCUUCACUUAUUUUUCCAAUCAACCACUCAUUACUUUCGUCAAUAUCUACUAAUGAGAUGGGGUCAAUGACAUUGCAUCUAUCAUAUCGUGCUUUAAGAGCUUGGUUGUAUUUAACAAACACCAAGUCAUUUAGUCAUUUUUGCUCUAAUUUGUUUCUCUUCUUGGUAUGAAUUGGUAAACAUUUAUUAGUAAAUUUAACCACAAGCUAUAUUAGUUAUAACCAUGGAUUCAAAUAUUGUGUUUCAGCGGACCUCGACAUAAUAUAUAGAAGAGAAAUAUUGAUACUCCGAUAUUUCGUCAAUUUAUCGAGAAUUUUGCCGAUAUCUCGUAAUUAUCAUUAUUUUAUCGGUUUUUUAGCGAUUUAUCACGAUAUUUUGUUGCGGUCAAUGCAGAGAAGUGUGGUCAAAGGUAAAAACUCACUUGAUAUUUUUUGUAGCUAAGGGAGGUCGAACCCCAACCAAAAGAUUCAACUUGUAGAUGAACCAAGCUUGUUUCUUAUAAUAUAUACCACAUCAAACAUAUAUAACCUAAAACUCAUCAUAUAAACAUAAUAUUAAAAUAACAUUUUAAUGAACAAAUUAAUUAUAAUUAUUUUAUAAUUAAAUGAAAAAAUUUCAUUUAAUUGAUUAUCAAAAAUAUAAAAAUUAUCAUGAUAAUUUUCUUCAUAGUGUUUUUAAUAUCAUUAAUAUAUUAAUUAAAUAUUAAAAAUUAUACAUAUAUUAAAUGAAUUAUAAUUUUAAUAUUAAAUAUAUUUUAAAAUUAGACAAAGUAUAAUAAAAUAUCACAACAUUAUUAUCAAAUAAUAUUUGAUAUAAUUUAAUAAUAAAUAUAUAUUUAUGAAAUUUAUAUUUUUUAUGGAUGUAUAUAAUGUUAUUAUGAAACAUGAUGAAUUAUAUUAUACAUAUAUCAAUUUCUUGAACAAAAUAACUUUAAAAUAUCUAAUAUACUUCUAAUUUCAUUUUUGAGAGUUUAUUUUUUUAUUUUUUUAUUUUUUUAUUUUUACAUUUGUAUAAGUUUUGAUUAAUUUUAGGUCCAUCGAUAUUUUGUGUCAAAAUAUGCACCGAUAUAUCUCUGAAAUAUCUGUAAUUUCUGAUAUUUUUAUCCUUGGUUAUAACAACUUAAUUUACUUAACUAAUAAAAUUUCUAAUUUUAUAAAUUUAUAUAUUAUAUAAUCAACAAAGUAUUAAAUACUUACAUGCUCAAACACACUUCAAUUACGUUCACAACCCGAUGCACUACAAGUCAAGCUAAGAAUCUUUAUGGCUACUUGUUGUAAAUUUGGGGUUGUGUUGCCAUAUAGUUUCCACCAUUCAGCUAUAAUGUUUUAAAUGGAAACAAAAAAUUAGUAGAUUAGCAAGUAAUAUUUGAUCUAAUAGCUAAAAAAAUAAGUAAUUUAAUAUCUUAUUUAGAAAUAUAAACUUUCUUAAAGUACUUUAUAGUUUAUACCUGGAGUUAGCGUCUUCCUUGAUCUAAUGGCUAUUGGAAUACCGAAGAGACCCUCCGCAUUCUUAUAAGUUGACAACUCACAAAUGAUCUUAUCUUGCACAUCAAUAUUAGAAACUAAUCUAUCUAUACAAGAAUAUAUUCUUGAUGUCACUUCUUCAUCAAACUUCACAGGAGGGUUGUCAUAGAAAAAUUCCAAGUUUAAGAAGCACCUACUGCAUGCAAGGGACAAUAGAGUUGACAUUCCCAUUUCUUACCAAUAAUAGAGAAGAUCUCCUUGUACCUAUCCUCAUUCUCGUUAAAUGACUUUUUGAUAGUCUCUUUACAUCUAUCCAUAGCUUCAUAUAUGUACCCCAUGUUAAUGUUACCAUAUACAAUUUAGGAAUCAGACUGGUUGUACAUAUACGAAAAGAUUGAUAGUUAUGUUAAUGUUACCAUAUACAAUUUAUGAAUUAGAUUGGCAGUAAUGUUACCAUAUACAAUUUAAGAAUUAGAUUGGUUGUACAUAUACGUUUGUAUAUAGAUGGAUGUAGAGAAUAAUAAAAACAGAAGGGAGUUCUCGGUUUCUAGGGAUUUUUCUGAGUGUUUGACAUGGUAUCAGAGCCAGGUUUCGGCACCUUCUGAGUGAAGUUCGUGCUUCUUGGAGGUUUUGGCACUUUCUGUUGGUGCAUUUAUGUUUUUUUUUUUUGUGAUUGCUAUGGGUGUUUUUUUGGGUUUUGAUCCAUUUCAUCGCGACCUGAUUCUUGGCCAUUUUUGGUGGAAGGUGCGAGGAAACUAGAAAGAAGAGGGGAUGAAAGAAAAUUGGGUUUUGUAGAUGAUCUUAGGUCCAGUUUCUCUCAUUGGAGACAACUACAAAACUUCUAUUGUUGUGAGCGACUGGAACAUCACAUCCGUACAUUCUGAAUCAUCAUUUGCUGCACCAGAAUUUUAAGGGGAGAGUCUUUAGUCUAGACAACUACAGAUCGGGUUCCAAAGCGUGAUCCUCCAUUGCUCGUGUUGCCGCAACACUUUGUGCCAUACCCAUGCAUCUCUGGCAACACCCUACUGCCAUUAGAGAUUCGCACCAGCUUGUUAAUCCUGCCACCUAAACACCACAGUCGCAUCAAAAUUUUAAGAGAGAGGCUUCCAUCACUCUAGGGAUCUUCACAACUUUAUCUCCAAGAGCACAAGUGUGCACCCUGUCAAAGGGAAUUUCUCUCCAUUAACGUGUUGCAUUAUGUCAUCAGAUAAUUUGGAAUCAUUUCCUAUUAGAUUUACUGGAAAAAAUUAUUAUGCUUAGGAGUUUCAAUUUAAAUUAUUUGUCAAAGGAAAAGAAUUAUGGGGUCAUAUUGAUGGGAGUAAUCCUACACCUCGUGAUGUCGAGGCUUUGUCUAAGUGGGAAAUUAAGGAUACUCGGGUUAUGGCUUGGAUCCUUAGCUCGAUUCAACCUCAUCUUGUUCUCAAUCUGAGGCCUUAUAAAAUUGUUACUGAUAUGUGGAAUGAUCUCCACACAGUUUACAAUCAAGACAACUCUGCUAGGCAUUUUCAAUUGGAGUAUGAGAUGGCUAAUUUCACACAAGGAAGUCUCUCAAUUGAGGAAUAUUUUUUCUGGUUUUCAAACUCUUUGGGUUGAUUAUUCUGACAUUGUUUAUGCUAAUGUUCCCGUUGAAGCUCUCUCUGCUAUCCAAACAGUGCAUGUAACCAGCAAGUGAGAUCAAUUCUUGAUGAAGUUACGACCCGACUUUGAAAUUGCACGGUCUAAUAUGAUGAAUCAUCAUCCUGUACCAUCUCUGGAUGCCUGCUUGAGUGACCUUUUACGUGAGGAACAACGUAUCAUAACUUAAGCUACCAUGGAACAUCGGGCUAAUGUUAGUGCAUCUGUUUCUGUGGCUUAUGUAGCACAGGGGCAGAAUAAGGGUCAAGACAUGCGUGUUGUCUAGUGCUUUAGUUGUAAAGAUUUUGGUCAUAUUGCUCAGAAUUGUCCUAAGAAGUUCUGUAACUAUUGCAAGAAACAAGGUCAUAUCAUCUCUGCUUGUCCUAUUCGGCUUGAAAGGAAGCAGGGUACUGCUUAUCAUGCCUCUACUGAUACCUCUAGUUAUGCUACAUUGCCUGUUGUCUCGUCAGUUGUUCCUAUUCCUGCUCCUAUAGCCUUAGCAAACCUGAAUACACUCACUCCUAAAAUGGUACAACAAAUGAUCAUUUCUGUUUUUUCUGUCUUUGGGCUCUCAGGUAAUCAUACGGUUUCUUAUAAGCCAUGGUAUUUUGACUUUGGAGCCUCUAACCAUAUGACGAAUUCUAUUCUUUCUCUUUCCAAUGUUAGAAAUUAUGAUGGAAAUAUGAAAAUUAACACUACUGAUGGUAGUUCUGGCCUAUCAGUGCUGUUGGUGAUCUUUCCUCUUCCUUAACUGAUGUUUUUAUGUCUCCUGAUCUCUCCACAAAUGUUAUUUAUGUUGGUUAAUUGGUUGAUAAUAAUUGUAAUGUCAAUUUCUCAUGUUCUGGUUAUGUUGUGCAGGAUCAAGUGUUAGGGAAGAUGAUCGCGAAGGAGCCUAAAGUGGGACGACUCUUUCCUCUUCAUGUUUCUCCUUCUACUAUUAUUCCUAGUCUUCAUUUAUUUUCCUAUGCAUGUAAUGUUGUUGGUUCUGGACAUAAGAUGUGGCAUAGACGUCUUGGCCACCUAAACUUUGAUGUACUUCGUACUUUGUUUAAUUCUAGAUUAUUGGGAAAAAAACAUGUUCUUCUCUUGAUAUUUCUUUCAAUUGUACGUCAUGCAAACUUGGCAAAAGUAAAGUUCUACCUUUUCCUCAUCCUGUAUUUUGUGCCUCAUAAUGUUUUGAUAUUAUUCAUAGUGAUGUUUGGGGGAUUACACUUAUUGUUUCUCAUGCACAUUACAAGUAUUUUGUUACUUUCAUUGAUGACUUUAGUCGCUUUACUUAGGUUUACUUCCUCCGGGCAAAGGCUAAAGUUUUUUUUCAGUCUUUAAGCGCUUUCUUGCAUUUAUUGAGACUCAAUUCUUUGCCAACAUCAAGGUCUUGCGCUUAGAUUCUGGCAGAGAAUACACGUCUAAUGAGUUUCAGGACUUUUUUCAAAGCAAAUGGAUCAUCUCUCAGCGUUCUUGUCCUUCGACACCACAACAAAACGGUGUUGCUGAGAGAAAAAAUCACCACCUUCUUGAUGUGGUAAGAACUCUUUUACUUGACUCAUCUAUUCCUCCUCGUUUUUGGUGUGAAACACUUUCUACUGCAGUUCAUUUGAUCAAUCACUUACCCUGUCCUAUGUUAAAUCAUGUUUCUCAUUUCUCUAAGUUGUUUGGUCAUUCUCCUUUAUAUUCUGAUCUUCGUACAUUUGGUUGUGUUUGUUUUGUGCAUCUACCUACUCAUGAACAACAUAAACUUACUGCUCAAUUUGUUAAGUGUGCUUUUCUUGGUUAUACUAUCCCUCACAAGGGUUAUGUUUGUUGUGAUCCCCAUGCUCAUCGUAUACGAGUUUCCCGGAAUGUGAUUUUCUUUGAAAAUCAAUAUUUCUUUCCAUCUCAUGUUGAGUUGCCAUCUGCAUCUGUAUCUCUUCUGCCUAGUUUUUCUGAAUCCCUAACAAUUUUGGAAAGGUUCAAACCUGGUUUUGUGUAUGAAAGACAUAGUCGACAUGAGUUCGGUUCCACUUCCUCUAUGCCCUCUUUCGAUCUUGACCUGACGCCUGAUCCUGCUCCUGCUUUCACCACUCUUCGUCUGUCUACUCAUAUUUUUCGACCCCCUGAUUGGUAUGGAUUCUUCUUUUAUGUCUUUCUUGUUGCUACUUUAUCCGCUAUUUCAAUUCCCUCUUGCUACAAAGAGGCUAUGGAACAUGAGUGUUGGCAAAAUGCAAUGCAAGCAUAACUUCAAGCACUUGAGGAGAAUCAAAUUUGAGAUAUUGUUUCUUGUCCUCCUACAAUCAAACCUCUUGGGAGUAAAUGGGUUUUCUCAAUAAAACUUCGUUCUGUUGGCUCUUUGGACCGGUAUAAAGCUUGCCUUAUAGCUCUGGGUAACAAGCAAGAAUAUAGGGUUGAUUAUGAGCAGACAUUUGAUCUUGUUGCCAAAAUGACCACGGUUUGAACCAUCUUACUUUGGUAUGACUAAUUCUUCUCCUCAUGAUGUUUAUAAGCUAAAAUGUUCUUUGUAUAGGCUCAAGCAGGUGCCCCGGGCUUGGUUUGAGAAGUUUUGCAGUACAAUUCUUUCCUUUAGUUUUACCUAAAGUCAGUAUGAUUCUUCCUUCUUCUUCCACACGUCUGCGUCGGGUACAAUCCUUCUCUUGGUUUAUGUGGAUGAUAUUGUCAUUACUGGCACUGACUGUGGUUUGAUUGCUAAGCUUCAACGGCUAUUACAUACAACUUUCCAUAUGAAAGAUCUUGGACAACUCACAUACUUCUUAGGAUUGGAAGUUCAUCAUCGGGCCAAUGGUAUUUUCGUGAACUAGCAUAAGUAUAUUCAAGAUCUUAUCACUUUGGCUGGUUUGAAGGACACUGCCUUUGUUGAAACUCCUAUGGAGAUAAAUGUCAAAUAUAGGAAAGAUGAAGGGGACCUUCUGGAUGAUCCUAUUCUUUAUCGGCGCCUGGUUGGGAGUCUUAUCUACUUGACCACUACUCGACCUGAUAUCUCCUAUGUUGUUCAUCAGGUCAGUCAGUUUAUGACUUCUCCUUGGCAUCUCUAUCUUGUUGUAGUUCAACUCAUCAUCCGCUAUCUUCGAGGUUCACCUACUCGUGGGUUGUUCUUUCCUACCGGCUCCUCUCUUCAACUUGUUGCCUAUAGUGAUGCCGAUUGAGCUGGGUGUCCAGAUACAUGUCGAUCUACUAUGGGUCGGUGUAUGUUUUUAAGUGAUGCCUUAAUUUCUUGAAGAUGUAAGAAACAAGAUCGCGUUUCUAAAUCCUCUACCGAGGCCGAGUAUCAUGCCAUAUCUACUACUUGUUUUGAAAUUGUAUGGCUACACGGUCUUCUUGAGGAGCUUGUGUUUCCUCAAACUAUGUGUACACCUCUUCAUGCUGAUAACACUAGUGCUAUUCAGAUUGCCACCAAUCCCGUUUUUCAUGAACAUACCAAGCACAUUGAGGUUGAUUGUCAUUCUAUUUGAGACACCUUGGAAAGUCGGGUGAUAUCUCUUCCUCACAUCUCUUCUGAUCUCCAAGUGGUUGAUGUCUUCACCAAAGCUUUGACUCUACAACGACAUCAAUUUCUUGUUGGCAAAUUGUUGCUGGUUGACUUACCAGCAUCAAUUUGAGGGGAGAUGUUAAUGUUACCAUAUUCAAUUUAGGAAUCAGAUUGGUUGUACAUAUACGAAAAGAUUGACAGUUAUGUUAAUGUUACCAUAUACAAUUUAGGAAUCAAAUUGGCUGUAAUGUUACCAUAUACAAUUUAGGAAUCAGACUGGUUGUACAUAUACAUCUAUAUAUAGAUGGAUGCAAAGAAUAAUAAAAACAGAAGGGAGUUCUCGGUUUCUGGGGGGUUUUCUGAGUGUUUGACACCCCAUAGCUAGCUUUCUUUCAUUGUCAACAAGUCGAAGAACUUUAACAAGAGGACCCAUCACCUUAAGAAUAUAAACAACUUGAUUCCAAAAUGAAGGCAUCAAAACUAUUUUUGAGACUUGUUUUCCCUUUGCUUCCUUUGCCCAUAUACUAGUUAACCACUUGUUAGAAGUGAACAUCAAUCUCAAAUUACGCUUUUGCAUAUGGAUACUUUGUAGGGUAUGAAAACAUGUUACAAAUUGAGUUAUGCCUGGCCUAACCAAUUCUCUUUGUUUGGUGAACUCUCUCAUCAUAUUUAGCACUCCCGCAUGAUUGUAGAUGAACCCAUUCAAUGUGAUGGCUCUAGUCAAAGUCCUCUUAAUUAUAGGAAGUUUCCCAAUAUCUUCUAAAAUGAGAUCUAUGCAAUGAGCUGCACACAAGUGUCCAAUAUAAAUGUGGUCGUUUUGCCUCUAGGAACUUUCCUAUAUAAAGUCAAAAUCAUAAAAACCAUAAUAAAUAAAAAUUAUGAAUAAUAUCUUAAAUUCAUAAUAUAAUGUUUCAAUUCAAAUGGCGCAAAUAAAACCUAAAGAACUUCAUCAAAUAAAAUCUUACCUGUCAAUACAUAGUUAGAUCCAUUGUCAACUAUUACUUGAACAACAUUUUUCUCCCUAAUGCGCUCCUCAAACUUGUCUAAUAAUUCAAAUGUAUUCUCCCCAGUUUUCCUGAUUGAACUAUCAUCAAUGGACUCCAUAAACAUUGUUCCAACUGGGCAAUUUACCAAAAAAUUCAUCAAGGUUUGAUUUCUUUUAUUUGUCCACCCAUCAGACAUAAUAGAAACUCCAUACUUCAUCCAUGCAACAUUAUGAUCUUUCAAUUUUUUAUUUUUUUUUUGUACUCCACUUCUUUAUGAAGGAUUGGAACUCUUAAUUCAUGAUAACUUGGAGGUUUCAUAUUUGGAUCAUAUUGUCCAAUAACUUCAACCAUCCAUUUAAAACUAUCUAGAUUUGCACAAUUAAAUGAUAUUUCUUCUUGAUAAAAGAAUCGACCUAUGUAUUGACAUACGGUUUCUCUUUUCUUUUUAUCAAACACAUCAUUAUAGAACUUUGUUUGAUCUUUCCCUCUUUCCAAAGUUGAACUACUUUUUCUAGCUUUUGAGACACAAAAGCAUCAAUGGACCUUUUGUUGUUGAAUUCAUCUUCUUAUUACUUUCCAUGCCAUUUUUUUUUAUUAUCAAUCACUUUUUUCCCAUGCAAAUUGACUUCUUCAAGUUCCUUUUCCUCAUCAAUAUCAACAAUGUUUUCUAAGCCACCAAAUUCAGGAAAAAAAACUAUAGUUGUCUUUUUUAUUCUUUUUAUUAGUCAUAUACUGCUCAAACUCCUCUCUUACUUCAUCUAGACAUUUUAAACACCUUGCAACAUUUUCUUUUGUUUUCCUAUUUGAUGUUGUUUUACUCUAAAUAUUCCACAUUUUGUCUCCUUCCCACAAAAUAAACAUGUAUCUGAAUUUGUAUGUUUGGAUCUUUCAAAAGAUUAUAUUUCCAAUGCGGAAUUUUUUUUUCGAACCUUUUGAUGAUGUGCCAUCUUCUAAUGCCAUUUCCAAAAUCUAAAUUUAGUUUUUUUUUAAAAAAUAAUUACAAAUUUAAAAUUUAAAAUAUAAGGAAAAUAAGACAACAAUGUAAAAAAGUUAUAAAAUACAAAAAACUUUUAUAACAAAUAAUAAAAUUCUCAUGCAAGAAGCAUGGUCCGUUGAAUGAUAUAUUUUCAAUAAUAAGAACAUAUAAGUGGUGAAAAUGGUGGGACCCAUUGAAAUGAUGAGUCUAAGGAAGGUGGAGUAUGGCUUUCUGCAAUGUGCAGUGGCAGUAGAAAAUGGUUAAAUCUUUGCAGUGUGUGUACUGUGUAGUGGCAUUGUGACAGGCUUAAAAAAAAUUGGUCUAAGAAGGUAUAGUAUGGGUCUCUACAAUGUGCAAUGGCAGUAGAAAAUGGUCAAAUCUCUCUGUGUAGUGACACUAUUACAGGUAGCUCUAUAGUGUGUAGUAUUUCAGUGACAACACAGAGUAAAAUAUAUAUAUAUAUAUAAAAGUGGCCCUUGUGAGUCUUCACAUCACAAGCAAAGACAAGUUUUUGGUUUGCAGAGAAUAAAAUGAAAAAAACAAUAGUCAAUAGCUAUAAAGUGUGUAAAAGAAGGCAGUCUUCAUUCUUCAAAACACAAGCAAAGAUAAUAUUUUUCUUUGCAAAGAAUAAAAUAAAAUAAAAAUGAGUCAGUUCAAAGGUGCAUCAAUCAAAACAUACUUUUUUUCUUUUAAAAAAAGUUGGCUUCAUUGUUCAAAACUUCAAAUCGUGAAGAACAUAAAACAAAGGUCAUAAGAAGAGUUAUAGUGAAAAGAAAGAUGAGAAAACAUUGCCAAAGUGAACCAUAAAGCUGCUGAAAUCUUCAUCCCUUCAUCUUGUCUUUUUAUUGCUAAAAAGUAACAAAAAACUUUCUUUUCUUCUUCCCUCCGCCUUAUCUUUUUUCUUAAGCCUAAAUCUUGUUAUUUUCUUUUUUUGCCCUUUUAUUAAGGCUUUGUUAUAAACCUUUUAGCUUCUCCAUACCUCAACUUUCCAAAUUUUAUUUUAUUUUAUUUUAUUUUCCAAGUUUUCAGCCUUAUGAAUAAAGGCAAUCACUAUUACACCUUAAACUUUAUCCUAAGGUGACCACCUAGGGGUUGCCUCUUUGAAGUUGCCUCACUUAGGUCUUUAAGAGGCGUUUUUUAUUUUUCUCACUUCGCCUGGUGGCCUAAGCAAACCAAGCGAUCUCCCUUGACAACAUUGCCAGUAACCAAUUUGCUCAUAAGGAGCUACUAUGCUAACUACCAUGUUACCGAAGAGUCGUUUAUGUAAAGCUUUAAUAUCUUCUUUCAAAGCUUUCAGCUAGUUCAAAUAAACAAAACUCGAUGGUCCAGUCAUAUUGUAGCUUUUCCACUAGUUCUUCACAAAGCCCUAAAACCAUCCACCUUUAGCCACAUAUUUUUAGACCUAAACAUAAUCUUACCGAUUGUAACCCCAUUACUAUCCAAUGAAAUCAAUGUAUUAGCAUAGAUUGGCCUCGACAACACGCUUUAGACCAAAUUAAAGAAAUGAUCCUCUUGAUCUGUAAUCACAAGAAAGAGAUCAAGAGAAUGGGAAUCCCUUCUUGCCUCCCCACUCCAUGGAAACUCUCCUCUUGAAAAUGUCAUAUCUAUUAUACUAAAAUACCUUAAAAACUUCAUGAAGUGCCUCAUCAUUGCUAAAAUAUGGAUGCAAUGUCCUUUUUCUUAAGGAAAUCCCACUAUAUAAAAGUCUCUCCUAAUACACCAAAGAUCCUCCCACAACCCCAUAAUAUCCCCUAGUUGUUUUCGAGAAAUCCUCCUUGUCCCAUUUCGAAUCCAGGUGCCCCUAAAAGCCCACACAAAUUAUCCUCAAAACUGGUAAAAUAGUAGGAAAAUAAAAAUGCUCCAUUUCUCCUACUCCCACCUCAACCAUCUCAAAAGCUCUCUCAUAAAAAUAAAAAUAAAAAUAAAAAAACUAUUGGGGCAUGAAAUACAAUAUGGGUUCAAAUCCUACUAGCUUAAGCUUUUAGGAAAAUUAGUUGUUCAACAUGAUACCAAAGCUUCAAUUAAUUGGAGGUCAAGAGUUUGAAUCCUCUCUCCAUAUAUUUAUCUGUCUUAUUUUUUGUGAUCUGAAAUUUGUGAUUUGUCAACAUCUACUAUUGUUUGUGACUCCCACAAUGGGUAUAGGCCACAAAGGAGGGGAGAUGGUGGAGCAUGAAUUACAUUGUGGCUUAAAUCCUACUAACUUAAGUGUUUAGGAAAAUUACUUCUUCAACAAAAAAUACCCACUUCCCCAAACCUCCCAUUGCCCUUAAAGCUUCCAAAACUAAAAAUACCUGCACCCAAACUUCUCAGCAAAUAUAUCAUCUGCUUUGCUAUCUUGCAAGCAUACCAAAUCCAACUUCCAAGACAGGAUGAUAAUCUUAACAAUUUUCAUCUUCUACCGAUUAUUUAGGCCUCCUACAUUCCAUGACAACAUCAUUAUUUUCAUUGUGUUGAAGAUCCAUCUCUAUCUCCUUUUGAUCUACUUUCCAUGUAUUGGCCUUAUAAUUCCCAAAGCGCUAAUUUUUUCAAUUCCCUCUGUUUCCACCUAAAGCCUCUUGCUUUUCACUUUCUAGCUUAUACUAAGAAUGACUUUCUAUGUUUUGCCCCUAUUUUUAUAAUCAAGGUCAGAAUUUCUUCCUCAAAACUAUCAAAGGAUGUGCCCACAAAUCUAUUGAAUCCCACAAAUUUACUAUUAGACUAUAGCAAGGAACCUUUUUAACCAUUUCCAACCAAACUUCUUAAUAACUACUACUCCUAGAAGAAUCUAGGGGUAACUCAGACAAGAGAGAAAUAAAUGGUGAUGAAAUGAGGAGAACGCUUCUCAUUAGGGACCAACUUCCAUGAAUUACAUGGCCCUGAACUAGAACUAGAUUCUCAGGAAAAUCCAUUGAUCUGUCAUCUUGCAAGAUCAUUCUCAAGGGACCUCAUCCGCCAUAGCAAACUCUAGAGCUUAUCUCCCUCACCUUCUAGAAAUCCUUUUGCACUAACCUCAUAGGAGAAGCAAUCUAAGAAGAAAAUGUAGGAGUAGAAGACUCAUCCCCAAGCACCAAAACCUAGUAAUAGACUAAGAACCUAGGGUUCAAGAUACUAGUACCAAGAAAAGCUUAAAAGCAUGGUGUUUUCUUAAGAAAUCAAUUAUUUGAUGUGCAAGAUGUCCUCAUCAUCUAGCUACUAGAACCAAAUAAUUUUCUGUACUUCACAUGCCUAUUUAUAUGGAUGUCAGUGAGAUCACCUUCACCUAGGCAUUACAGACAUUUUUACAAAGAAUAUGAAUUGAUGAUGAAUUUUUAUAAAAUUUGUGUCACCCAUUUUCAUUAAUAAUCUACCUAACUUAGAAGUUGAAUCUAGAAAAGUGAAACAAAUUCACCAUUUCACACUCAGAUGAUGACUUAAAUUAAGGGCAAUUCAAACUAUAUAACACAAGCAUUUGUAGUAAAGAUAUAGCGAGCACAAAGUAAUAAAGAUAUACCAAGUACAAAUUUAACUUUCCUCUAUUGUUUUCAGUAUCUUAUAUUUCAAAAUUAUUCCUAAUGUGCAAAAAUGAAGGGAGUCCUGCUAGGUAGAAAUCCAGCCUUAAAACCCUUAAAACCUUAUGAACAAGUCAAGUUCAAAUCUAAAUAGAAUCUUUCAAUAAAUUUUCAAAAUAUAGUCAGAACAAGUAAUUUACCUUGGCAAUACCUAUAGUCUGUUACUCCAUUGCUUCAUGUAUGGUUGCCCUAUCAUGUUCCCUCAUACUGUCAAAUAGAACAUGAUUUAGAUUAAGAAUUAAGAAAGGGGAAGACAAAAUGGGGGGAGAGAGGAUAACAUGAAAACAAGAUGAGAGAUGAUAGGAGAAAUAAUAAUAAAAAAAUUAUAUAAAAGAUAGAGGUUUUAUAUAUAUAUAACCUAACACCAGGUUGUUAAAAUAUAAUAUUAGGGAUAUUUAUGUCUUAUGUAUGUUAGAAGGGUAAUAGGUAGUUGCCUCAUGUUUUUUUACUCUCAUUGUUUCCUUCUAUUCCGUUUUUUUUUUUUUUUUUUUUUUCAAACCAGGGAAUUCACCAUAAUACUAGCAAAUAUAAUUAACCAUCUCAUUCAAAUAACUAGCAACCUAAUAAUAGAUCAUUUUGGGGGAAGCAAGUCAAAUUCAUAGUGGAUAACUAUGACUUUAUCACAAACCUCCAUGCUAGAAAAUUUCAAUUGCCUAAUUAUGUCAACCACAGUUAUUAGUAGAGUUAUUUCUUUAAGGGGGUAAAAAAAAAGGGAAAAGAGAACAACACAACUACCAAAAUGAUAAGAAUAACAAGACCUAAAGAGAGAACCAUAGCUGGUUGAUAUUUUUUUCCUUCUCCUUCUCAAAAUAAGGUUCAGAAAACAAAAUAGAUUAUGCAUGUCGAGUUUGAUACACGAUUUACAAAAGCAAAGAGAAAGGUUGCCCUAUUUAAAGUUAAUGAUGUACAAAAAUAGAUUUUUCAUUCAAUCAAAAUGGCAAUACCUAUCAAAUUCGUCUAUACAACAAAGCCCACCAUCUACCAAAACAAGAGCCCUAGCUUCCAACAUCCAUUCCCCUAAAAAUUCCUUAAAAGUGGUUAGUCUUUUUAGUUGAAUUGAAUUUCACAUAUGUGGUUAUAUUAUGUAAUAGAGAAAAUUUCAAGGAUGCCCAAUGAAAUUUCUAAAAAUAAAUGGUGUACAUACUUAUAUGAUGACCUACAAAGGGCUUAAAAAAGCAAUAGAUAAAAUUUCAAUAAAGUAUGGGAUUGCUUGAUAUUCUGCAAAAUGGGGAUUGCUUCGUCUAUUUAAGUUCUCGAUGUAAACCAAAAUUUUUCAAUAAAGUAUCAUUUAGUUUCUCUUUCAAAUUCAAUAUGGUAUCAAAGCCCAAGAUCUGAACAUCAACAUGGUGAAAAUUGCAAUGAUAACAUCUAGCAAGGUCUUCGAAUGUCAUUUUCAAUUCUUUUUUUGUCAAUUCCGAUGGUAAUGGUGGUUUUGAAAAUUCCGUUCACCACAUUACUAUCCACAAAUUCAAUGGCAAGAAUUAUCUCCGAUGGUCUCAAUUAAUAAUGAUGUAUAUAUGUGGGAGAGGUAAAGACGAUGAUGACUAUAUCACAGGCGCGAAUAUGAAGAAUGAUGCAUCUUAUAAAACCUGGUUUUCUGAGAACAAUAUGAUUAUGUCUUGGCUUACUAAUUCCAUGGCGCAGGCCAGACGUUCCUCUUCUACAAGACAACAAAAGAAAUCUAGGAUGCAGUCAAAGAGACGUUUUCAGACAACGAAAAAUGCAAUAGAGGUGUUUGAAAUCAAAAGUCAAUUUCUAGAAUUACGGCAAGGGGACCUCAAUGUGACCCAAUACUUUAGCAUUCUCUCUUGAUAUUGAAAGAAACUGGACAUGUGCGAAGAAUUGGAAUGGGAUUGCACUAGUGACAACAUCAAAUAUCAGAAAAUUGUGGAAAAAGAAAAUAUCUUCACAUUCUUGGCGGGACUCAACAAAAAUCUUGAUGAAGUCCAAGGAAGGAUUCUUAGCACUAAGCCACUCCCAUUACUUUGAGAGACAUGUUCUAAAGUCCUGACAAAAAGAGAGUCGAAAGAAAGUCAUGAUGAAGGAUCAUAACUCAUCACAGUCUUUUUCGAGCAACGACGGAUUAGCUUUGGCCACCAAGUGACCAAAUUCUCAACACUUUGAUUCAAAAAGGAGAUCUAACAGGCCAUGGUGUGAUCAUUGUAAUCAAGUUGGUCACACUCAAGAAACUUGUUGAAAAAUUUAUGGGAAGCCAUCUAAUUGGAAAAGUAACAGAACUUAGGAAAAUAAACCUCAAGGUUAUUGUGCCACCAAUGAUGAACCACCACAAUCCAAUAACUUAGCUAACAAAACACCUUUCAACUAAGAACAGAUGGAGCUACUUCAGAAACUCCUCACAUGUGAUCCUUCGAGUAUCUCCACUAUAAGAUCAAGUUCCAUUGCCUAGAAAAGGAAUAUGUUCCAAAGCCUUGAAAGCUUUUUCAAAGUCAAACUCAUAGAUUAUCAACUCUAGCGCAUCUGAUCACAUGACCGGUGAUAUAACUUUUUUUCACUCUUAUUAGCCUUGUUCUGAGAAUUAUAAAAUUAAAAUAGCUGAUGGUUCUUACUCACCAGUGGCCAAUAAAGAGUGUCGUUCUUCCAAAUAGCUUUAGAUUGCUCUCUAUUCUUCAUGUUCCCAAGCUUACGUGUAACUUGCUCUCUAUAAGCAAAGUCACUAAAGAUCUGAACCGUGUUAGUAAAUUCUUUCCUAAUCAUUGUGAAUUUCAGGAAAUGGAAACGAGGAAGAUGAUUGGUUGUGCCUAGGAGCAUGAGGGUUUAUAUGUCUUUGGAAAUAAAGCUUCAAAAGGACACACUUAUAAGGCAAGCUGCAAUGUUCUUUCAUCUUUUACAAAUUCCAGUGACCAUGAAAUAAUGGUUUGCCUUUUUAGGCUAGGCCACCCAAGCUUUCCAUAUUUGAAAAUAUUGCUUCUAUCGUUAUUCAAAAAUAAAAACUUAAGAGUCAUUUCAUUGUGAGUUCUAUCAAUUGUCUAAACAUUGUUGAAAUUCUUAUGUUUCACAACCUUAUAAAAAAUCUCAUCAUUUUUCACUCAUACAUAGUGAUUUAUGGGGACUUUCCAAUAUUAGAAACAUAACAUGCUCUAAGUGGUUGAUUUCAUUUAUUGACAAUCACACACAAAUAUGUUGGGUGUAUUUGUUAAAAGAAAAUUUUGAAGCAAAAGAGAUUUUCAAAAAUUUUAAUAAUAUGAUUACACUCAAUUCCAAACCAAAAUCCAAUUUUUUCGCACUAACAAUGGUACUGAAUACUUAAUUCAAUUCUUGGACCAUAUCUUCGUGAACAUGACAUUAUUCAUCAAAGCUCAUGCAUUGCUACACCACAACAAAAUGGAAUUUCAAAAAGAAAAAACCGUCAUCUAUUGGAAGUUGCUUGAUCCCUUAUGUUCAUGACAAAUGUUCCUAAAUAUUUUUACGAGGAAACCGUUCUCACUGCAUCAUACUUGAUAAAAAAAAUGCCCAUUAGAGUAUUACAAUACCAAACUCACAUCGAAGUCCUAAAAAAUUGCUACCCUAACAUCGGCUAGUGUCAUCCCUUCGACCAAAAAAUUUUGGUUGCAGCGUUUUUGUCAACACUCAUGCCAAAAAAAAAAUGAAACUAGAUCUAAGAGCCCUCAAAUGCCUUUUCUUAGGAUAUUCUUCAACCCAAAAAGGUUAUAAAUGUUACUCUUCAAUCACAAAAAGGUUCUAUGUUUCCAUGGAUGUAACAUUCCUUGAGAAUCAAGCCUAUUUUCCCAAAACUCAGCUUCAGGGGGAGAUUUCAGGGAAUUCCAGAUCAGAUCAAUUUUGGGAUAUUGCUAUUCCAACUAAUAUUGCUCUUUCAGCCCUAAUUUUUGAAUCUGCCACCUCAACUGCCCCUGUAACAACAAGUAAGUCUAGCCCUGAAACCACUGUUGUUCCAUUCAAACCAAAUUUUGUACCCAAUCUUCUAGUAAAUUUGACCUCAAAGCUUUAGGUUUAUUCCUGAAGAAAAGUUGCCAGGGAUAUACAGACUCCCAUGCCCUCAACUCAUGGCCAGUUAACUAAACCUAAUCCGGAUCCUCAUGACCAGAAUUCAGGUAACACGGUAACUGAUACUAAUCCAGCUGUAUUAAAUGAUUUGGAUGUUCCUAUUUCAUUUUGCAAAGGGGUUAGAUCGUGUAUUGCACAUCCCAUUGUUGAUUUUGUUUCUUAUGAAAGAUUAUCUCCACAGUUUCGAGCAUUUACUACUAAUCUCUCUAAAGUUGAUAUACCCAGGGACAUUCAUGAGGCAUUACAACAUCCAAAUUAGAAAGUAGUUGUGCAUGAGGAGAUUAAAGCUCUUGAAAAAAAUGGAACCUAGGAAUUAACUAAAUUGCCUUUUGGAAAAUCGAUUGUGGGAUGCAAGUGGAUUUUCAAUAUGAAACAUAAAGCUAAUGGGAACAUUGACAUAUAUAAGGCAAGAUUGAUGGCUAAGGGAUUUACGUAAACGUAUGGAGUAGAUUAUCAGGAAAAUUUUGCUCUAGUUGCAAAACUUAACACUGUUCAAGUUCUACUCUCCAUUGCAGUCAACAAUGAUUGGCCUCUUUAUCAACUAGACGUAAAAAAAAUGCAUUUCUAAAUGGUGAUCUCAAUGAAGAAGCCUAAAUGGAUAUUCCACUAGGAUUCAAAGACAGAAAAAAGAGAAUCAAGUGUGUAGGUUAAAGAAAUCUUUGUAUGGCUUAAAGUAAUCACCUAGGGCCUGGUUUGACCGGUUCACUUUAGCUAUUAAGAAAAUUAGGUAUAGUCAAGGACAAUCAGAUCAUACGAUGUUUUUCAAACAUUCAUUGGAUGGGAAAAUAGCUAUUCUUAUUGUCUAUGUGGACGACAUAAUUCUUAUAGGUGAUGAUGAAGCAGAAAUGAUAAAUAUGAAAAACACCCUCUCUCAGGAAUUCGAAAUCAAGGACUUGGGAGCUCUUAGGUACUUCCUUGGUAUGGAGGUGGCUCAAACUUCAAAGGGAAUAUCAGUCUCUCAACGAAAAUAUGUCCUUGAUCUUCUAGAGGAAACUGGUAUGCUUGGAUGUAGACCAACAGACAUACCUAUGGAGCAAAAUGGCAAGCUUAGUGAUGAUGAAGAAAGCCCUUCGAUUGACAAAGGUCAAUACCAAAGACUUGUUGGGAAGUUGAUCUAUUUAUCCCAUACUAGGCCAAACAUAGCCUUUCUUGUUAGUGUGGUUAGUCAAUUCAUGCAAGCCCCCAUUAAAGAACAUCUUAGUGUAGUUCACAUAAUUCUCCGAUACUUGAAAAUGACACCUAGAAAGGGGUUAUUUUUUUGGUAAAAGUACCAAACGAAUAAUCAAAGUAUAUUCUAACGCAGAUUGGGCAGGUUCCGUGAAGGAUAGAAGGUCCACUUUAGGCUACUGUACCUACAUGUGGAGUAAUUUGGUUACUUGGAGAAGUAAGAAGUAGUCUGUAGUGGCUCAGAGUAGUGUGGAAGCUAAGUUUCAGGCUAUUGUACUUGGUGUAUGUCAAAGACUAUGGCUAAAACAUGUGAUGGAGGAGUUGAAGAUUUCAACCGAGUUUCCAAUGAAAAUGUUUUGUGAUACCAAGCAACCAUCAACAUCUCCCAUAAUUUGGUUCAUUAUGACAAAACCAAACAUGUGGAAAUACACCGACAUUUCAUUAAGGAGAAAGUUGAGAAUGAGGAGUUUUUAGUGCAGUACACACCUACCAAACUUCAAACUGCAGACAUUCUUACAAAAGCUCUACCAAUAUAGCAUUUUAAUUCUCUUAUAAGCAAACUAGGAAUGAUCAAUCUCUAUUCCUCAGUUUCAGGGAGAGUGUUGAAACUGUAGGUUUGAUUUUUAGGAGUUUGAAUUUAAAAAUAAAACCAGAAGAUAAGACUUGACCGAGUCCUAUUAUUUUGGACUGUUUAGUUUGGAUAAGUCCUAGAUUUUUAGGAGUUUGAAUUUAAAAUAAAACUAGAAGAUAAGGCUUGAUUGAAUCUCAUUAUUCUAAACUGUUUAGUUUAGAUAAGUCCUAGUGUGUUUAAAUUUGUUUUUAUCUCUAGUUUAAAUUAGAGAGAAUAUCGGAUGAUAUUUUGCAGUGCUACAUUCUCUUAACUCACAUGCAUGGCUUGAAAAUCUAAUUCACCUGACAAGACAUGCAAAAUACAUGUACUAAUGCAUUGCCAUCAUUUUCUAUUUUACUAGUGAUAGGAAUAAGAAUAAGAUAUCUAAGAGUUUGAGAUACACAUGUCUACUAGCAUGUAUCAAGAAAUGGUUGUGAGCUUCUUUCAUUGGAAAGAGAGUUAUAUAUAUAAAAGGACACAAAACAGGAUGGCCUAUGGCAAGCAUGCAGAAGGAAUACAAGCAACACCCUAAAAAAAAGAUGGAAAAGAAAAAAAAUGGAGACUUCAAGCAUUUCCAACCUAGCAAUGAAAUUCAAAAAACACACGCUCCCCAACAAGUCCACUGGCCAAACAAACAAUGACUUGAGAAUAAUUUCUUUCAGUUUCAACCCCGAAAACCCACUUGGUUAAAAAACUUGGUGAUUCCUCUUCCCCAAAGACACUAGGCUAGGUACAAUGAAGUUGUGAUCUACAUUUUCAUUUUCUUCAUCGAUCAACAAAGCCAACUAGAAAGAUAUUCCUUCAGUCUAGACAAGAUGCAAGCCACCUCAAAAGGAAUCAGCCAUAGACCAGAGGUUACAUAACUGUUGUAUCAAGAGAUGUUUGGUGGACUUCAACCAAAAUAGAGUUCCAAAUUUUUACAAUGCGCCUAUUGAAAUAAAAUAUUAAAAGUAGCAAAGCAGAAUUUUAUGACAAAAAAAAAACAAUUUUAAAAAAAACGCAUAACACUUUCCUUGCAUCAAAGAAUACACUGUUUAGAUGUUCCUUUAUAAUAGUAUCAAAGUUCACUACCCUAAAGAGGCCCGAUAGCAAGGGUUGGCAAUAGCAAUACACUGUCUAGAUGUUCCUAGGAAUUUUAGCAUUUAUGUGGUCUUAUAUAAAAAAGAAGCAUGUCCUUAUUUUAAAACACAGAUUUGAUCAACUCAAUUGCACAAACGUAUUGUUGGAAGGGAUCCAAAAUUAAAACUUAAAAUCAUGAGGAUCUAUUGGAUUGGCAUAGCUUAGACAUCCAAUGUCAUGUGAAUCUUGGGAAAUAAUAAGUCUUGCAAAGUGCCUUAAAACCCAGAAUUCUUGAUGGAUUGAGAUUCUCUUAAAUUUCUCAAGUUAGGAUCUCAGUUUGAACUUCCACAAUUCAACAAGAGAAAGUUUUCCAAUCAAAUUCAAGCUUGAAUUAAAGUGUUUCUGAUUCAAGCCUUAAUGUAUUUAUCCAUUAAAAAUUAUUUUAACAAAAAUAUACAACUUAACCUAAAUUUGAAAAGGCUAAUACUAAGAAUAACAAAGCCUGAUGGUAUCAGUCAGGAAAACCAGAGAAGAAAUUACCAGGAUCACCAACUAGAAGCAAAUGAGAUUUUCCUCGAACCUUAGUCCUAGAAGCAUCAACAUGUUGCACACCUCCAAUAAGUGUUAAUGCAACUAGAUUAAAAUAAGAAAAGUUAGAUGUGGUAAGUGAAGUAUGAAGCAAUAAAGAUUAUAUAAUUUUAAAGAAAGAAAAAAAUAUUAUCUCAAAAUUUGGACCACAUUAGCAUGUCCUCUGUAAAUAGGAGUUUAAAGGUGAAACAGUACAAUGGGAAGUUAAUCUUCAAAAUCCGUGACAAUGGAACUUGACAUUGGAAAGGAAUAUACUUGCAAGUUUCACAAUGAAGAGUCCAAAAACUUGUGGGCAAAUACCCCUAAGAAUGGCAUUUCUCCUUGGUACAAUUAAGCUACUUUAAAUUAAAAGUAGAAGAUGCCAAAAUUCACAGAGCAACUCUAAAUAAAGGAUGCUAAAAGAAUAAAAAUGAAUAGAGAACACACUUUUUUAACAAGACAUUCCUUAAAUAGCCUAAAUCUUCAUAUGCUGAUAUAGAAAAAUUAUGAAAUUUAUGUGAAUAACUAAUUUUCACCUUUUAAUGGGGUAUCUUUGAAGUCUAACCAGAACUGCUUGAAUUUCAUAAUGACCUAAUCAAGGAUAUCCAUGUCUAAUCUAAGCUCAUUAGUUCUCCUAAAAACAAAAAACAAAGAAAAUAAUAAACAAGAGCAAGUUAAAAAAUACCAUGCUCACUAAUAUAUGUGUGGACCCGCAUUUUUCACGUGCGUCCCUACUCGAUCGGCGAGACUCGCUUUUUAUUUGUGAAAAAUUAAUUUUAAAAAAAGUUGGAGUCGCCACCUAUUUUAUUUUUAUUUUAAAGGGAAAAUAAAACAAGAAAGAAAAACCCUAAAAAGUGACUCCAUAGUUUUGGAAAAAGCAUGUCUUUGAGAAACCUGAGUCUAAGUUCGGGAAUCAGGUUACUUAUUGGGAAGGUACCUCUAAGAGGUAGCACCCCUCUAAGCCCUAAAGAGGUCUCUACUGACUAAGUUAAGGGGAAUAUGGCAAUUAAUCGGUUAAUUAUGGAUACCUAAGUAGGCUAGGUGAUUUCAAAAAAAUUUGCAUGCUAAACAAGAUCAAAUCACAAUAAAGGAGAGUUAGGGUGUGUACCUGGACUGCCUCUCAAGCGCUAUCAUAAAACAUCAGAGUUAGUAUAGAAGUGUAACACACAACAUGUAUUUAAUCAUAGUGAAUCAAACAUACAUCUAAACACCUAAGGAUUAUCAAACAUAUGCAUACUUCACAGUGACAUGAUUGUUUACAAAAUUUAGAAAAGUAGGUGAUAGGGGGGGCGUACCUGGAUAGCAUAGAUAACUUACAAUGCGCUUCCAUAAGACAUGAGGGAUUAGAUAAUAAUAAAAUAAAGAAACCCUAGCAUGCUUGUUAUCUAAUUAGCAUAACAAAAAUUAUCAAAGUAUAUGAAAACAUUAAUUAUCACACACAUCUUGUAUACAAUUCCUAAAAAAGAUAGACAUAAUUUCAACAAGUGACAAAAAUGGCAACAAAAAUAAUUUUUGAAAAGAUUUUCUUAUGUAGGGGUUUCACCAAUUCCCCAAUUGAUAUACACGAAUUUAGCUCAGAGUUAUCCCAUUUAUUUGGGACUACAAGCUUUGAUUCGUGCCUUUGUUCAAAACCAAAAUUUUUGUUGAAAACCGAGAAGGAUGCCAAACUGAACAAGAUAUGGUUGCAUAUUAUUUUUAAAUAAUAAAAAAAAGGAAAUUUUGAUCCUGAGGACUCUAAUGAGUUUUUGAAAUAGAUUUUUAAAAUGAUUUUUUUUUUUAUAAAAGUAUUUUAUUUUAAAAUAAAAGGGAUUAAUUUGGAAAAAAUAAAAAAUAAAAUACCAAACAAAACAAAAAUGAAACCUCAAAGUAAAAUUUUUUUAGUAAUUAACAAAAAUGAUAAUGGUGAUGGUAGAGGCCAAUCUUCAUGAUUUUCCAAUGGCCUCUAAAAAUCAAAUUUAAUAAAUAUUCACCAAAGCAACAAACCAAACAACUUUAGAUCAAAUAAAACUAACGAAAUAUUAAUCGGGAUUUACAAGGAUCAAUCAAACACAUAAAUUGAAAUAAACAAUCAAGAACUAAUUUAAAAUCAACCAAACACCUAAACAUGUAAUUAUAAUAAGGUGAAUAUAGUAACACAAGCACAUAGAAUUCUAAAACAUAUUAACUAAUCAAAAACUAGAAUCAUCAAUUUUAGAACGUGAGCAAAAUAACAUAAGAUUAGUUAAACUAAUUAACCUAUUAGAAAAAAAGCAUGAACUAAAUAUUGAUAAACCAAGAACGAAGAUUAGUAUACUCAAAACAUGAAUAAUACGACUUAGGGUUAAUUAAAUUAGUUAUCUAAAACUUUGGAAAACAUACAAACUAAAAGUGGAUCAACCAAGAAUUAACCAAAUAUUUCUUAAACUAAUCAACUUAAAUCCUAAAAAGGAUGAAUCAGAAAAAAUGAUUUACAAUUUUUUUUUAAAAAACAUAAAUUUAAUUAGAUGGGAUCAAAUAGACUAAUGAGCUAAAAUUCUAAAAUACCUAAACUAAAUAAGAUGAACCAAAACAUGAUCAAAAUAAACUUAAAAACAUAAACUUUAUUACAUGUGAUCAAUUAGAAUAAUAGACUAAAAAUUAUAAAACACUUGAACUAAAUAAAAAGCUGACUCAUAAAAAAAACUGACUUUUAAAAUUAAAUCUAUUAAAACCGAUCUAAGCAAAAUUCUAACUUUUCGAACUAAGCAAGGAAUCAAAUCCAAACUACACAAAGAUUCUAAUUUUUCAAUGUAAUAUAAUGAAUCAAAAUUAAAAUAAAACAAAAAAUUCUCACCUUUUAAACCAAAGUAAUGAAUCAAAACUAAGCAAACAAAAAUUUACUUUUCAAUUUAAUAUAAAAAAAAUCAAAACUAGAUUAAACAAAAUUCAAACAUUUCAAAAUAACGCAAGGAAUAAAAAAUAAAUUAAAUAAAAUUUUAACCUUUCAAUCUAGUUCAAUGAAUAAAAAAAUUGAAUCAAACAAAAAUUCUAAUUUUUCAAGACAAACAUAAUGAAUUAAAAUUAAACUAAACAAAACCUAACUUUUGAAACCAAGACAAUGAAUCAAAAUCAAACUAACUACAUUCCAACUUUUUCAUCCGAUUAAAAAAAAAAUUAAAAUUAAUACAUAAAAACUCUAACUUUCAAUCCAAUAUAAAAUUAAAACUAAAAUCCUUAGAAAUUCUAACUUACCUUCUCUAGAAUUCCUCUAUGGUGGUGCGGCUGCUAGUGCUCAAUGGUGAAUGCGUGGUGGCUGCCUCCUUCCUCUUCCUUCAGACCUCUCUUUGUUCCCAGCAAAAUAAUAUCUCUUUCACCUUCUCAAAAAGCCAAAAAUCUCUCCUUUGCUUCCCAAAAAUAAUCUCUCUCCAUGUGCCUCUCUAAAAAAAAAUUCCGUGUGUUGAUCUCUCCUCGUCCACACCAAAAAAUAUAUUGUCUUCUCUUAUUUAUAUGGCAGCCUCACCCUCAUGGGAAAUUUUUAUUUCCUCUUUUAAUGCACAUGGAUGGCCUCUUCAGUAUGGAAAGUAUGACUGCUGAUAUGGAAUGCACCACCAUUCGUGUACGAGGUUUCUUAUUUUGUCCUCCCAAAGGAUCUCUUAUUCAGCCACAAUAUUUCCUUAUACGCUGCAUCUUUCCGGAUUUGAAAAUUAUUUAAUAUAAGGUGGAAGAUUCUUACUUUCUCAAUUCUAUAGUGCUGAAAGAUGACUAGUUUAUUGGCUCUCCCCUUCUCUUCGAUGUGAUGACUGCUCAUUUUUAAAGAAAGAAAAGGAAAGAAGCUACAGGCCAUGUUGUGGAGCCCUCCAUUCCCCGGAACUGAUCAUGCGUGUUGUACGCUAAUGGUAGACUACAUGUCCACUUCUUCUCAUGCGUGGACUGCGUAUCAUCCUUGGCGGCGUCAAUCCCAUGGUUUUAUUCCCAAUACGCUUCUACAAUCCCAAGAGCAUCAUGGUGCAUGUCCACUGCAGUAGCACCAAGCCUUCGCACACCUCUUAUCCUCAUAUGGAUAUGCUACAUUGCUGUCACCUUCAGAUUCAUCAAAAUCCAUGUCAGAUGACGAGCCUCCUUCAGAGUCAACGUCAGCUGUGACAUCUUCAUGAACUGGACGCCUCAUUACUGAUUCCAUGUCCUUAAUAAAACGGUCCACAUCAAGCUCCACUGCUUUUAGGUCUCUUGAUUGCUACAGUAGGUAAGCUCUUAAAAAUUUCAUGAAGUUUAAAUAGCUUUUUCUUGGAAGGAUCUAGGGCAUUGCAAUGCAGCUUGCAUCUAAGAACGUGACAAUCAGAGAGAUUCCCCCAGGCUCCUGUUGUCCCCAAUAUUGUAUUUAUAAUACUCUUCAUGUUUAACAAGCAUUGGAGUUCUCUUAUUGGUGCUGAAUUCAAGAAAACGCCCCUUCCUCACGUGAUAGCCCUCACUAAUUUCAUAUUUCUCCCUUCACAAGAGCCACUCAUCCCAGAUUAUGUAAUUCCACCUCCUCAUGCAAAACAAAAUAAAUAAAUAACUAAAAAAAAACUAAUGAAAAUUAUGAGAUUGGUAAUAAAAUAAAAUAUGAUUUAAAAGAAGAGAAAGGGAACAAUGAGAGACCAUAUUAUAUAAUUCCAUCAUUCAAUAAGGGGUCGUAUGCAUAUUUAAUGUCUAAACAAUUCUAACAAUUCUCUAUCAAGUAGGUAAAUAAAUAAAAUAAAGAAAAAUAAAAGAAGAAAAAAAAACGUAAUAGAAAUUUAAAAAAAUGACUAAAUAAAUAGAUGAAUAAAUAAACAAAUAAACAAAGUAAAUAUAAUCAUCAAAUGCAUGCAAUAAUGAUCAAGAGAUUAUAAAAAAAAAAGUUGAGCCUCAAUGAAGUGUUUAAGCGGGCCUAAGGUGAACCUAAGUGUCCUAAAGUGAUCGGGAUAUUGUCUAAGUGACCUAAACAUGCUUAAGAACCAUCCUAAAAAGGAAUGGAAAGCUUAAGUCUAAAUCAAAACUGCCAAGGGUCACAAUAAAGGGGCGGAUAAUCCCUCAACCAAAAUCUCCGAGGUGACUCAAAAAAGGGUAAGUGGUAUGAGUAGCUAUGGGCCACCAAGGAAUUAUUGUGGAGCAUUGAAAAUGAAUUUUAAAGACAUGUGCUAAAGGGACAAAAUUGAGGGUCUACAAUAUGAUAUGAUAGCAUUAGGUUCCAAAAACAUCAAGCAUUGUUCAAGUUCUAUAAGCCAAAAAAAAAAAAAAUACAAAUCUGAAGGAUUUUAUUUUUCCUUCUUUUUCACUUGGGUAAAAAAUGAUAAGAUUCUGAAUUUGUUAUCGCUUGCUGAAUUUCAAACUGGUAAGAAAGGCAAGAAGACAUAACUUAAACUGAAAAAUGACACCAAAAUAUACACCUUCUAGGAUACCAAGAGCCUAUACAAGACCAUUCAAUUUGGGAUUGCAAAGGGGUAGGUUCAGGUUGGAGUGCAGCCCCACCAACCCCAUUCCUAUUGAUAUAAAUCAUCAACCCUCAUCCAAGCUCAAAACCAAUGCAAGGCAGAACCAUGAAUCCCAUUCUAGGAUUGGCCAGGUCGGUUUAUAUUGGUUGAAAAACAACUCUGAUAUUUGAUUAAAGAAUAGUAGUACACAUAUAUAGUAGUGUCUAAGAUGCAAACACCCAAUUUACAGUUGUUCUAAUCACUAAUUUACAGUUAUCCUAGUCAAUAGUUGACUGUUACAAUUAUCCUAAUUUGUACAUUAAUUGACUAAUUCUACAAGCUUAUAUUAACAGCUAAUAUAUACCACAUAUAGGUCCUUUAAAGCUGAUCGAACCCUAAAAUGAAGAGAUUCUAUUGAUUUUCCACACUCCCCCUCAAGCUGGUUUGAAGAUAUUCUUCAUUCCUAGCUUGCAUGUCAUUGAGUUGAAGCUUGGAUUAGACACUCCUUUAGUGAAUAUAUCAGCCAACUGCAUUUUAGAUGAAACAAAAGGAGUGCAAAUAAGACUAUUAUCAAUCUUUUCUUUGAUGAACUGUCUAUCCACUUCAAUAUGUUUAGUGCAAUCGUGUUAAAAUGGGUUAUGUGUGAUGCUUAUGGAUGCCUUAUUGUCGCAAUAUAGUCUCAUAGGUUCUUCAAUGUCAAAUUGCAAUUCUUUUAGUAGAGUUUUGAUCCACAUGAGUUUACAAAUACUUAGGAUCAUAGCUCGGUAUUUAGCCUCAACACUUGAUCUAACAACUAUUGGUUGCUUUUUACUCCUCCAAGUCACCAAGUUGCCCCUUAGCAAGGGGCAAUACCCUGAAUUAGAUCUCUUGUUGGUUAUUUAUUGAUUUUUUUUUAUCAAAAACAAAUAUAUGUAUUAAUAGAGAAAAGGGACAUGAGAAGGAUGAGAAAUCCUCCCUAUGAAAUACAAACCUGAUCAAAAGAACUAGGUAAACCUCCACUAACCAAGGAAGGCUAUACAAGAGGUAAAAAAGGUCGCAUGAUCGAAAGAACUAAGUAAACCUCUUCUAACCCAAGGAGGGCUAUACAAAAGGAACAAAAUGGCUAUACAAGUAAAAGAAUCUUGACCCUCUAAACCCAACCCUACGGUGUACAUAGUGGAAGCGAACUAAGUUGGAUUACACUCAAAGGAUAGGGUUUAAAAAUGUCUAUACAGUAAGCCUGAAAAUAAACAUAAAAAUGUAAGGGAAUUUUAAGAUAUGUUUUUUAGUUGCAUUAAAGAUCGAAAAAAUGCAAGGGAAUUUUCUUUGGUCAAGUGCUAGGGAGCACCAAAGAGACCAUCUCAUUAGUUGGGACCUAAUGUGCAAGUCUAAAGUGGAAAGGGGUUUACGAAGAUUUCUCUAAGAAAUUAUGCUCUUUUAGGGAAAUGGCUAUAGAGGUCUCCUAAGGGAAGUUAUACUUUUUGAUAUCAUGUUAUUUGGAGCCUCUAUAGAACACAUUCUAAUAGGUAGGAUGUCGAGAUUAUAGUUAGGUGGUCACAUCAUUGUGCCUAGAAGGUCAUUGCACUUGUUUUUCAGGAUUUUUCUAAACAUACUCAUUUUAUAGUGGGUGAUGGGGUGAGAAUUUGUUUUUAAGAAGAUUUGUGAUGGGGGUAUGAACCUUUGCGCUCACAUUUCCUAAGUCUAUUAAGAAUUUUCAUGGUUAAAAACCUUCCUAUCUCAUCAAUUCUUAGUUUCACUUACCCUUGUUCUUUAAACUUUAAUUUCCAUUGCAACCUUUCUAACUCGAAGGCUGAAGAUCAUGAAAGACUCAUGUCCUCUCUCACUUGUUUAUAUUUAUCUCCAUCCAUCCUAAAUGCAAAAGGCUAAUUGUUAUCUUCAUGAGGAUUAUUUAUAGUGAAGUCAUUCUUUUUAGUCUUGUGUAACCAAUUUAAUCUAAUUUCGUUCUAUCCAUUUAAAUUUGUAUGGAAAUCUAAAUUCCCAGCUAAGCUCAAGACCUUUUCUUGGCUAAUGGCACACAAGAAAGUGUACACAAAUGGCAUGCUACAAUUGAGAAAAUUCUACAAAGCCCUUACUUCUUAUGUUGGCUUAUUGUGUAUGGAGAAUGGAGAAAUGAUGAAUAAUUUUUUCUUACUUUCUUUGUUGACUUUGGGCCUAUGACAUAUAGACUUUCCAAAUCUACUAACUUGGACUAGGUUCCUCCUAGGAGUAUUUGUGACAUGAUGAUCAUCUCAUAUAAGGGAUUGAGAAGCUCCAUUAGAGGCAACAUUGCUUGGUAAACCACUUGUCUCGCGUUUAUUUGGGUUGUUUGGUGGGAAAAAAAUGGGAGGAUUUUUUAAGGCAAGGUGAGGACUUCAAAGGCUCUUUGGGAUAUCAUUCAUUUCUUUUCCUCCUUUUGGCCCUCUUUCUAAAUCCCCUUCCAUUUUGGGCUUGCACACUAUGUCUCAACUAAUGAGAUGAUCUAUUUUCCUCCCCUAUCCAUGACCAUAGAAAAUCCCUUUGCAUUUUUUUAAUCUUUGUCACUACUACUAUAUAAUGAAAUGAAAUAAUUAGGAAUGUGAGUCAAGCAAGACAAGAUUACGGUAAUUCUUCCACUUAAAUACCAAAAAACCUUUUCCCAACCAUUUAAUCUUCGCUAAAUUCUGUCUUCUUAAUCUUAAAAGACACUAGCCUUUGGAUAGAUUCAAAUAGGUUAUUUAGCCAUUCAUAAACCUUACAUUCGAGCAUCGAAGCUAGCCUAGAAAUUUGAUCCUAACUCUUGUUGGAAAUUAUGUUUCUUAUAGACUUAAUCCACUUCAUUUGCACUUAUGCCAAUCAUUGAUGUGUUUAUAAAUCUGUGUUUGCGAUGGAUGUUUUUGUAAGUCUUUGGUGAUUUGGGAGAAAACCAGAACAAUUAAGUUAGUUGUUUUGAGAAUUCAUAAAUCUCCUCUCUCAAAAGAAAAAGAAAGACGUUCUUAGAGUUGUGGAAAUGACUAAUCUAGGGAGGAAGUUAGUGAUGAUAAAAAAAAAAAGUGUAGUUAUUGUUAUUGUACUAGAAGUGUAUAAAGCUAUCACUUCUCAUAGAAAGACUAACACGAGAACAAGGAAAAAGAAGAAAAAUAAAAAGAAAAGACUUAAUAUAUUUUGUUUUACGAUACUGUGUUUUAUUUACACAAGGAAAAUGCACCUAGGUCUAAUAGAUUCACCAUUACAAUGUUUCAAGAGUAUUGGGAUGUGAUUAAGGAUGAUUUUUUUCUAUGUACUUCCUCGAAAGUUUUUAUGAUUGUGUUGUUGUGAAUUCUACAAUUUGGUUUGAUACUUUUUUUUUCUCUAGGAUUCAUUGAUAUUACUUAUGUUGAACAUAUUAUUUAGAUUACUUGACCUUUUUCUCAAAACAUCUUAGAUUGGGAAUAUUCCUCAUCCAUUUGAAAUUUCUGUAUAGGUUUAGUGCAGAGGAUGAUGAAGAAGGUUCGUGAUUUGGUUCAGAGAAAAACAAUUGGAAAUGGUUGUCUUUGAUUUCCUUUAUUUCUUUAUUCAUAACUGGUUCGAUAUAAUUCUUGUUUGAGUCUCGUCAUCUUCCUUUAACUAGCAGGUUUUCCAGACUCAGUGUUUAACUGGACUCAAGAAAUGGAUUCAAAAUUGUCAAAUCAAGAUAUCAACAAUCAAGCCUUUUCCUCUAAUAAAAUGACAAUAAUAAUAAUAAUCAAGUCUUUCCCAAAAAGCAUUGGCGUCUUCUCUAAUGCCAAAAUGGUAAAUCGUUUUUGCGGCAUUUGCAUUAUUUUUUCUGUUUAAUACAAAGAUGAUAAUCAAGGAAUCAAUAUAACCUAUCUAGGGAGGGAAGUCAGACAAUUGAGUAACUGGUUAUCCCAUAAUUAAAUCCAUGAAUUAUUAAUUACAAUUCGUCUAGAUAAUUGUAGAACUUCGAAUUUUUGAAGAGCUUCUUGAAGUUGAUUACCUUGUAAGGCAUUGUUUAUUUAUUUCAUUCUACAGGCAUCUCAUGAUUUUGCUUUUGCAGUAGGCUAUUUCUCAUCAACGUAACAUGUACCUUUCUUUUUGCAACCAAGGAGCUAUAGUAGGGCAAUGAAAGCUGUAGGGGUUUGUGAAGGCAACCUGUGAAAAAAUAUUUGAGCUUGUAAUGAGCAUGGAUGGAACACGGUUUGAGUAAGUUCUUUCUAUUUUAAGUAAAGAUUAUUAUGAAUUAAUUCCAAAUGGUCAUUAUUAUGGUUUUUUGAAGAAUUUAUUUUGUAUAUAUCAUCCGACAGGUCUACUUCAAAGCUCAUUUAAGUUAUUUUCUUUUAGAAACUUUUCUUAUGUUCUUUCUUUAUAGCAUACAUAAAAGUGGUCAUGCUCCCAUGCAAGUCAAAGUUAUAGUGAUGGGAAUUACUUCUCUUGAAAUUUGCCUCAUCUUUUACUAAUUUUUUAGACCAUUUAUUAAUUUUUUUGAUAGGAUUUUCUUGACACCUUAUGAAAAGCAUAUACUCACUGACAUGAUUCUUAGUUUAAAGUUCAUAAUAUGAGCAUUCAUACAUGACAUAUAACAUGUCAAACCGAAUAUAUUUACUACUUUACGUGCAUUAGUUAUGUUUUAUGGUUAAAAUAUUCAAAACUAAUGAAAAUAAAUUAAAUAGUUUUUAGGGUUUAUUACACUUUACCCCUCUAACUUAUAGCAUGUUUUGCACAUUGCCCAUUCGAGUUUAAAAUCGAGCAAUAUACCUUCUAUGUUUUAUAAUUGCAUGCAAUGUGCAUUUGUUGUACGACGGCGUUAGCUAUAAUGAACAAAAGACACAUGUGCUAAACACAUGACAUGUUUAAAUGAGGGAAAAAUUGACAUUUCAUUUUCAAAUCUUCAAAUCCCCAAAACCCUAGCAUGUCCUCUUCUUUCCUCCAAUCGUUUGGUGGAUUCCUAAAUCCCCAAAUUGAAGUUGAAACCCUAGAAUGGCCACUGUCGAAGGAAUUCAAGAUUCUAAUGGAUCUCAAAACGCACUUGAGAUCGAAAACCUUGUCUGAUUCACCAUCGAUGAGCACAACAAGAAACGUGUUUUUUUUUUCUAUUUUUUAAUCUCAUUUUUCCUUUCUUUGUUUCUGCUCGUUUCUUGAAAAAAAUCUCCCAUUUUGUAUUUUUUUAUUUUUUUUUGUGAGGAAGAUAGAGAUUUGUCCGAUUCGCCAUCGACGAGCACAAUAGGAGACAAGUUUUGUUUUUUGUUUUUAAUCCCAUUUUUCUCUUUUUUUUGUUUCUACUUAUUUCCUAAGAAAUUCUCUCAUUCUUUUUCUUCUUUUUUUCUUUUUUUUGGAGGAAGGUAGAGUUUGGCUUAUGAACGUUUGCUUUUUUCUGAGGAACCAAACAAGGAUUUUUAUUUUUAAAAUUCGUUCCAUAAGUACAAUAAAAUAUUAUUUUUAGGGCAAAAGAAUAUGAUCAUUUGGUUGAUGGAAUUGAAGUUUUCAUUUCUUUUUUAUUUUGUGAAAUAAAUCAUUGCAAGGAGUUAGAUCCACAAUUUAAUUUUUGUUUCCCUUCCUAGGGUUUUUAAGUAGCCAAAGAAGGUGUUUUAUUUGUUUUUUUUUCCUCUUUAAAUCAUUCCUUGAAAAAUGAUUUUUUUAGAUGAGUUUCUAAUUAAGGAUUCUGCUUCUCCAAUAGUAAGAGCCUCCUUUAUAUCCAUUUCCAAUUUUCUCUUUUAUUUUUGGUUGAUUUGUUGGAUUAUGUAAUUUGAAUUGAUUUUUUUAAUUUAGUUUUGAUACAUUGGAAAAGGCUACUGCAAUUUGGGGAGACAAUCUCGGCCCCAAUUUAGGGAGACAAUCGGAGGUAGGAGGAAGGCUGGGUUAGGGUUUUAAAAUGAAAUAACGAUUUUGCCCUCAUUUAAACAUGUCACAUGUUUAGCACAUGUAUUUUCUGUGCAUUAUAGUUAACGUCGUCAUACAACAAAUGCACAUUGCAUGCAAUUAUAAAGCAUAGAGAGUACAUUACUUGAUUUUAAACUGAAGGGGGCAAUGUGCAAAACACGUUGCAGGUUAGGGAGGUAAAGUGUAAUAAACCCUAAUUUUUAUUUAUGGAAAUCUUUAACAUGAACUUAAUUCCCUCUUUUAAUGUAAUGAAAUCAAUAUGAAGAUUUUUUUUUUGUCCCAUAGCUGCAGCAAAUGAUUGUCCUUCACUUUUUAGUAAUAUAAAUAAAGAUUUAUUAUGUAUUAAUUUGAAGCUCCUCUACAAUAUAUUUUUAGCUUUACCAUGCCCUUGGGCAUUUAAUGGUUCAAAAUUAUGAAUUUUGAUUAAGGAAAAUUUUUUAUGUGUAUGAAAAUUUACAAUAGUUGGGAAUCAAGAAGGAUGAUUUGAAACUUAUAUGGAAGUUUUUUUGCAUAUGGGAUUGUUUGUUGGGUUCACACUGAUGCUACCACUUUUAGUUCUUUGAUCCCUAAUAUUGGAAUAUCUAUUCUUCUCAAGGACUGUCAACCAAUAAACCUUGUAGAAAGUUCAUGCAAAGCAAUCACUAGAGCUUUGUUAACAAUAAAUAAAUAAAUGAACUCUUUGAAGUUUGUUGUGAUAUGAUAUAUUAUUCAUUGAGGGGGCCUUAGUGAAGGUGGACAAUCAUAUAUUCAAAUUUAUGAGGACAGUGUUGGACAUUGUGGAAAGCCGAAUCCUGGGGGUUGGUUGUGAAAUUGGAGUUCCUUAGAUUAUGUGAGACAGAUUUUUGUGAUGGAAGUUGAUAAGGGGUUGAAUGCUCUUUUGGGGCUUUAAUAGGUUGGUUCGAUGCUAUGAGCUAACAAAUGUCUUAAGUAGAUCUACAUCCAUAGUGGAAUAGAAAAUCUCUUUCUAGGUUCCCAUUUAAAAGAAAUUGGUAGUCUCCUAUAUAGCAUAUAUGGUUUGCUAAUAAUGUGAUCAUUUUCAUCUGAAUGUGGAAAGCAUAAAAUUUUUUAAUUUUACUGCCUUUUGUUUUGAGAUAGUUUCUGGAUUUAAAAUUUAAGAGCAUUCCUUUGUCAUCAUCUGAUAAACUACAUUAUGUGGACACUUCAAAAUACAUAGGUUUGAUGACACAUGAUUAGGAUUUAAGGGUGUGAAUAUGGUUUGUUCUCUCUCUUCCACAUCCAUAUUCCCAAUGUGAGUGAAUGUCUAACAAGAGGAACAAAGGAUUGAUGGAGACGAAUGGUAGCCACCUUUAGAAGUUUAUCAGAAAAGCAAAGGAGUGGGCUCCAAGGCUCAAGCUUUAAUUUGGCACUCUCUAGAUGAUAAUGGGCAUAGUUGGGAUCUUAUAUAAGUCAAUAUAAGUUUAGCCUAGAAAGUACUUUCAGAAAUUAAGUUAUGGGCCAGUUAAUGGUCAUAAGUUACCAUUUCCAGUCAUUAUUAUUGUCAUUUUCCAAUAGUCUUUAAUGUGGUCAGUAGUUAGUCCAAGUUUGUCAUUUUCAAGUUGCAUUAUUAUUGUGUCUAGUUCCAAGGAGUUAUAAGUCUCUAGAAAAGUCUUAUAUAGUAGUUGAUUAGUUUUUUGAGAGGAAUCAAUGAAUGAAUGAAUUUUUAACAACCAUUUUUUUCCUUUGUGUGAUGCAAAGAGUACUUGGGUGUGAAGCUUAAGGUUUCUAGGAGUGAUUCCUAAGGUCCUUUCAAUUGUACUCUCGUUGCAUUUUACUUUUUGUACCGCAUCACCAAAAUUCUAGUUUUCUAGAAGUUCCUUUACCUCCUUGAUUCCUUCCUUUCAAUUAUGGUACUUCAAAUGAAUCAAGUACUAGUUUUCAGCUAAAGAUAGGCAUGUAGAAAAUUACAUUGAUAAUGUGACUAUGUUUCCAAGUCAUGGGGUUUGGAUGUUAGAGAAGACGUAUUUUACACCUAAUCCACAUACUUGCACGCAAAAAUUGCAAGGUAUUGGAGCAAAAUUGACAGUGUGGAAUAAGAUCACUUUUAGAGAUAUAAGAGAGAGGAAGGAUUCCAUCAUUAAGGAUAUUGCCAUGGUAUAGAUUCUCUUGAGCCAUCCUUAAGGGCUACAAAGAAAGUAGAGUUGGAAGAAAUGUUGUUAAGGACAAAGAGGCAUUGGAGGCAAAAAAUCUAGAGUGAAGAGGGCCAAGGAGGAAGAUUUAAUUCUAGAUAUUUUCAUAGAAUUGCUAAUGGAAGAAGGAAAAAGAAGUUCAUUAAAUCUUUAGUGAAUGAGAAUGGAACCAUGUUAGAUGACUAAGUUAGCAUUUUAAAGGAAAUUUUGAUAUUCUUUGAUGAAAUAUAUAGCAAGUCUAAUGAAGUUUUGUGGAGAGUAGAAGGAUUAGAGUGGGCCCCUAUCCACUUUUUUCAUUUUCUUUUUACUAUUUUAGCAUAUCUUUUGAGUAGAUUGAUGUUCAGAUAGGAGUUUGGUAGUUUUUAGGGCUUCUUAGUGGGUAGAAGUACAACAAUGGUGCUUCAUUAAUGGUUUGUUGAUGACACCAUACUCUUUUCAAUAGCUAUUUUAAAUUAUUACAAAGUCUUAACUAAUUUUGUUGGUAUUUAAGCACAUUUCAAGUUUGAAGAUAAAUUAAGACAAUGAGAAAAUAGGGUUGCUUUUGAAAAUGAGGAACUAUCGGUCCAAAUGAUGAAAUACUCUCUUGUUAGCAAUUUGUGGUCUUGGUCCAAAUGUUGUAUAGUUGAGGGUUUAAUUCUUUAAUCAACUUUUUUGAGUGGGUGGGCUAUAGGUGAAGAGGAGGGGGGUGGUUAGUUUUUUGUUUCCCUCUUCCUUUUGUUUUUAGUCUAUAGGUGCCUAUUUGUAUACCUCCUAUAUGCUUUGAGUUUGUUGUUGAGCACCCUGUUCUUUUAAUAUACUCUACUGUGACUUUGCCUAUAAAAAAAAUUAAAAAAAAAUAAAUAAAUCUAGACAAUGGUAUCUUGUUGGGUAUCAAUGUGAGUUUAGACCUAGCUUUGAAUUGGCCUAUUUAGAAUGUAAGAUUUUGAUUAACCUAUAUCUUUUUCGGGUCUUCCUUUAGGGUGAACCUUAGAGGCAUAUCUUUUUGGGAUUUAGUUUUGGAUAGGAGUUGUCGAUGUUAGAUGGUCGGAAAAAGGCCUACUUGUCUCCAUGUGGAAGAAUAACUCUAGUGUAGUCUUGCUUUUCCCAUGUCCCCCUCAUCAUUAUUAUUAUUAUUUUAUUCUUAAACCUCCAAUUAAAGUGGGUUAUACAAUUGAGAGAUUACAAAGGAACUUUCUAUAUUUAGGUGUUGGCGAAUGGAAGAGAGAUCAUUUUAGGGAUCAAUGUCUAAGCUAAAAGGAGAAAGGGCCUUGGAAAUUAAAAGAAUGACUUUGAGGAAUAGAGUCUUUUCAAGGAAGUGGUUGUGGAGGUUUCUUAAGGAAAACACUACUUUAUGGUACAACAUAUUUUGAAAUUUACGGGCCACAUUCUUACUGAUGUGAUGCUAAUGUUAUUGUUAUGUGAUCUCAUUAAUGUCCUUGGAAGGUCAUUGCACAAGUAUUCUAUGGUUUUUGUCAUUUUACUUGUGUUUAGUGGAUAAUGGUACAAAAUUCACUUUUGGGAGGAUAUUUGGUGGAGUGCUUUUUUGCGUUUGGCUCCCAAACCUCUAUAAAGUAGUAAGGGCGAGAAAUUCAUGUAGUUCUUCAGUUUCCAUUCCAUUCUCCUCUUCAUUAUGGAAUUUUAAUUGUUUGCAAAAUGUUACUAAUGAUUAAAUGAAGGAACUUUAUAAUGUUAACUUUAAUCCAUAUGUAUUUAUUGCUCACAUUCUUCGAUAUGAGAGUUUAAUCUUUGACAUCCUAUGGUCUAUUUAGUCUUAGUUUAUGCUUUAGAACCCUCUUUGUUUCCACCAAUUUAAGAUCCUAUCUUUUGGAAAAUUUCUUUUAGAAAUCUAAAUCUCUAUCAAAAGUCAAGGCCUUUACAUGGCUUGUGGCAAGUAGGAAGAUUAAUAUCCUUGAUUUCCUACAGAUAAGGGGCCCUUUCAAAGCCUUUACCCUAGAAUGGUGUGCCUUUUUUUUUUUUUUUUUUGUAUUUUCCAUUAGCAUUAACAUUAUUACAUAAGUUGUUUGGACUAUAAGAUUGAUUGGAAACCUAGGAGUGUGGUGGAGAUGCCAACAAUUUCCUAAAGGUUUUGGAUGUCUUCCUAAAGGAAACUCAUGGUGUAUUGUUAGUUUCACAUUAAUUUGGAAUAUAUAGCUGGAGAGGAAUGCGAAGAUUUGAAGGAUAGAUGAAGAAUUUUAGAGGCAUUGUAGAAUUCAAUCUAUUUCUUCUCAUUCCAUUCGGCAUCAAGUAGUAUAUCAUUUCUAGGCACUUUUUUGAGUGUUAUAUUGAUACAUUGGACAUAAUAUGCAGUUUAACUAGGUUGGCUAAGAAAAUAAUCUCUAAAUGGACUUUCCCAAUUGUGUCAACUUGAAUUUUGAUGGUUUCUCAUUAGGAAAUUCAUAACAAUUAAGGGUUGGAGGAAUGCCUAUGGAUCAUCAUGCAACACUAAUGAGAAUAUUUUCUAAACAUAUUAAAAUAGAUCUAGAAAUUGUGGUGGAGAUUUUAACCUUGCUGAGAAGUUGAUCAAAGUAGAGGGUCAUUCCAACCUAAUGUUGGAGUGAGAUUUUGUAAUAGUCCUUGGUUGAGUAAGAAAGAAAGAGGCUAAUGGAAAUUUGACAAGUGGCUUCAUUAAACUUUUAUUUUUCUUGAAGGAUGGGAUGCUUCUAUUAUUGGAUUUCUCAUUCAUCUAUAUAUUAACAAAGCAGGGAGCCGAACUUCUGUUCUCUUUUAUAGGGGGUAUUUUCGAAUAUGUUAGCAAAGCAUCGAGCCAAACAUUUGAUCUCCUUUGUAGGGGUUUCUCUACCUCUCUGAAUAUUGAUUUUGUAAUUGUAUCCAUUUUUCAAUGUGCAAUGACUUAUGGGGUUUCUAGAGUAGAUAGUUUUUUUUUUUCCCCUACUUUUGAUUAGAGUAGUGGAUGAUUUUUUUAGAGGGAGGAUUUACCAUACUUCUUUGUACUUAUUUCAUAGUAAUGAAGUCUUUUAUUCCGAUUGAAAAGAAAAAAAAUAAAAAAGACAAAUACUUGAACCAUGCAAGAUAACCUACAGUAUAUGAAACAAUAUAAUGAUCUAUUAGGACUUUAAUUCUUUUCCUAAAACUUCUGAGUUUUUCAAAAAGUGGAAUAAAAAUAUAAAAUAGAAACUUUCCAAAAUAAAAUGUUUAAAUAUGUAGGAACUCCAUAUGAUAAGAAACUUCCACAAAAGUAUAACUUUUCAAUUCUAAAUAAGACUCAAAUAGGAAAAAUGAGUAAGUUCAAAAAGUAGGAAGUUCAAAGUGUAUAAGUUUCUUAAAACAAAAAUAACAAGAAGACUUACUAAGCUCAAAAUAAGACUAAAAAAACCAACUACUACUAAUUAUGACACCAAAGAAUUAAAAUGUGUGAAAUUAUACAAAUCCCUUGGACAAAUCAAUUUAGGAUUUCUUUGCUUCUUUUCUUCCUUUGCUAAGAGACCUUGAAAGUUUAGUCCCAUCACCAAGGCUAUAUGUUUUUGUUUGGUAUUUUUUUGGAUUUUCCUUUUUGUUUUUUUCUUCUGAGGUGACUAUAUUACAUCCAAUUAUCUUAUCUUGAUGUUGGUAGAUGAUUGUUAUUUCCUGUAUUUACCAACUUUUAAUUUGUUCCAAUAGUGAGGAAGUAGUGGAAAGAAUCUUUUCAAUUUUCUGAUAUAGGGUUUAUUUUUCUGAUUCCUUUCCAUGAUCCUCCUAUGUGGGUGCUCAAGUGUGGUGGCACUUUCUCCUUCUCUUUUUCCAUUUCUUAUGACUUGUUGAUCUCCUAACCAACAACCCUGUAGAGUUUAUCUGUAAAAUGAAAGUCUCUCAUAAAGCUUAAGCUUUUGCAUGGGCUAUAGCUUUAUAAAGUUUGACCAUAUUGUAUAUCUAUUGUUACAUCUCAAGAAGUUACAAAUUUGUGAGGUGAGCUUUAGGUCCCAUACUCUUCUCAUGUCAUAGUUGUUGCUCUCUAUCACUGUGUGGGAGGUUAAUAACUGAUCCUCAACUAUUUAGCAGUCUGUUUUUAAGAAUCAGUAUUUGAAUGACACUUUUUUCUAAUAUUAUCUAAUGCUGAAAUAGAUGUCUUAUUUUGUCUUUGAAAAAUAAGUUUUCAUAUGAAAGGGUCAUAAAGAUGGAAAAUGCAUCAUUUUUGUUAGCAUUGUAUCAUGAUAUAUGAUAGUCGGAUUCUUAUCCUUAAAAAUAUAGUUGUCCUUAAGAUGACAUGGCGGUUAAAGCUUGUUAGUAUGUCCAAAACUUUAAACUCCUAUAUAAUAUUUUAGUUGGAAUGCAUGUAAUAUUUUGUUCAUGCCUAUCUCUAGAACACCCAGUAUGUGGUGGUCAAUAAAAUUAAAAUGGUUAGUAGUACUAUUAUUUUGUUCAAUUUAAGAAUUGUAUUACAUGUAGUACUUUUAUUUGUGUGUGAAAUAAAUGAUAUGUCAAUGGUGAUUCAUACCUGAUAUGCCACUUUCUCAAAUAUAUUUUAGACACAUUGCAGUUAGUGCCUUUACUAGAGUCCAUGACUCCAUGUCAUAUGACUUUCCACCUUCAAAAAAUCAAGCCAUAGUAAGGAAGAGCCUCUUAGUCACUUGAACAAGGUUACUAUUGGAUUCUAACACCUCCAAAUUUCUGUGAUUAACUAAAACCUAUGAUUUCUUUUAUAUGUGUGCACUUUUUCAUGUCAUUAACUUUUCAUGUCAUGAGUAGGCGGAUUGUAGUUUCCAAUAUGGCAGCUUAGUGGAGGAGGUAGAUGGACAUACAACUAUUCUCUAUCAUAGGCUUCAGCUAGAUUGGUUCCCUAUGUAAUAUUGUCUCAAGUUAAAUCACUUUAUUUAUGCUUUAUGAUGUUACAGAAUCUAGUAAUUGUAUGAGUGCAUACAAAAUUUCGUUGUUUUUUUUGUAUCAACAUUGUUAAAACAUGGCACUUUUGUGCAAAUUCAAAUUAAAGCUUUUACUUUACCUCUCUCUAGUUGGCAUGUAAUUGCACUUUAGAUUCAUAAUCUAAGUCUUUUAAAUUUUCUUAUAAACCUCAUAUGGGAGAAACUUCAAUUAUCAUUGAUCGCCACAGUUGGGCAUCAUAGCUUGUAGUUGUGUAUGGAGGCCAUAUAUACACUAAAUUUGUACUCGAACUAUUACAGUAGUUGGGCCCUACAUGUCCAUAAUGCAGUUCAAAAAGCCAAGUCUUGACUUUCUCAUGGCUAGGUAUGAUGCAACUUGGCAUGAAUGCUUAUCCCUCAGGUGGAUUCUGAACACUACCCCUAAUCCCAACUACAUUGAAGUCUAUUAUUGGGGUUGCCUGGGGAGAUCUCUUGAUAAAUCCUCCUCAAAGUUGCUGAGGCAUGGAGGUUUGAGGAUUCAACUCCUUCCUAGUAUGGUAAUAAGGCUUGGGGUUUUACAUAAACCUGUUAUACCUUAGUGGUGAACGUAGUCCCUUUGGUCAAGGGAUAAUUUGGAUGGAUAGUGGGCUUUUAAAUCAUGGUUAGAGGUUUGUGAACACACAAUUUCAUUCAUAUGUUGACAUAUAAAUAUUAUAAUUUUAGGCACAUUAUUGUUAAGUCAGUACCAAACCCAACUAACACAUCUAGCUUUUUCAAAAACAAAUUCCACAAAAUACGAAUCUUCACACCUUUUCAACUAAUUCUACUAUUAACAAAAUAUACAAAAGAUUUCUUAAAGUAUCUAGAAAAUUCUCAAAUUCUAACACUCCUUCUUGAGAAUUUUUCUUAGAGACUCCAAGCCUUGAUCUUAGCUCUUCGAACUUGGCUUUGGAAAGUGCUUUAGUUAAUAUGUCAGCAAUCCAAUUUUCUGAGCAACAAUGCACCAGAUUGACUUCACCAUUCUUCUCAGCUUCUCUAAUUGCAUGAAACUUCACAUUUAUGUGUUUGGUUCUUCCAUGCUGCACAGGGUUUUUUGCAAUAGCAAUGACUGACUUGUUGUCAACCUAAAUUACAGUAGCUUCAUCUCGGCUUUGCCCCAAAUUAAUCAAUAGUUUCCUUAACCAAAUAUCUUGGUUUGCAGCUGCUGCUGCAGAAAUAUACUCAGCUUCUACUGAGGAUUGAGCCACGACCUCUUGCUUUUUUGAAUUCCAUGAAAAAACUCCAUUACCAAACGAGAAAGCAUAACCAUAAGUGAUUUUGGAAUCAUCUAAACUUCCUACUCAGUUACUGUCUGCAUAUCCCUUAGAGUUCUUUACUUUCUUUCUUAACAAACCACAAACCAUAGUCAAAAGUACCUCUAAUGUACCCUAGAACUCUCUUAGCUACCCCAAAAUGAAUUUUACUUGGUGAGUGCAUAAACCUUGAGAGUAGGCUUGCUGAGAACAUUAAAUCUGGCCUUGUAGCAUAUAACUAGAGCAGACUACCUAUUAGGCUUCUGUAAACAAAGGCAUCUGCUUUGAUGUUAACUUCAUUCUUUGAUAAUUUCUCAUUCACAACCAAAGAAGUUGCUAGUGAUUUGGAUUCUCCUAUAUGAAACUUCUUCAAAACCUUCAGAGCAUACUUCUAUUGUGAGAUGAAGAUUCCAGCUUCACAUUAGUGAAUUUCCAUGCCUAAAAAAUAUUUCAUCUCACCCAAAUUGGACAUUUCAAACUCACUCUCCAUCUGUAGCAUGAAUUGCUUCAAGAUUUUUGAAUUACAACCUAUAACCAGUAGGUCAUCUACAUACAAAGAGACAAUAAGCUGAACUUCUUCUUGAACCUUCAACACAUAUAGAGUAGCUUCACUUUCACUUCUUUUAAAUCCUUGCUAUAGCAGAUAGGCAUCAAUUCUACUAUACCAAGCUCUUAGUGCUUGUUUCAAGCCAUAGAGAGCUUUGCAGAGCUUGUUAACUUUGUCUUCACAACCUAAAACUUGAAAUCCUUCCGGUUGCUCAACAUAAAUAUCUUCUUCAAGCACACCAUUUAGAAAGGUUGACUUCACAUUCAAGAUAAUGAAUUUUCCAUCCCAUCUUUGCUGCUAAAGCCACCAAAAGCCUUAUAGUAUCAUGCUUAGCCACUGGAGCAAAAAGUAUUUGAAAAAUCAACACCAUACUCUUGAGAAUAGCCCUUUACAACCAAUCUGGCCUUAAGUUUGUUUACAGAACCAUGUGAGUUAUAUUUGAUUCUAAAAACCCACUUAACUCCAAUUAUCUUUUGAUUUUUGGGCCUAUCAACCAGCUCCCAAGUUCCAUUUUUAUUUAUCAUUUUUAGCUCCUCCUCCAUUGCAAUUCUCCACCCAUUUUCUUUAGCUGCUUCAUCAUAACAUGUAGGCUCCUGUAAUGCUACAUCGCAUCUCUCAUAUAUUCAUCAAGUGACCUUGUUCCUCUUACUGGAACAUUAUCUAAGUUAUCAACACCAACUUCAUCUUCAAUUUCUUCUGGAAUUUGGGGUACGGUUACCCCAAUUUGAUCAACAUCUUCAACUUCUAUCUCAUUUUUCUCCCAGUUCCAUACUGCUGCUUCAUCAACUUUGAUGUCCCUGCUAAGCAUUACUUUUUUUAUUUUCAAAUUGAAAACUCUAUAGCCCUUGGAGGUUGAGCUAUAUCCCAAGAAGAUUCCCAUCUCAGCUUUGUAAUCCAACUUGUCUCUUUUCACAUCUAGCAUAUGAGUGUAACACAAACUCCCAAAUACUUUCAAGUGUUCCACAGCUGGUUUAACUCCAUACCAAGCCUCAAAUGGAGUUUUAUUCUUCACAGCUUUGGUUGAAGUCUGUUCAACAAAUACACAGUUGUGUUAACAGUUUUUGCCCAAAAACACUUGGGUUUUUUCUUUUCAAAUAGCAGACACUUUGUCAUAUCCAUUUGGCUCUAUUCUUUCUCUCACUCACUCCAUUUUGUUGAGAGGAGAAAGUGACAGUCAACUGAUGUACAAUUCCAGCUUCAACACAAAACUUGUCAAACUUGUCAGAUGUAUAUUUAGUCCCAUUAUCCGAUCUUAUUACCUUAAUGCUGAAAUUUGCUUGAUUUUCCACCAAGGCCUUGAAAUUCUGAAACACACCAGCCACUUCUGAUUUUUGCUUCAUAAAGAAAACCCAACACAUCUUUGUUUUAUCAUCUAUGAAUAAGAUGAAAUACCUACUUCCAUUCAAUGAGGGUGUUUUCAUUGGUCCACACACAUCAGUAUGGAUUAAUUGCAACCUUUUUUAAGCUCUCCAAGCCUUGUUUACAGGAAACGACAUUCUACUUUGUUUCCUAAAUUGACAGACUUGACACACAUUUUUUUCAUCACAAAUGACAGGGUAGGCCUUGUGUUAAGCCUUUCUUAUGCAAGUGUUUAAGUGUAGCAUAAUGGAAAUGGCCAAAUCUUUUGUGCCACAACACAGACUCAUCAACAAUAGUGGUAUAGGCAUGCUAAUUAGUUUCUUUCCACUUAAUUGGAAAGCUUUUGUCUCUCAUUUUUACAGUCAUCAACUUACAACCAACACUAUCAACAAUAGUGCAGGACAUAUUUUGAAAAUGCAAAGAAUAAUUCUUCUUUAGCAUUUGACCCACACUUAAUAAGCUUUGACUAAUUUUAGGCACAAACAACACAUCUGAGAUAUAUUUAAUACCUAUUGGAGUCUCAACAGCAACAACUCCCUUGCCCUUGACAUUAACCAAAUCUCCAUUUCCAAUCUUCACUUUCGACUUAUAUGAGUGAUCCAACUCCCUGAAAUAGCUCAAUUCAAGAGUCAUGUGGUUUGUACAACCACUGUCAAUAAGCCAAGUUUCUGUACAACUGCUUGUUGCAUGACUUGUAACAAUAAACAAUUGCUCCUAUUGCUACUGAUUUUCAGCCAUUUGUGCUUGUUUCCCUUACUGAUCAUUUUUAUUCUUGCAUACCUUCUCUACAUGACCAAAUUGCUUGCAUGAUCUGCAUUGCACACUUGGCCUAUACCAACAAAAAUUCUCUGAAUGACUCUACCUCUUGCAGUGAGGACAUGGAGGAUACCUCUUUUUGCCACCACUUUUUCUUCCUUGGCCCUCAUUCUUCUCUUUAUCUUUCUUCUCACCGAAUUGAUUUUUCUCUCUACCUUGAGAAGCUUUUCUUUUUGCUUUGCAAGAAAAGCCUCUUCAUUGUUAUCUUUCUGUCUCAUUGAUCUCCUUUGUUCUUGAGCUUGAGAAGCAUGAACAAGCUCAGCCAAGGAAAUUUUGGUUAAAUCCUUCGAGUCUUCAAGUGAAGAGAUCUUGGACUCAAAUCUUUCAAGCAAGCUCACUAGAACUUUCUCUACAACCCUUUGGUCUAUUAGAUCCUCACCAAGAAGUCGGAUUUUGUUAACAACUUCCAUGAGCCUGUCUAUAUAGUCUUUGAUGGACUCAUUGUCUUUCAUUCUCAAAACUUCAAAUUGCCUCUUCAGAUUCAGAAUCUGCAUUUGCCUAGUUCUAUCACUCCCCAAAUACAUCUCCUUGAGCUUGUCCCACACCUCUUUUGGUGUUUCUCAAGCCAUAAUCCUUGUGAAAAUUGGUUCUAAGACAAUAGCAUGGAUGUAAGAUAAAGCUCUUGGAGCAUUAGCUUCUUCUUCUUCAUGAGUCCUGAUUUGAUUGAGGGUUGGAUUGUUUCCCAAAGGUUGUAUUUGUCUUUCAAUUUCAACCCACUACCACAAACCAAGACCACUCAGGUAAGCUUUCAUCUUAACAACCCAAACUUGAUAGUUUUCACAAUUGAAAACUGGGGUUGAAAGAGUAGACGUAUUGCUGGAAACCAUGAGGGUUUUUAGAGGAAGCCUUGCUGGUGGUUUUUUGUCACUCACAGGUCCUAUUAAGAUUUUUUUUUGUCCUUUGAUACCAUGUGAACACACAAUUUCAUUCAUAUGCUGACAUAUAAAUAUUACAAUUUAAGGCACAUUACUAUUAAGUCAAUACCAAACCCAACUAACACAUCUAGCUUUUUCAAAAGCAAAUUCAACAAAAUACGGAUCUUCACACCUUUUCAACUAUUCUACUAUUAAAAAAGAUAUAAAAGAUUUCUUAAAGUAUCUAAAAAUUCUCAAAUUCUAACAGGUUCGUUGAGGAAGUUGCAGCACAUGGUUGGAACAUUGGGAGCUGUUAACCUCACCACUUCACUCAUUUUCAUACCCUAUUACUUGAUAUGUUGCUUGCCAAGUUUGCAUCAUGUGCUCCUCUAUCGCAAGAUCUACACAUGGCAUUGCUCACCAUUCAUUGGAUUUUAGUACUGUGGAUUGACCCCUUAAAACUAGUUUUCAGUUAUAAGAGCUCCUGGGGGAUGGGGACUAGAUAUGUAUGCAAUGGAUGUGUACAACAAAGGGGGAAAAAUAACAAAUUCCUCACUCAUUAUAAGCAACCUUAGGCUCAUGUUAGAUAUUCUUAGUUACAUUCAAUUUUAGCAAAAAUGACAAAGUAGGAAGAAAAUGAAAAUUAGGUUAUCUUGCCCAAUUUCUGGGGAUUAAAAGAAUCUAAUAUAGACACAGGUUAACACCCAACACUUGUACUCAAGUUCAUGUUGAAACAGAUUGACACCUAUUGACUGGGAGUAUCUUUGGGAUAGAUUGGCACCUAUAGACCAGGAGUAUCUCCACAUGUCCAAGCCUCCUGAUUAGUUUGUUCAUGAAGCUUUUAAACCAAAUCUCCGCAAAAAUAAGGAAAAUUUAGAAGAUUCUGGACAAUGCUACUUUUUUCCUUCUAGUUAAGAUGCUUAAAUAACUUAUACAAGGUGACCCACAAAGCAGAAAAAGAUAUGAUUAUUGACUAGAAACUGUUCUUGAAUCACAAAAUUCAAACUAGAAAAAAGAAUAAAUCUUAAUGUAUUCUUUGUUUGAAUGGGUUGGAAGAUCCUUAGGAGGUGGAAGUGUUUUUCGAUAUAUCUAAUUGAUGUUUUUAAUAGUACUUCAAUCGUAAAGAGUCUCUUUUCCCCUCUACCUUUGGGCACUUAUUGUAUAAAAUUUUACUCGUCAAGGGGGAAAAAAUAAUCUCAACCAGGGCUUGCUUAUAAUUCAUUUUCUAACUAUAAAACACUUAAUACCAUGAGAGUCUUGACCGGAUAGUAUUUGAGGGAACAAUUACACAUAUGGACAAUAGAUCUUAACCAGACUUGGUUGCUCUUUGUUGGAGGUAUGGGCUGAUCAGAUUGGUGAAAAAAAACAAGUUGGGGUCUCAUGAGCUGGUUAAUUGUACUGUGUUGAGGUUUGGUUUUGGAUGAGAAUUGGGUUGGUUUGGGAAAUUAUCAGGCCAAAUAUUGAUUCUUAGUGGCAUAGUGGUAGUGAUCGUGGCAGUGGUGGUAGUAGUCGUGAGAUAGUUGUCCCCUCUCAUACUUAACUAUGAGGCUUUGAGAAUAACACCAUUCACAUGUUUUGAAACCUAAGAUAGUAGGAUUUUAAACCCUACCACCUGCAAAAUGUUCCAAACAAGGCAAUUUUGUUUUUCCUAAGAAAAAAGACUUCUCAAAUUCUAUUUUAACAUGAGAUGUUUCUCCAACUUUAUAAUCCAAGUGGACUUGAAGGGUCAAAAUCACUUAUUUAUUUCCACCUUACUAGAAGAACAUUUCUAAUCUUUAAAAUGGAUCUUUCUUUUGUUACUGUUUGGAACAUUAUGUUAGAUAACAUGAGAAAAAAAACCUCAAAAAGGUGUCCUGCAUGUUGGUUUUGGUGUAUUUGGGAGAAGGGAAAACCCAAAAUUUGAAGAAUAUGGAGCUACCCAUUUUUAACUUGAAAAGUUAACCAACCAAAUAGUAUUUCCUUUGGAGGUUCUGCAAGGGAGUAUAGCCUUCUCAAUAAUUCUUUUGAGUUCUUAAAUGAGAUAAGAUGUUGGACUUUCCACCCUUAUUUUUCUUGUUUGCUCAUGUAUGUGUUUUUUAACAAUAAAAUUCUCUUAUUUACAAAUUGGAGAAAAAAAAUGAUAUGUCAUGCUCUAAAACCCACUCCAAGGGCAUGACAGUCAUUUUACACCUUAAACUCGAAGGCUCAAAGUGAAAACAACACAAACUUUCAUCUUGUAAAUAGAAAUUACCAAUUACCAAAUUGUUGUUCAGAGUAGUAAAAUAAAUCAAUUCUAAAAUCUCCAGAUACCAAUAUAUAAAAACUAACACAUCAACCCAAGUGUUAUUGUCCAAAUAACUUCAAACUCAAAUAAUUCAAACGGAAAAUAAAUUUGAACAUUUAAACAAUGUUCAAAAUAAAAAGAGUUUUAACAAAUGUCCUAACAAGUCAAUUUCCCCUCCUAAUCGUCACUCCUCGUUCGAAUUGAGGGUACCUGGAAAAUUAUUAACAAAAGAGGAUGGGCUCAAAGCCUAAUAAGGAACAUUAAUACAGUUUCAUGGAUCAAACAUUUUCAAUUAUAUUUACAAAUAAAAUAUAUAACAUAUACUCUUUUUAUGAAACUUUUGAGUUAAACAUGCUAAUACAUUUAAACUGUUCAACCAAACAUUUUCAUAUAUAUCAAAAUCAUUUUACAUCCAUUUCAAAUAAAAAAUAUUUCAAUUGUUUUAACUCUAGUUAUCAAAUAACAAAUAGUGCCUAGUUAAGUGGGACUUACAAAUGGGUGGCUAGCCUUAAUUGUUCCUUUUAAGGUGGAUGAAACCAAACAUUACUAAUACUAGUAACCUCUAACCAAACCCCUAGAAGUUGGGGUCCAAAUCAAUUACAUUCCCCACCACGAAAGUAUAAAAGUCAAUUAUUAUAUCCCGUUGACAAGAAUCAAAAAGUCAACUAUUAUAUCCUGUUAACAAGGGUCAAACAAACCAUAGUCAAAUUCCUUGUUUUAUUUAUUCAAACUUACGAAAGCAUAAUAUCUCCGUAUGUUCUAUUAUAAACAAAAGAAACGUUCUAAUAUAUUUUUCAUGUAAAAUUUUUUAAAAUAAACUAACCCUAACCUAAAUCGAAAUCUUCCAGAGAAUCCUUUUAUUAUUAUUAUUAUUAUUAUUAUUCAUUUAAAAACUUAAGAUUUUCCAAUUUCCAAUAAUAAAUCAAUCCAUAUUCUUAAAUUUCCAAUAUUUUGAUCUUAAAAAAUUUAAAUAAACUAACCCUAAUCUAAAUUGAAAUUUUCUAAAGAAUAUCUAAUGUGUUCAAAACUAACUAACAAAUAUAAUAUAUUAAUCUAGGGUUAGAAUCUUACCUGAAAAAUUCUGAACUUCAAACUCUAGACCUCCAAACCUUUAGCCCUACGUUCUCUAAUUCUUUGAUUUUUGGUUAAUAGGGUUUUUUGAAUAGAGAAGACAAGAGGGAAAUCUAAUUUACACCUAUGAUUAUUAAUUGUAAAAGGACUCUUUUACCCUUAAUGAGUUUAAUUAAUUAAUUAAUUAACUUGUAAUUUAUUGUUUUGCCCCUAAAGUUAAUUUUGGGGUGUUACAUGAUAUCUCUAGUAACUCCAUAAAACUCUAUAAAUAGCCCUAAGAGGUAACCAAUUGGAAGGAUCAAGAAUUUGAUCUCUAAAUUAGUUCUUUACAUCUCAAAAGUCCAUCAUCUUUGUUUUCUAUAUUGAGACCCUUCAAAGGGUUACUGUCAUUCUUCCCAACCACAUCUUCCCUGUCAUUUCCAAUCUACUCCUAUAACUAAGAUCGCUCUAUAAGCAUCCAUUUCUUAGGCUUUUGGUGUUUAAUGACUCUUUCCCUUCUUUCCCUCUCAAUUUCCUUUUACAUAAACUUUUAAUUUAAUUCAUUAUGAUCUUUUAUAAUUUCAUUGCUCAAAAGGGAAAUAAAUGUGCAAAUUUGGAGUUUGUUCAAUUUAAUAGUUUAGGACACAAAAAUGCCAAAUUUAGCAUAGUGAUUCAAACGAUGAUCACUAUGGUAUUACAUGUAUUGUGACCUUAGGCCAAAUAAACCUAUCUUAUGUUACUAUUAACCUGUCAAGCUUGGAUUCUUUAGCUUUGGUGAAUUUGAAUUUUGAUUGUCUUCCUUGGAAUUUGGAUAAAUAGAAAGUAAAAGUGUCUGUAGAGAUGACCUCGGGGAACAUAGAAUUCAUAUAAAAGAAGCUAGUGCUCUAGAUUUUAUAUGUUAUUUCAGGCAAUUUCAUUAAUGUCAUACUCUCAAUUUACCAAUUCACAAAAAUAAAUAAAUAAAAUAACACCACACAAUGUGUGAUUACUAAUGAUUUUUUUUUUUUUUUUACUUUUUCUUUUGAGUAUCAAUCAUGCUUAUUUUGAGGGUAUGAUUGCUUAGGAAAUUGUGUGAUUGCCAAAAUGCCUUUGUAUGAUUUGUAACGACCCGUACUCAACUGUGUAGAUAUUGUUUGCUUUGGGCCCAAAGGAACCUCAUGACUUUAAAAUGUGUCUACAAGGUUAAGGGGCCCAUACUUAUAAGGCUAAGAACUCUCUCCCCUAUCCAAUGUAGGACAUCACAAACCCCCCUAUUCAGAUACAACUUCCUUGUUGUGUCUCAUGGGAUUACGGGGCCAAACAAAAAAACACCCCUCAUUAGGCCAAACAAACAAACACUCCUCAUAAGGCCAAACAACCCCCACACCGAGAUCAAGGGUCAACUUUAAUACCAUUUGUAACAACUCGCGCCUAACCAUGUGAAUAUUGUCCGCUUUGGGCCCAAAGGUGGCCUCACUGCUUUAAAAUGUGUCUACUUAGUUAAGAGGAAUCCAUGCAUAUAUAACCUCAGUAACUUUCUCUCAUAUCCAAUGUGGCUACUUAUAUGGCUAUAAAAUUAGCAACUUGGCACUAUUGAGAGUAAUGUAACUCAUAACAAUGGAAAUGAUUAUGUGUACCUUAGAACAUUAUAUGAUACAGAAUCUAAACAUUGUAUGAUCAGUUGAUAAUAAAGAAAGGUGCUCGACUUCAGGGAAGAAGCAGAGGAACAAGGUAUAUGAAAUGUGAGGGUAGUACUUGCACAUGUAAAGUGUGAUUAUCCCUUUAAGAUGUUGCACAAUUUUAGCACUUAGCAGAAGUAGAGAUAGUGCUCUCUCUUUGAUUAAUCUCCAUGCCAAAAGCAUCCUAUAUAAGUGCCACAAUAUAAGUAACACCAUAUGAGUAACAUAUACAAUGUCUUUAAUUGUCAUUGGUCAUUGUAAGACAUCAAUUGCUUUGACUAUCCCUUGCUACAAAAUACCAUGAGCAUUCAAAUGUCCCUCAGUUGUUGGCAUGCCCAAAACCCAACAUUUGAUAGGAAGCCCUUUUAACUUGUCAAUUUGAACGAAAGUUAGUGGUUGACACGAAGCCUUUAACUUCCAGCAUGUCUAUUGUACAAUGUAUGAGAGGAAAACCUUCAACUUUUGAAGUGUUUCAUAGUGUAGUGUGUGAUAGGUAGACCUUUAAUUAUCAGCAUUCUCUAAGUUUGUGAUAUGAGAAUAUGUCAACCACUUUUAACAUCUUAUAGAAAGUAGCCAUGCUUUUAAGACCAUUCAAGGUGGUUGCAGUAUGCUUUUGUUGACCUAUGAGACUUGUGAAAUAUCUCCAAGGGUGCAAAGACAGGCAUGAUCAAAGUUAGAGGAAGGUACAUGGAACCAAGUGGUCAAGAAAAGCAGCACAAGGUUCUAGUGAUGGAACCUUGAUAAGGACAACCAGAGGAUUGGACAUCCUAUGUAGUUGCCCUAAGGACCACUUUGAUUGUUUUGAAUGAUUUCAAACCAGACAUGAUCCUUUGAUCUAUCUUCUCAUGCAUGUAUUGCUAUCCUUUGGAAUUGUCAAUUCCAUGUUGUCUGUUGUGAUAAAAUCUUAGGUCCAGGGUUUAGCCAAGAAGGAGAUGGGAUAGGGAAAUACUAAAGAGGAAAGAACAUGGAACUUCUAUUUUUUUUUUGGCUGGUGAUGCAUGUGAUAUGUGAUGGUAUGAUAAAGUCUUGUACAAAAACAUUUCUUUUUUUUUUUGACAAAUUCUUUAUAUUUUAACCUUUCUUAUACUACACAUACUUUAUCGGUGUGUAUUUUAGACUUUGCAUGGACAUAAAGCAGGAGAAAAAUUUUCAGGUCACUAAAGCUUAUGGAUUCAUAGUCAGGGGAAAGCUAGAAAUUUAAUUCAGAGGCACCCUUUUGAGAAUAUACGAAUAGAAAAAUGAAAGAAUUAAUAAUAAUACAAAAGGUUGAUUAUGCUUAUACUCAAUAAUUUAUCAUUAAUGGGAUUUAAUGAUUUAUCUAUUUAUCUCCAUUCAGGUAUCUAAUUAAUUUUAAAUAUAUAUUAUUAUUUUUUUUGAAAUCUUAUAUAAAAAAUUUAAAGAAUAUAAAUUAUUUCUUUUAUUAAAAAAUAGAUAAAUAGCAUCCACAUUAAGUUAAUAUAGAAUUGCUUUGGGAACUAUUCUUAUUUUUUAAUUUUUUUUUUUCCUUUUUUGUAAUCUUUUUUAGAAUAUUGGAAUAGAAAGCAUUGAUUUGAGAUUCAUCUAAGUAUUAUAAUUACUUAUAUUAAUCAAAUAGCAUAUGUCCCAGCUUAGUGGUAGAGCAUUUUAUAUGGAUACACAAUCGAACCCCAGUUUGUAUCAAAUUUUUUCAACUUGUCCUAGCUUAGUGCAUUUUUGCUUCCAGGUGGUGUGCGAAAGGAUGAAAAACUUCUGCCAUUUAUUGGGCUAGUGAUAGAUGAAUUGAAGGUUCCUAUGCAAAUUGACUAGUAAUAUGUUUAAAUGCUUUAGAAUUGUGUGAAGAAGUAUUAUAGGUAUUUGUAAUCACUACAAUCUAGUUUAUAUGAGCAUUGGCAUGGACUUAGUAAGCUCUACUACCAUUUAUUACUCAUUUUGGUGUUAAUAUUUUCUUUUCCUUUCAGUAGCCUUCUAGGUUGUCUUAGGGCUGAUGACCUCCUGUUUAUUCUUGUAUUUUGGAGUUCUUGUAUGUCAGUAGCUACACCUUCUCAAUAUCACUAUUGGAUUUAUUGUUUUUAUCAAUUCCGUCCUUCCAAAUAGAAUGAUUCCUUCCUUCAUGCCCUAUUCUUUGUGCCUGCAAGUUAAGCAAAUUGCUACGUUGUUGUUGCUUCUCUUAAAGGCCCUUGAUCGGUAACAAAGCAUGAUAUAGAACUACCUGUGAAACUUGGUCCAAAUUAUGACUGAAAAGAAAAUGUGUAGGAAGAGUAAGAAGAAACUGAUUUUUUUUCCCUUUCCCUCCCUUCCCCAUCCACAAACAACCCCUUUUUUCCUUCUUUUUUUUUUUUUUAAAGAUAGCUAAGAGUAAGAUGAAACUGAUAUUGGAACAUAAUAAAGAUUCUUUCAAUCAAUUAAAUAACAAAAUCUAUAAGCACAUUUAUUUUAUAGGAUCUUAGUGAAUGAGUUCAGGUUUUAAAUCCUACUGAUCACAAUGCUAAGUUGCAAGGUUUUUUUCUUUUUCUUUUUUUAAUAUUUCAUUGCAUUAACAUAUUAAGAACAAAGAAGGAUGAGAAAUUCUUCAUUACACAAUUCUCUAUACAAAGUUUCAUCAAGAAGGUGGAUUUGUAUAUACCGAUUCAAUAAGUCAAAUCUAGCUAUAAUUCAUGAGGUAUAAAAUCUCCUACAAAAGAAAACAUAUGUCUAACUCCAUGUUUUGAUAACUUAUUUGCUGCAUGAUUGCCUAAGCGAGGAACCUGAGGGGUACAUCUUAACUCUGAAGAAAUAUCAAUAAUUUGGCAUAACCACCCAUGAAACUUCCAGAAUCCUCUUCUUUACCGUAAUACGACAAUAGUAGAAUCACCUUUUGAAAGGGCUAGAAUUUUUGCCUUAAUGGCUAAUCUUGACCUGCAUGGUUAGAGGUACUCUUAACACUUUGCGAAAGUGAUCCCUAAGUAACCUUUUUGUUCCUAACUACCUUGGGUUGCCCAAAGAACAUCUAUCAAAAUGAAAUAGAGCAAAACCCAUUGAAGAUGGUAGUCAUUGAAAAAGUGUCUCCUUAGUCAACCUUGUGGUUCUGCAAACUAGGUUCCAAUCUAGUAGAAUAAAGCUUAAAAAACCUUCAUUGGUGGAAGCCCACAAGGAAUAAGAGAAGUAAAAUAAGUUCUUAAUUGUUUCUCGAGACCUCUACCUAUCCUUAAAAAUUCUUGCACUCCUCUCUUGCAGUGUAGUCCAAAUCAAAGUGAGGUUAGCAACGCGCCAAAGAUUCCUACCUCAAGGAAGUCCUCCAAAACCUUUGAAGAAUAUAAUCAGCAUUGCCUCUGCCUGUUCAGGUGGAGCCCAAUCAAUUCCUACAAGUAGAAACAUUCUACAUCAUAAUGUCAAUGCUACAGGGCAAUGUAAUAGAAAAAUGAUCUAGAGACUCCCUACUCAUACACACCAUUCAAAGCUAAGUGCUUUGUAUGGUCUUCUCCAUUGGAGCAAGUCAUUAGUAUUGUCCUUCUUAUUUGUCGCAAGUCAUGCAAAGGUGAAGACUUUUGGUGAGACUUUGAAUUUCCAAAUGACAUUUGCAGGAAUAAAAGAGACUACAUUGAUAAAAAUAGAGAUAACCUUAAAGAGGGAACUAACUGAGAACUAUCCUAAAGAUGUCAAAGACCAAACUUUCCAAUUAGGAAAAGUGGGUGACAAAUAGACAUGGGCAAAAGAAAACAUUAGACGAGCUAGUUCCUCAAUAUCUUGUUUUCCACUACUUUUAGCCCAGGAUAUUUUGACCAGAUGGAUUUCUAGGUUAUCCACUAAAUAGAACCUACAAAUUUAAUCCUAGUGCCUCUUAUGAGAAUUAUGUUAUAAGGAAGUUCCUGAAAAGUAUUUUGGUUGCACUUUUUACUGCAAAGUAGAAUCCUUGAAAAGAAAUUCUCAUUAGCCUAAGUGCAGUUGUCCAAGCCUGUGCAUGUUUGUUGUAAGCCUGAGCUAUCAUUUCAAUGUUUCAAUUGAUUACAAUAUAAAAUUUUCUUGGAAAGCUUUACUAGUCCAAUAGUCUUCUCAUGUUUAAUGGUGUAGCCUCACUUAUCUUGGGAAUGUUCAUUUUUAAGAUAAUUUAUUACUAUGUGUAUUUGAGUUCGUCAUAAUGGAUAUGCACCCAAUGCAUGGUAAGUGAUAACCAGUUGCAUCCAUGGAUAAAUAUUAGUGCAUCUAUAGUAAUGAUGACAAUCAAGAACCUAGUUGUGGGGUUGUCUCUUUGAUGAGGAUGAAUCUCCAAGAUAUACAUCAAGAAAAUGAAUUAGUAUCAGUUGCAAUUAAAGUAUGAUUAAUAUUACUUCGACUUAAAUUAGGAUUAGCAUUUGUUGGAAUUAAAUUAAGAGUAGCUAAUUAGGUUAUUGGAGAAUAAGAAUUAUAGUCAUAAUGGGUUAUUAGAAUCCUAGUAGACUUGGAUUUAUUAGAGAAGCCUAUAAUUAAGGUUAAUUGAUGUAAAUCAAAGUAAUGGAUUGAUGAUUAAUAAUACCAUGUUUUCUAGCAUACUUUGCAAUUUUCAUUGGUGAGACUCUAUUGAUUUUCUUCUACAUGAGGCUGUUAGAAAGUCUUAGUGAGACUUUAAGGUUUCUAUUCCUUCUUCUUCUUAUCUUCUUUCUCUAUAUUUUUUAUUUUAUCUUUCUCUACCAUCAACUUUAUCCCUCGUUCCUCUCCUUAAAUCCUAAAAAAAUGAAAAACCCUAGCCCACCUAUUUGAGUGUAGGUAAGCAUCCUAGGGUUGUCCUACAUCACUCUUCCCCCCCACCCCCCACCUUUUUUUUUUUCAUCUGUGUUUGUGGUGGGGGUAUCGUUGAGGAAUGUUUUCUUUCUACAACCUAAGGAGAAGCUCUUCAAAUCUGGAUUAUCUGUCCUGGAUUUUCCUCUUAGGAAGCUAGGCUCAUAUUGGCCUAAUCAUAAAAAAUUUUACUUGACCAAACUGAAUAAGUUGGUUCUCCAUUGAAUCAUACACAACUUGUUUAAAGGAUCAGAGUCUCAUCAUCUGUUCAUUUUUUUAGAAUCUAUACCACUUAAUCUAAUAUAAAUAUACUGAAAAAUAUUUUUUCUAGGUAUUUUUUAUUUCUUUGUGUGCUAGAAUAUAACUAUGUUCUUGUUUAUAAAUGUCUGUGUAGGUUGCAUCAGAGAAAGGACUUUUCACUAUUGUCAUAAAUCUGCAAGUAAGUUUCUUUUCUCCAUAACAUUUUAGUUUUUAACUAGGUGCUUCUGCAUGCUGGAAGAGGAGUAAAAGUUGUAAUCUUACAGGUACCCGGUUCAACACACUACAGUAUGAUAUUUUAUUUUGUAACUAAGGAAUUAGUAACUGGAUCCCUGUUGCGACGAUUUGUUGAUGGUUAUGAUGAGUUCCGAAAUAGCAGGCUGAAGCUCAUCCCAUCAGUUCCCAAGGUACUUUCUACAUUUUCCAGUUUUUGAAGGAUGCUCAAAUAGAAUGUCAGGACUGUUGCAGGCAGUCCUCACUCCUGCUUGCGGUGCUCAAUAAUUUAUAUUUGGAUGAUCAUGCUGAUUACUUCUUAGCAGAUCUUUUAUGCCUCAGAAGUAUAGAAUUAAGCUAAGAUGCCACACAUGUGCAUUUGCACUUCUUUCAUAAUGUGGUUUGGGUGGAUAAUAAAUUGGUUAGCAAGCAUGUAAAGUCAUGCUUGAAGUUGCAGUGGUAAUCAGGUUUUGUCAUAUUAAUUUACUUCUUUAUUAUUACUAUUAUUUUUGUUCAACUGGAUCCAUGCAUACUUCAAUAGAUUAAAUGCUUAAUUGCUUCCAUAAAUUAUUUAAAUAACUAACUGCAGGUUGUUAAGUCUAAUUUACACUCUCCUUGUGGACCAUAAAUUAUUUAAAUACUUCAAUAGAUCCAUGCAUAUGUGCCAGAUGUUCUGAUUUGAUACAUUGGAUUCUCAUUGAACUGCGCCAAGUGUCCUACAUUACAUCACCAUAUCCAAAUUUUGUAUUAGCAUGUGACAAUUUGCUUCAUGUGCUAAGAUGCAACGAGUGUUGAUCCAUUGGUUAGAUGCUAUUAUUGAUUACUUGAAAUUGGUUCAAGGAUCUUGAUUUGGUUAUAGAGUUGGACGCUCCUCGAGAGUAAUGGACUAUGCACGAAUUAUGCCCAUUCCAACUGAAUUGAGAGAGGGGAGCACCACGUCCAAGGGGUAUGUCACCAUUUAUGUUUGAUGCACUAUAUGUGAGGUUGACCUGUUUCUGUGACAAACCUAGUCAUGGCCCUUGAUUCAAUAUACCCAGGAGAUUUUUGAUUGGUUUAGCAUGUUCUUGUGGUUAGCAUGGGCCUCCCAAGUCAAUAACUAUCAAAGACCUCUCAUUGGUUAAGUCUAUGAAUAUGGGCUCUUAAAUAAGGUGUAGACUACAUGAUAUACAUCAUGUGCUCAAAUCUUACAAGUUUAAAUUUUUAGGAUAAUUAAUUCACCAAUAUUCUAUCAGAGUCUCAUUUGGUGGGAGGUCAUGUCUUUGAACCUCAUGACAUAUUUAUUUCCUUAAUUUAUUAAGCCUAAAUGAGGCUAUUUAAUUCUUCAGUUUAUUAAGCUCACACGUACGCCCGGAGUGUAAGCCUAAUGGAGGCUACACUUAAAGGAGGGUGUUAAGAGUGCAUGAUAUACACAUACAUUGUGGGCCUACUACAACCUUAUGCUUUUAGGAUAAUUGGUUGUUCAACAUAAAGGGUUGUAGAUGGCUCAUUGAAGAAGGAUUUUUGUUUAUCCAAAGAGUACUCUUCACCCAUCUUGAGUCCUUGAGAUUUCCUGUACGAGCUUAAGCCGUCCUUGGGGCACUAUCAUCUUUCUCCAUCUGCUCUCUUUUUAGCCCUUUUUGAUCUCCUCUCAAACGUUUUAUAACUCACCAUUUCCAUCGUUACUUAGGACCUAUCAUAAUGAUGCAAUAUAUUUAUUUUAGUUAAACUAACUUUGCUUCCUCAAGCAUUUCUUGGUUUUGCUUGGGUGGGUUAGUAAAUAUUUGAACCCAGCCCAAAUUCACCAUCCGGACCUUAAACAUUCCCAAGUUUCAGUACAAACUAUUACGUCAUUGAACUGAACCUGUCCUAUCUAUGGAUUUUCAUGUUGACUCAACAUAGUUCACAGCCUUAGGAUGCAUUAGUGGCUGGUAUCCAAUGGGUUUCUUGAUGGCCCUUAAAAACAUGCCAUCUCAUUUUCAUGAAACCUUAUAUUGAUGUGGGCAGUUUUUUCUCUUCAUCCUCACUAGAAUAUUAUUCCAAUUCUGUUUUCUGCUUCUUUGUGCUCUUUGACAUCUCUAUCUUCUGGGCUUGUUCUUUCUAUACUGUUUCAUGCAGGCUCCAUGGAUGGUGCGCCGGAUUGUUGGAAGCACCCCUCAUUUCCUAGGAAAAGUAGUUGAUUGCAAUUAUAUCCGUGGUCCAAAGUACUUGGAGGUAAAGGCCCUUCUCAAUUCUAUAGUAUAUGAUUUUACCUUCAGAAAAAUUCUGAAAUUCACUCAGGAAUACUGUAGUUUAACAUCACUCAAUUUUCUGUAGAUUGAUGUUGAUUUUGGUUCUUCAACUGUUGUUGAUGGAGCUUUGGCCUUUGUAAAUGGUGCAAUUCCUAACUUGGUUGUUGACAUGGCUUUCCUUGUACAGGUAUGUUCUCUUUAUUAAUCCUGACCAUCUUAACUGAGUGUUGAUCAGGACUUCCUACAUAAGUUGUUGAUUAUAUUCAAUGACAUAAGCAAGGAUUCACUUACAGGAGAGCUAAUCAUGUACUGACUGUCUAAUUAGAGAUGACAAAGUCUAAACCUGCCAAGUUGUUGCACAAGCCCUGGAACCUGCUUAUAUUAUUUUAAACCAAUAACUAUAUAUAUUUUAUCUGAUUCAAGAAACUUUUUAAUUUGGAUAACUUACAGGAAUGUCAGUGUUUUUAUAGUACUAAAAUCAUCACCAUGUACCAACUUGGUGAGUUACAGAGAAACUUUUAUGGGAAGGGAUGGGGAGGCAAGAAAGACCCACUUGGUUAAAUAUGAGGUGGUCUGUUUGUUGAAAGUGGAGGGAUGAGUAGAACAUUGUUAGGAAAUAGCUUUGAAGAUUUGGGGGAAGAAAAGGUUAGUGAAUGAAAUUAGUGUUAAGGAAAUUCGAGGGAAGGAGUUUUGGUGUUCACGAGAGGUAGGAGAUUUGUUGGGAUAGGGUUGUGGAAGGUGUGAGAAAGGGGUUUGUGUGGUUUUGCUCAGUUGUUGUUAUGGCAUGAUCAUGCAUCAGGGAAGACACUGUUGAAGGAGUGAUCUCCUAAUCUGUUCAGAGUUACAGUUAAGUAGAGAAGUGGAAAAAUACUGAUUCUUAGGUUGGAGAGGAGUGGGAGAAACUGCAGUCCAAGCUUUAUCAGGGUUCUUCCCAACUGGGAAAUAUUGAAGUGAUCUGUAGUAUGGUGGGGUGGAAAACUGGGGCUGAGGUGAUGCAAUUGAGUGGAAUCUUACUGCAGAUAAAAGUAGGAUAUCUGCUGAAUCACUUUUAUCAAAGCUAAGGAUGAAUUGGGGUACAGUUGAUGCAAUUGAGUGGAACCUGACUUCGAAUAAAAUAAUUUUUUGGUAAAUCACUUCUUGUGGCGAUAGGGAAUAGGAAAUGUUGACUAUCCAGGAGAUUUGGGGUUUUUUGGCACAUGCGACAGUGGCACUCUUCAUGAGUACAGCAGUUUGGAAAAUGAUGUUUACCAUGCCCGCUGGUGAGCAGGGGAAGAAUCAUUGCUAAUCAGUGUUGUAUGUUAAGAAGGAUGGCGACUGUAUUCAUCUCUUUCUCUGGCACAGAGGCUUGAGACUUAUGAUUUGCAAUCUUGAUCCUUUUUGGAAGUUUCAGGUGCUCCCCACAACUUAUGAGCAAGGAGCAGUCCAAUCGGCAUUAUGAGUUUGUAGUGAGGAUAGGAGGAAAGGUGGAAGACUUCACAUUAUAGUUGGUUUAGUGCUUAUGGAAGGAGCAUUGUGAAAGGACUUGUAAAGGCAUUGAAACUCCAGUCUAGAUUACAUGUAGCUUGUGUAGGGGGACCCCUCCCCCUGAGGCCGCGUGACACACAUUUCUUGGUGACACGUGGUACGUAUUCUCAUCCGGAUUACCCAAUCCGGAUUUCCCCAAGAGUACACAUGGCGCGCUUCUCCUAUCCGGACUUCCUCAGAGAGAAGUACACGACACUCGCAAAUAUCACAUCCGGACGACCGACAUAUCCUAUCCGGAUAUGUUUGUCCGGAUCAUUGACUGAGUAAGCAAAUCUUGCACGUUAUUAUAACAGCCUGCCAUGGCCUACAUUCCGCCACCUGCAGAGUGAAGGGAUAGGAAUGAAGUGACAACAAGUCACUUCCCAUGAUCUCUGACAGCCGCGGCGCCUCCCACGAUCUCUGUCAGCCACCCUAUGAGUGAUGAUGGCCCUGCCACCACCUAGGGGCAUCAUGACAAGCCAAAAUAUCUCCUUACCAUUAAAGAGGGAAACAAAGCUUCUGGUACUUAUAUAUAUGAACCUUCACACAAAGAGGAAGGUAAGCCUACUAUACCUAGUAAAAGGCCAACUAAUUUAUCUCUCCUAUCAUGGCUGACAAAACCAUCGGAGGGUGCGUCCAGACGCCUUUUGCAAGUACGAUUGAAUCAAGAACCUAUAUUGGUUAAGAUCGUGCGUCCAUCCAUUUGGCAGCUACGUGGAUCGCCAGGGACGCGAGGCCUCAACAUUGGCGCCGUCUGUGGGAAAAUUCGUUGAUUCAGUCACCGACGAAGAUGGCCACACCUUCCCAAAGUCGUUCAUCUGGUAAGGGAGAAGAAGAUAAUUAUGAAUGGCGCCAAGCCAUCGAAAGAAGACAGUUGGCAAGCGAACGACAACUGAAAGCUCUCCUUCAGGAGACAGAAAGAUUAAGAGAAGAAAACGCUGUACUACGCAUCCAGGCUUCAACAUCGGGGCCUCCUCAUCGUCAGCAUUCAAGAGGCCAUGUAGCAAACUCAAGGCCAGAACCAGAGUCAAUAUAUCCUGGGACAGCGGGAGCUAUCCCAGGAACAUACAACGUGAGGCCCCAUGAGCCACACACGCCCAUGCCUCAAGCUCCCCGUGAGGAAAGCUCGGACUCCACUCAUUUUUCAACAAAAAGGCAACGCGAUAGAAAAUCCCAGUUGUAAAAUUCAAUGCGCGCGAGACUAGGCCCACAAGAGCCUGGGAGACCAAGGCUACCAACAGCCACAACCUGGGCAAUGCGCCCUGACCCUAUGGUCACCCCCAUGGUACAGAACGUGCUCCUGCACCGUGACCCUAUGGUCACCCCCAUGGUGCGGAACGUUCACUCGCACCUAGCGGCACAACAAGAUGGGAGAAACCUCCUAAAUGGGCCACCUGUUGGCUCCAUCAACAAAAGACUAGACGACAUGCUCUCCACGCCUUUCUGCUAUCAUAUCAUUCAUUACGAGCCCCCAAGGGGAUUCCUCGUACCCAAAUUCUCCACAUACGAUGGGUCCAGCGACCCCUUCGAUCAUAUCAUGCAUUAUCGACAGCUCAUGACUCUCGAUAUGGGCAACGACGCGUUGCUAUGCAAAAUAUUUCCCGCCAGCCUACAAGGGCAGGCCCUCUCAUGGUUUCAUCGCCUACCUCCCAACUCUGUUGACAAUUUCAGGGAAUUAUCGAAGGCUUUCGUGGGACAAUACUUAUGCUCCGUUUGACAUAAACAGAACAUCAGCACUCUGCAAAACAUAAAAAUGCAAGAUAACGAAUCCUUAAGGGAGUUCGUGAAACAGUUUGGUCAAGUCGUACUUCAAGUAAAGGCUUAUAGUAUGGAUGCUAUCCUGCAGAUCUUCAAGCGAGGCAUCUGUCCAGGCACUCCAUUUUUCGAAUCACUCGCUAAAAAGCCUCCAACAACGAUGGACGACUUGUUCAGACGUGCAAACAAAUACUCAAUGCUCGAAGAUGACGUACGAGCAGCCACCCAGCAAGUCUUGGUUGCUGGACAGGCAUCUAGAAGUGGCGCGGAUAGAAAUGCCAAACUUCCGAACAGGCCAAGGCCGUUCGAUCAAAGGUAGGAAGGGCCAGGUCGCCCGGAAAGACCGCCCCUCACGCCUCUCUCCAUAUCAUAUGAGAAACUUCUCCCUAUGAUCCAAGGCAUGUCCGACUUCAGGUGGCCUAGACCCCUCGAAACGGACCCAUCCAAAAGAGAUCAUAGCAAAAAAUGUGUCUUCCACAAGGAGCAUGGUCACACAACUGAAGAAUGCAGGUGCCUCCAUUAUUUGGUCGAAAGGCUCAUAAGAGUAGGACACUUGAAGCAAUACCUCCGCUCAGAUGCUGGAGGUAAAAACGCUUCUCAAAACCACAACACUGGAGCCCCCAGGGCCCCAACCGCCCCCAAAGCCGUUAUAAACUAUAUUAACGGAGGCCCAUCUGACGAGGAGUAUGACUCCAAACGAAAAAGACAAAAGUUGUUGCGGGCCGCAUCGGUACAUGAACGUAUCAACUCCAUCCGGCCUGGGAUAUCUGGAGGGGGCCCCCGCCCCAUAGAUGGGACAAUCAUUUUUCCACCAGUAGACUCCACUCGGAUAUUGCAUCCGCACCGCGACGCCCUCAUCCUGUCCCUAGAGAUAGGAGACUUCGACGUGAGGCGCAUCCUGGUCGACCCAGGCAGCUCAGCCGAUCUUAUACAAGCAUCGGUCAUUAGCCACAUGGGACACAGUCUCACAGGCCUCGAAAACCCUGUGCGAAUCCUAUCCGGAUUCAACGGGUCAUCAACUACGUCAUUGGGAGACAUUGUACUGUUGGUCCAAGUUGGCCCAGUCACUCUCAACGUACGAUUUUCGGUGGUACAAGAUUUAUCACCCUUCAAUGUCAUAUUGGGGCGCACAUGGCUACACUACAUGAAAGGCAUCCCCUCUACAUAUCACCAAAUGGUAAGUUUCCUUACCAAAGAUGGGCAAAUUGAUCUAUAUGGCAGCCAGUUAGCUGCUCGCCAAUGCUACCAGAUAGCACGAGAAGCAGGGACUAGCCAGGAGGAUGCAUCCCUUCCUCAGUCCAGCCUUGCACGUAGCCAAUAGCAAUUAUUGGGUCCGGCGGACAAAGAUCCCCCGGCAGCGGAUCCCUUGCAAACAAUCCAAAUUUCAGAAGAAGGUACUCACCUUACGAAUAUCAGUUCCCUCCUGACAUCGGAAGAAACCCAGAAUAUGCAGAACGCCCUCAGACAAAACCAUGACGUCUUCGCAUGGGCACAUUCUGAUAUGAAAGGAAUUCAUCCCUCCAUUACCUCUCAUAGACUCAACGUCUUACCAACAGUCAAACCCAUCCGGCAAAGGGUUAGGCGUUUUCACCCGGACAGGCAAAAAAUUAUCCGGAGUAAGAUUGACAAGUUGCUAGAAGCCGGAUUCAUCAGAGAAGUGGAUUACCCGGACUGAUUAGCAAAUGUAGUAGUGGUACCCAAAAAAGAAGGCAAAUGGCGGGUGUGCGUUGAUUACACCAACCUCAAUAAUGCAUGUCCAAAAGACAAUUUUCCUUUGCCACGGAUAGAUCAAAUUGUCGAUUCCACAACUGGGCAAGGGAUGCUCUCUUUUUUGGACGCCUUCUCCGGAUACCACCAAAUCCCCAUGUCCCCGGAUGAUGAAGAAAAAACAGCCUUCAUAACACCACAUGGUCUCUAUUGCUAUAAAGCCAUGUCAUUCGAACUCAAAAAUGUUGGCGCCACUUAUCAGAGACUGAUGACAAAGAUCUUCAAACCUCUGGUCGGCCGCACAGUAGAGGUAUAUAUUGACGAUAUCGUGGUCAAAAGCAAAACCCGAGAGGAGCAUGUCCUCCACUUGCAAGAAGUUUUCCACCUCUUAAGGAAGUAUGGCAUGAAGCUAAACCCUUCCAAAUGCGCCUUUGGCGUAAGUGCUGGCCAAUUCCUGGGAUUUAUGGUCAGCCAAAGGGGGAUAGAGGUUAGCCCGAAUCAAGUGAAAGCGGUCAUGGACACACCACCCCCCAAGAACAAAAAGGAAUUACAACGCCUCACAGGCAAGCUUGUCGCGCUUGGGCGUUUUAUAACCCGAUUCACUGAUGAGUUGCGACCAUUCUUCUUGGCAAUACGAAAAGCUGGAGCCAAUGGGUGGACAGACAGCUGUCAAAACGCUUUUCAAAAAAUUAAACAUUGCCUCAUGCAACCGCCCAUCCUGAGCAACCCCAUCACUGGUGAAAAAUUAUACAUGUACCUAGCUGUAUCAGAGUGGGCGAUCAGCGCUGUUCUAUUCCGCUGCCCCUCACCCAAGGAGCAGAAACCUAUCUACUAUGUCAGUAGGGCAUUGGCGGACGUAGAAACCAGGUAUUCAAAGAUGGAGCUAACGGCCUUAGCUCUUCGCAGUGCUGCCCAGAAACUCCGCCCCUACUUCCAAGCACACCCGGUGGUCGUGCUAACUGACCAGCCCCUUCGCAACAUUCUGCACAAACCGGACCUAACCGGAAGAAUGCUUCAAUGGGCCAUAGAGUUAAGCGAAUAUGGAAUUGAGUUCCAACCCAAGCUAUCCAUGAAAGGCCAAGUCAUGGCUGACUUCGUGCUGGAAUACUCCCGAAAGCCUAUCCAGCAUAAGGAAUCAAGUGAAAAAGAGUGGUGGACUUUGCGGGUCGAUGGAGCCUCACGAUCAUCCGGAUCCGGUGUAGGGCUCCUGCUGCAAUCACCAACGGGGGAACAUUUGGAGCAAUCCAUCCAACUAGGGUUCCCUGCCUCUAACAAUGAAGCAGAAUAUGAGGUCAUCCUAUCCGGAUUGGAUCUCGCCCUGGCUCUAUCCGUCUCCAAGCUCCGGGUUUAUAGCGACUCUCAACUCGUGGUAAGACACGUUCAGAAGGAAUACAAAGCUAAAGAUGCGCACAUGGCACGAUAUCUGACUAAAGUAAGGGACACUUUACAACGAUUCCCCGAGUGGACAAUCGAAAAAAUCAGACGAACUGAAAAUGGGCGCGCCGACGCCUUGGCCGGCAUAGCUACCUCCCUCCCCAUCAAGGAAGCAAUAUUGUUGCCUAUAUAUGUGCAAGCCAGUCCUUCCGUAGCAGAAACCUCCACUUGCAACACCAUCGAGGUAAACCAAGCAGAUGGCCAAGAAUGGACGAACGACAUUAUAAAAUACCUUCAGACAGGCACUUUGCCCAAGGACCCAAACAGGCACACAAGAUUCGGGUGCAAGCCUCCCGCUUUACCCUAAUUGGGGGGCACCUGUACAAAAGGUCUUUUACAGGUCCCUACCUUCGAUGCUUAAGUCAUUUAGAGGCCUUGUAUGUAUUAGCAGAAUUGCACGAGGGAGUAUGUGGAAAUCAUUCUGGAGGAUGAUCUCUAGCACACAGGCCCCAUUCUCAAGGAUACUAUUGGCCAACAAUGAAGAAGGAUACGGCAGCCUAUGUCAAAAAAUGUGACAAAUGUCAAAGGCAUGCCCCCAUUUCGCAUAUGCCGUUAGAGACACUAAAACCAAUUUCAGGCCCUUGGCCCUUCGCGUAGUGGGGCAUGGACAUAGUGGGACCCCUCCUAGUCGCACCCGCCCAGAAGAAAUUCCUACUCAUCGCCACGGAUUACUUCAGUAAAUGGGUGGAAGCUUAAGCAUACGCUAGCAUCAAAGACAAGGAUGUCACUAAGUUCGUAUGGAAAAACAUCAUCUGCCGCUUCGGAAUCCCCCAAACCAUUAUAAUCGACAAUGGUCCACAGUUUGAUAACAUCGCCUUCCGAAAUUUUUGUUCGGAACUGAACAUCCGGAACUCAUACUCCACACCGCGUUAUCCUCAAAGUAAUAGGCAAGCAGAAGCCACAAACAAAAUGUUAAUCAUGGCUUUAAAGAAAAGGCUCGAGCAAGCAAAAGGAAAGUGGGUGGAGGAGCUACCCGGAGUCCUAUGGGCUUACCGAACCACACCCGAACGCCCUACAGGAAACACUCCCUUUGCCCUCCCAUACGGUAUGGACGCAAUCAUUCCUACCGAAAUAGGGUUACCCACUAUCCGGACUGAGGCAGGAAAGCAGGAUGAUGCAAACGCAGAGUUAGGAAGAAGCUUGGACUAGGCAGAUGAAGUAAGGGAAAACACAUCCAUCCGGAUGGUAGACUAUCAACAAAGGGCAUCCGCUCAUUACAAUCACAAAGUAAGGCCUAGAAGCUUCAAAAAUGGUACGCUGGUCCUUAGAAAAGUUUUUGAAAAUACUACUAAGACAAGAGCAGGAAAAUUUCAAGCCAACUGGGAAGGCCCCUAUAUAGUAUCUAAGUCAAGUGAAAGUGGAGCUUAUCAUCUACAAAAGCUAGACGGAACACCAUUACUCAGACCAUGGAAUGUGUCGAAUUUAAAGCAGUAUUACCAAUAAAUAAAAAAAAAGACAAGUGCAAAUGUGAAAGAAUAUACGUUUUAUUGAUAUUUGUAAAAGUUGUAUACAAAGGGUCCUCCGGACUACAAAAUACAGCGAGAAGAUAGCAGUACAAAAAUUAUUACAAAAAGAAAAGCUCUCAUUGAGCAGGCUUGCCGCGCAGCUUCUCCUCCUCACCCGGGGGAAUUGAAGGGACAUCCCGCUUGAUGCCAUGUUUCUUCAUACAGUAGCGAUAGCCGAAGAAGUACAUGUCGUUUACUUGCUUCUGGUAGUCCGCUUCAAGUUCCUCCCUUUCUACAGCAAACUCAGCCUUCAGCUCUUCUUUUUGCGCUGAUAAACGCAACUGAAAAUCUUCUCUCUGCUUUUUCUCGAUAGAUACCUCCGUCCGGAGUUGCCUCACCUCACCCCUUAGAAGAGCCUUCUCAUCCUCCGCCUCAAGCAGACGAGCAUCCAAAGUUUCCUCCCGGCUCUUUGCCUCAACAAGCUCUACCCGGAGAGCCUCGUUAUCCUCUCGAGCGGCGGAUAAACUGGCUUCGACCUGCUCCAGUUUCAAGCGCAUCUUCUCUUCAUUAUUUUUGCGCUGAGAGACGAAGGCCUUCGUAUAAUCAGCGGUCCGCAGUAGGUCAGAAAACAGAUCGUGUUGUUGAACCAUGCCGCGAAGACCGCUCACCAGUUGCAGAAAAACACACCAACAAGAAGUACAUAGUUACAAACCAUGCCACAAACACAUUAGUAUGGCAAGAAAAAUCAAGAAGUAAAAACUAUACCGUUUCCACCACUUCGAACAUUUUUGCUAAAGGCAUGACAACGUCUGAGUCGGGUGGAAUCCGUUUCAGCUUUUCUUCUAACUCCGCGUAGCUAAAAGCGCUAGCAGAGAUACAAACUGCAUCAUCAACUGGAUUCCCCCCUGAUGAAGCAUUGGAGAGUGGCUCCUCCUCCAGUUCUGGGGCCCCAUCAAUCUCGACCGGCUGAGUCGCUCCGGGUGAAUCCCCAUCCGGGACCACCACCGGGGCAGGUGGGUUCUCUGCUGCCAUCUCCGCCUCGCUCUCCUCCGGAUGAUCAUCCUGGACGGACGAGCAACUGACUUCGAUGGUUUCAAAGAACCGAUCCUGAAGCCACCCGAUGAGGCCAGACUUUAGGUCCCGAGUCGGACGCGACCUCCUUCUAGCUGGCCCCUUCACCGGUACAAGGGUAAGGGGGUUUGGCCCGCAAGGAGGUAAACUCUGACUCUCUGCCCCCAUUUCCUUCAUUGGGGAUGUCGUAGGAGGCAAUGCUGCAGCACAAGAAGCCUCGGCUGUGUCCCUAUCCGGAUGGGGAGAGCCGGGUUGAUUUAUUAAAGUAGCUUCUUCAGCCAGAAGAGCCAGACGGCCAGCCACUGACAUUGAAGGCCCUGAGUGGUUCAGACCCGCGAGAUUUCCGGGGCCGCUUGAAAUAGAGGGUGGGACGGGAUGUUCCGACUCUCUUAUUGUUACUUCCUUCACAUAAGUCGAAAGGGGAAUUACCAACUCCUUCGGAGGAGUUGGAAGUUUUAUUUCUUUACCCUUAUUAUGAAGAACCAGCUUCCUCUUAUUCUUCUUUUUUGCUGGAGCUUCACCUGGAAGGGAGGCUGCGCAACAUUUUUUGCCAGGAGCCUUCCGCAAAGUUCCCUCUUUCCUCCUUCCCUCCAGAUCGUCAAGGAGUGCUCGGCGUUUCUAAGCGUCUGCCUUUUGCACCUCCUUGUAGAAAGUGAGGUCUUUCAAAAUGUAAUGCUCCCCAGGCACUACCUUCUUUGGCAGCUUCCUGGGGAGAAUAUUGACGAUAUACUCUUGGGACUCCCUGACAACGGCUAACAGGUUUCACGCAGUGAGCAGCGUCUCAUGAUGCCUCUAGGUGGCGGAGAUCUCAAAUAACUUGUUCAGCCGGGCGAACGACGCUUUUUCUACCCACUCAACUGCGCGACCCCUCUUGUCCGGACCUGCAGUAUCAGCAAACAAAGAUGUUAAGCCAGAUGAUAACCCUCCUAAGCAGUACAACAAGAUGAAGGCCGGACAAAACCAGCAAACUGCCUUACUUGGAAGCACCAACGAAUGAUUUGGGGAAAAUGGCCUAUCCGGAUGCCCCAAAAGACCAGCCCAGGCACCCCGGACCAACACAUGUCCCUUGGCUCCUCCCUUUGUUGAAUCUGGCAACUCAGUCACCAGUUGAAGGGAAGGCAGGUGGGCAGGUGGGCAGCCAUGCUAAAUAUGUCAUUCUUCCCCUUCUUCAGGGAGUAGACAAAAAGAACCUCCAGCAGGGAGAGGUCCAAGUUGAAAAGCAGACUGAGAACGCUGCAUCCCAUCAGCACCCGGACUAUGUUGGGGUGGAUGAAGGCUGGUAGGAUCUGUGUGAAGUGAAGGAAUUCCUUGAACAGAGACGGGAGAGGGAACCGGAGCCCAGUAUUGAAUUGUUCCUUUGUAAAAGUGAUGGCAUUGUCUUCAGCUUUCUUAGUAGACACGGCCUCUCCAUCUAAAAAUUCCAAGAGCACGCCAUUGGGAAUACAGAAACGUUCGCGGAACUCCUUCACACUCAAUUUAUCAAUAGAUUUCUCAGCACGGGCAUCUUCGGACGAGCUAGAUGAGGUAGCUUCCUUGUUCGCAAACAUUUUUUAGCCUAGGGCUGCAAUGGAGUCUACAUGAAAGAAGGCCAACAGUCAAUAACCCCCGAAAGAGCCCUAGAAACCGAAUAACAAACUCCCAGUCGCAAAGCAACUAGCCCAACAAACCAACAACAAACCACAAAAGCAAACACAACGAAGCAAAGACAAAGAUAAGCGAACGUACCGAGCGUAAACUGGAAAAAUAGGGUGGAAAACCACACUGCAAUCACCGUCACGACGCGAAUGUUGCUAGCAGAAAACCCUAGAGCUCCCCUCAAGAGCGACGAUAUACAGAAGGUAGAAGAUAAAUGCACUAGCAGAAAAACGCAUAAGGAAAAAAUGCAAAAAGAAGGAACAAUCUGCUAUUUAUAGCGAGACAAGCCUCUCGGUAUUUUAAACAUUCAGCUGUGCCAUUAUUCCAACCAACACGCUGCCUAGGAAUACCCAGAGUCGACGGCUCAUCAUAAAUGCUUUUUCUACCUCGUCGCCCCCGCUUGCCACGUGGCCCAAUCAAGCAAAAAAGUCAACUUCAGUUUCCAAAAGAAAUCAUUUUUAACCCGCCCAUUUUGCUCAGGCAAAAAUCGGCAAGUUAAAAAGAGGGGCACUGUAGGGACCCCUCCUCCUGAGGCCGCGUGGCACACAUUUCCUAGUGACACGUGGUACGUAUUCUCAUCUGGAUUACCCAAUCUGGAUUUCCCCAAGGGUACACGUGGCGCGCUUCUCCUAUCCGGACUUCCUCAGGGAGAAGUACACGACACUCGCAAAUAUCACAUCUGGACGACCGACAUAUCCUAUCCGGAUAUGUUUGUCCGAAUCAUUGACUGAGUAAGCAAGUCUUGCACGUUAUCAUAACAGCCUGCCAUGGCCCACAUUCCGCCACCUGCAGAGUGAAAGGACAGGAAUGAAGUGACAACAAGUCACUUCCCAUGAUCUCUGACAGCCGCGGCACCUCCCACGAUCUCUGUCAGCCGCCCUAUGAGUGAUGAUGGCCCUGCCACCACCUAGGGGCAUCAUGACAAGCCAAAAUAUCUCCCUACCAUUAAAGAGGGAAACAAAGCUUCUGAUACUUAUAUAUAUGAACCUUCACACAAAGAGGAAGGUAAGUUUGUUAUACCUAGUAAAAGGUCAACUGAUUUAUCUCUCCUACCAUGGCUGACAAAACCAUCGGAGGGUGCGUCCGGACACCCCAUCCGGACGCCUUUUUCAGGUACAAUUGAAUCAAGAACCUAUAUUGGUUGAGAUCAUGCGUCCAUCCAUUUGGCAGCUACGUGGAUCGCCAGGGACGCGAGGCCUCAACAGCUUGUGCUGCACAUAUAUUUCUGGUUACCCAAAAAUUUGGACACAAUCUUGAAACCCACUCAACUUCUUUCCAGCACUACAUCUAAUAAUCUCCUUUUAAAAACCUAUAACCCUCUCAAGCUUUGUGAUGCCCUGGAGCAUUUGCUAAUUGCUACCAACCAUAGGGAAGACCCCAAGGAAAAUACUCAAAAGUUUGGGCCACCGGGAGACUCUAUUCUAUCCCAAAAAAAUUGCAGAAGAAGGCAAGCACAAUGGUCCUCUCUUUGGUGGAUUAUGGAUUCUUCCAAUACUUUCAAACAACACUAUGCAUAAAACCGGCACCUAACCCUAUGCCUUCUGAUUUUUCAACCCAUUCACUUUUCUUAUGGAUUCUUUGAUAAGUAAAAGAUUGGGCUUGGUUGGAUAUAUUAUUUGUUUUUUGUUUUUGAAAUUAGAAACUUUUAUAUAAAAAAGGUAAAAACUCUUAUACAAAAAUAAUAUACUCACCAUAUGUCCUUAAAUUUUUUUUAAUCUUCUAUUCUAAGAAACAAAAAACAAAAAGUGUAUCCAAGCCAACACUUAGGCUAUGUUUGGUUCCCGGAAAAUGCUAAGGAAAGGAAAAAAAUGUAGAGGAAAAUGGUUUUCUUUAGUUUGGAUGACAUGGAAAAUAUGAUGGAAAAAAAAAUACAAAGGAAAGUAUUAAAGAAAAUAUUGUAAUAUUUUCUCUAUUAUUUUCCUUAAAAAAUAACGAGGAAAAUAAGAGAAAAAGAGAAGGGAAAAGGGGGGGGGGGGGAUUUUAUCGGGCUCUUGUUCACCGAGGCUUCACCUCUCACUUCCUCUUCAUCAAUGGUCAUGGCUUCUCACCGUCGUCGACCCUUUCAACGGCCACCACUAUCACUCCGACCACCUUCCAGUGCUGAAAACCUACCCUUUUCAAGCACCCGAGUUCCCAUGGAUGAAGUGCGCUCUUCAAAUCAAGUUCCCAUGGAUGAAAUGAAUUCUUCAAAUCCAGUGAAUGUAUUCAGAUCCAUGUCUUCAGAUCAGGUAUGAAUUGAACUCCAAUCCACCUCAUCCUGUGAAAACUCGGAACCCAAGGUAAUCGUUCUCUCUUGGGUUCUCUAUUUGGGUUUCUAGGUUGCUUUCGCCUUUCCCGUUUCUUAAAUUUCACCAGAAUUUUUCUAAACUUUCUUGGCUUGUUGCUUUCUGGAUUUGAUCUGAUUUUUACCCUUGAUGUUCUGCUAUUGUUUACUGGCUUAUGGUUUUUUCAUAAUUUGGUUGGGGGAAUGGGUCUAUAGUUGUGUAUUGCAUAUAUGUAUCUUAUUGCUGCCUCUGAGUGCUUGGUUAUUGUUUUGUAUCAUUGUUGGUGGCAUCAAUUUUUGGAAGGUUUAUUACAUAUAUGCUGUAAUUAGGCUUGUGUUUAUUGCAUAUAUGUUGUAAUUGGGAAUUUGACAUAGUGUUCACACGGGAAAUGCUUCAUUUGAUCCAUAUUACUUGGUUUUUUCAAUGACAUGUGAAUGUAUAUUUGACAAGAGAAGACGGGUGGCUCUUCUGGCAAUGGUAAGUUGAUCGCUAACCAGCCACACCAGACCCUCUUUCAUCAUCAUACUUAGUUUUUUGAAUUACACUUCAUUUGUUUCUCUUUAAUAGCCAAAUUGGUUGAAUUGUCUAAAAAUGAAUCAAAUUCCACAUAUGACUUGGCACAAAAAUCACCUCAAUUGAUAUCAUUCCAGGGGAUUCCCAAAUGAGUCUCUGUAUUUCUUGAUUUGCUCACAUUAUGAGAGUAGUUAUAGAACUUAAGUUGUACAGUAAGCAUCAAUUGUACAAUAAGCAUCAACUGGUAGGCUAUGAUCAUUAUGACUCUCUAGGUUGUGAAAAUCUAAACAACAGCAUGUAAAAUAUUGUCUUCGAAAUCUAUUUACAACCCAAAUAAAUAAAUAAAAAUUGCAAAUCUUCAUUGUUGUAAGUCUUAUUAUGAAAGAAUAUGAACAUUACAAGGAUGAAAAAACAAAGAGUUCACAUACAGAGGCUAUCAGAAAACAGAGUAAAUGCAGGGAGCUAUGUAAAAUAAAUUGAAUUGUCUUGACUAUAUUGACAAACUGUAGAUAACAUAUUGGUAAGGCAAACUGGAUAAUGAGGAAUUCCUUACAAAAUUUGUUGCUGAGACAUUGCCUUCAUGAAUUAAAGGUUGUGCAAUCCUUCCUAAUCUCUCCUUGGUCACCAGUUUUGACGCAAACUCUCCCAAGCCUCCUCAUUACGGUGAUGAAAGCUCCAUUGAACUCACCUGGGUUGUUGGCAAAAUCAGUGACUAUAGGCUGAGAUGAAGGGUCACUGAAGAGCGCCUCAUCUGAAGUGAACAAACCCUUUCCUGCCACCAAAUUCUGGUAAUACCUUGGUUAAAAUCAUUGAGAAUUUAGUUGUAUUGAUUCUGAUAUACAUACCUUCUCCCCUCUGGCUUGUUCCAAUCACUCCAUCCGCUAGGAGUUAUCAUAUCAACAAUCCUGUAAUUUGAGUAAACUGCUGUUGAAUAUUCACCCCAAGCUCUUCUUAGGUAGAUUUUUCCAGUUCCAAUGAUUGUGCAGUUUACAAAGGAGAAUCUUGUGCCAUCGUUAGGUGAUUCCAUACGAUGAGAUGCAAUUGCUCCUGAAGUUGUCGUUAUUGAUUCGAUGACACAUCCCUAGUUCAACACAACUUCAAGUAUCAAAAUCAUACAGAAAUACCCAACAUUUGGAUUGAAGCAAUAACAGUAAUUUCUAUUAUCAAAAUGAUCAAGAUCAACCCCUUUACCUGAUAGAUUGAUCUUGCCCCAUCAAAGAUAAAGUCAAUGCUUCCUUGGAUGUAACACUGGUUAAAGUAGUGUGUUCCAGACAGAUCCAUGAGCCAAAAGGAUUGUUUGACUCCUCACAAAUUGUCGGGAUGAUAAUGAAAAACAAGUUCCCCAUAUUUCCUGUGCAUAACAUACCAGCAAAAUAUAUGAUCGACAGUUGUUGGUUAUAUUGAAAAUGGUGUACAAGAUGGUGUCAUGAUCCAGAAUGGUAAAUUUGACAUCUUGCCAUCUUACUGGUUUGUCCAAUGUUUGGUCAGGCAUGGUAUUAGUGAUGCAUAUGACUUGAAAAUAGUUACAAUCACCUACCUGCUGAACAACAACCAAGUAUAAGUGCAUGUAGAUGUUGGGGUGGUCUGGUGAUUUUUAUGAGUAUCCAACCAAGUGCUAAGCCAAUGAUAAAAGUUAGAAGUAUAUUCACUAGCAUGAGCCACCUAUAAUUUAACCAAAAAUUAUAGGUGAAACAGAUAGAGAAUAAAAUGAACUUAAAGCAACAAUUGAUGAAUGGGAAGUAUUUUAAGAGUGAACAGAACUGAACUCACAUUGUAGCCAAACUACUAGCUGUAACUGUAUCACCCAGGUUGCUAGCUACCAGCGCAGGAUAGAAUAUAUAGAACACAAGCUACUCAGAACACAUCAAAUUUUGUUGUCAUGGGUAGGGAUGGAGAGAGUGGGACACAAGAAUAUAUUCAAGAAGAAAAAAAAACAUUUAUGAGCAAGCAAGCAUAUACACCGCACAAAAUUAAAAAAUUAACCAAAAGAAAACUUCAAACAUGGAUCUCUUAGAGGUUUGAAGCUAUAAAGCAGUGUAAUGUCAACUAAAUGGCUUACAAGAGUAUGAAGAUGCAUACUGUUCAUCUUCAAAUUCUACUCAAAUGGCAAGGGUAGUCCAUGUGAUGUCCAAGAAUGCAAUAACCUCCAACCAACACAAUUUACAAAGCUAAUAUUCCUGUUUUGGGUGUUCCAUUUCCAUGAUUUUCAGUUUAAUUGCAGAGAAUGCACCAGUACCCAAAGUCGAAUGUGUGUAUUACAUCCUAGAAUACAUAUAACUAGAUUCUAGAAUUGCAAUGUAUUCUGUUGCAGACCUAGAAGACCACAGUCUUCAAACUAGAAAAAGAACGGUUUUGUUGCUUCAUUAAACUCCCCUCUUUAAUUGUUUCGUCUAUGUGAGUAAAUUACAUUGACCUCAUCUGAGAAUGGGCCUGAUGAGAGGGACCUGAAAUUCAAAUUGAAAUUUUCAAACAGAGAUCUCCAAGCAAUAACAUUAAUUAUAAAAAAAAACUAAUAAUACUAUCUUCUUAAGAUUACUUUUUCUUUGACUCAAAGCAGGAAUAAUGCUUUCUCAAAACUUUUUCUAUUAUUUGUGCAGCCAAAGCAAGUUCAUCCUGAUAAAAAUCCGAGUGACCCUUUGGCAGUUGAACGAUUUCAAGUAAGUUCACUUCUUUGUCAUUCAUUCAUCAUCUUCUUCUUAAUACUCUACUCUCCUUCAUUCAUCCCAAAACCAAGUGGAGGACCAAGUAUUCUUAAGUAAUCAUACAAAUUUCAAACUGAAUAUUGAACUUAGAAAGAGUUUCAUUUUGUUAUCAUGCUUUAAACUAGACAUUUCAACUCUAGUAAGGUUUGUUUUACUAUUUCAAGAAGUGGUAACUUGUCAUUAAUUUAACUAUCAUAAAUUAUCAUAAUCAAUCUUAAAUUAAGUUAAUUUAACUAUCACAUUUCAAGACUGAAUAAUGACUUUACUAACUCAUUCCUCUUACUUUGCUAUCACGUAGACUUAUAAUGAAGAGUGGCAAAGACUUAGAAGAUGGGCUGCAACUUGUGUAGCUAUGUAUGCUACAUAUGCAGCAAUUCUUGUUUCAAUUUAUCAUCACUCAAACUAUUUGGAGAGAUCAAUCUCUAAUGAAGGAGAUUAUGAACGACAUGCUUUGAUGGAAAGACUUACACUAAUGGAUAAUGAAGAUUGUUAUAAUCAACUACGAAUGGGAAAGGAUGCAUUCACAAGACUAGUAAACAUUCUUCGGGGAAUAGGUCGUCUUAGAAAUAGUGCACAUAGUAAUGUAGAAGAACAAGUUGCCAAAUUCCUUCACAUUGUUGGUCAUAAUUUAAGGAAUAGAACUAUGAAAUUUUAUUUCAAGCGUUCUAGUGAAACUGUUAGUCGUCACUUUCAUCAAGUUCUUAGAGCUAUAAUAUCUUUAGAUGAUGUCUUCUUAAAGCAACCUGAUGGAUUAAAGUGUCCUCAAGAAAUCAAGGACAAUACCAAAUUUUUGCCCUACUUUAAGGUAAACUUACUUAUCUAAUAAACAUCAUUAGAAUAUUAUUUAUAUUUCAAAAUAAACUAAUAAUUUUGUUUCUUUAUAGGAUUGCAUAGGGGCGAUUGAUGGGUCAUAUUUUCGUGUAAAAGUGUCAAAUGAUGUUGUACAAAGGUAUCGAGGGCGAAAGUACUAUCCAACACAAAAUGUUUUAGCAGCAUGUUCCUUUGACUUGAAGUUCACAUAUGUUUUACUUGGUUGGGAAGGAUCUGCAUCAGACUCGAGAAUCCUAGAUAAUGCAUUAAUGAGAGAUUUUGAUAAAUUGAUUGUUCCACAAGGUGAUUAUUGGUGAUUAGAUAAUAAUUUAUUAGCUCAAGUGACUAUUACUAGUAACAAAGAUCCUUUGUCUAUGCUUCUUAAGUAAAUAUUAUUUGGCUAAUGCGGGUUUUCAGCUAAAAAUUAGAUUUCUUACCCCAUAUAAAAGCACUCAUUACCAUUUAAAAGAGUAUAGUGUUCAUCAACCAAAAAAUGCUUGAGAGGUUUUCAACCUUCGACACUCGUCCUUGAGAAAUGCAAUUGAAAUAACAUUUGGUAUUUUGAAGGAAAGGUUUCCAAUAAUAGCUAGUGGGACGGAGCCACAUUACCCUAUUAACACACAAUCUGAUAUUAUACUAGCAUGUCGUAUCCUCCAUAUCUAUCUCAUGGGUGUUGAUCCAAAUGAAAGAUUAAUAGCAGAGGUCGAUAGAGAGCUUUUUAGCGAAGAAGCGGAGUUUGAAUCAAUGGUCUUGAGUUUAGCUAAAAAAUGCAAGGAAUGAGAAAUCUUAAGGGAGAAAAUAGCCAUGGAUAUGUGGAAAGAUUACAAUAGAAACCAUUGAUGAGUCCUUUUAUUUUAUGGUUCUUUUCUUAUAUAGUUUUUUGUGUUUCAUAUUAAGUACGAUGAUUGUAUUUAGAACUAUAACUCAUCUAGUUAAAAUCACACUUUGAAUGAGUUACAAUGAAGUUAUUAUUAUAUCUCCUCCUCUUGACUUUUCAUUUUAAACAUAUAUAUAUAUAUAUAUAUAUAUAUAUAUAUAUAUAUAUAUAUAUAUAUAUAUAUAUAUAUAUGUAUUAUUAUUUCAGAUGGAACAUAGUGAAGGCUUUGAAGUACACAAAAGUGUAAGUGAAAAAAGAAACUUGACUUGGAUUGAUGAAAUGGAUAACCUUUUGGUUAAUCGAUUAAUGGAGCGAAUGCAUAAAUGGCAAAAGAUAGGAGGAGUCUUCACCAAGACAGCUUAUGCAAUGGUUGCGCAAGAAAUUGGGGAAAAUUUUGAAUUGAGUUGUAACUUGGAGCACAUAAAAAAUUGAAUGAAAACUUUAAAAAAAAAACUUUAAUGUUGCUUAAGAAGUUUUACAAAAUGGUAGUGGAUUUGGUUUCAAUGAAUCAACUCAAAUGAUCGAAGCUACCACGGAAGUAUAGACUACCUACACUAAGGUGAGUUAAUUAUUAUUUUUGAGUUAUUAGAAAUAAAAAUUUUGCAUGUAAUGUAGAGCUAUAAAUUUCUAAUAGACAUUAUCACAAUUGAACUCGAGUUUUGUUAAUAUUUGUUUUUUCUGAUGUUAAAAGGCACACCCAGGAGCAUCUCAGCUCAGAUACAAACCUAUUAGAAAUUAUGAUAAGUUGUCCAUUCUUCUUGGAAAAGAUUGAGCAAUAGGAAGUCUUGCUGCAGGUGCAAAAGAAAGACAACUUCGUUGGGCCUAGGAACAGAAUUUGGAUGGCACAAUUCAAUUAGGAUCAUCACAACAUGGGAUCAAAGAUGAAACAUUUGCUUAUGUUGAAAAUGAAGCAACAACUGAGACAUCUUUCUCAUCUACAAAUGCAUAUGUUUCUGCACCAAAGUCAAACAAAGAAACAAAAAAGUGAAAAACAAAAUAUGCUGAUAUUGUAAGUGAAGAAUUGAGGUCAAUUAGAGUUGGAAUGGAUGCAGUUGUUGCGGCUCUUGAUAGAAGCAACCUUCAAAAUUGUACAGAAGAGCAAUUGUUUGAAGAGAUUGCUAAGAUUGGAGGCAUGAGUGAUGUAUCUCAUAAGAAAGCAUAUCAAGCUCUUACCGGUGAUGUGAGUGCAGCUCGAGCCUUCCUUGCUUGUCCAAUUGAUAGGCGUAAGCUUUGGCUGUCAGUUAAAUUUGGACCUACUUUUUUUAUGCCUAAUUUGAGAUGGAGAUUAUUUUUAUUUUUAGUUUUACUUUUGUUUUGGGACUAUACGUUAAGUUUUGAUAUUAAAACUCAUGGAUGAUAGUUGACUAUUAGAAAUUGAUCUAUUAUAUUUUUAGACUUACGAAGACUUUUUUUAUUCAUCUAUCUUUUCAACAUGUUAUUCAAUUAUUCCUUUGUUUGGUUAGCUAAAAAAUGGAGGAAAUUAUGCUUUUUUCGGUUUAGACCAGCUUGUUGUUUCUUGAGUUUUCAAUAAUUUACAAAUUGAAUUUCAAAUUCUGGACUUCUUUUUUCAUUGAAUUAUCUUAUUAUCUAUGUUUUUGCGGCUACCAAACAAAGCACAGAGUUCAGUUUGAUUGUCUCAGGUGCUUAAGGUGAUAUGUUUUGUAUAGAUAAUUGGGAAACUUUUGAUCGUGUUUUGUUUGUUUAUUUUGAUGAUCUGUUGCCUUGGAACACUAAGAUGUCUUUUUGUAGUUUUUGUUUUUCUGUGGCAAACUUGAUAAUUUCUUUUCUAGUGAUUUUUCUUUUAGUAAUUAAAGGGUUUUUUGAUAUGCUGUAGCAGUUUAAUCAGAUCAUAAAUUAGUUUUGUGAUUUUCUUUGGAUUCUUGUUAAUUCUGGAGGCCUAGGGCAGUGAGAUUACGGUCUCUUUGAUUCCAAUUAAUUUAAUCAGUCUAUGAUUAAAUUGAGCUUUGAACUUGUCUUUUUUUUAAAAUAAUUAAACAAGGUCUUUGUUCAUUUAAAUCGAUUUACUUUGAUUGAAAAUCAUGUCAUGUUUUCCCUAAUUUAGGCUGAUGUAAUUAAAUCGAGAUUUGAAUGCUUUUUUUUUAAUGGUUUACUAUACAUUUAAAGUAAAUUAAUAAUGUAGGCAAAAUUUUAAAACAUGAUAAUUUCGUCGUUAAAAGUUUUAAAAUAUUAUUAUUCUUUUUUGAUAAAAAAAAAUUAUAUAAUCUCAAUAUUUAUUUUUAAAAAUUGACGGAUUUUUUAUGAGAGGUAAAAGAAAUUAAAAGAAGAAAAACAUAUUUUGUUUUAAACGGUAGCUUCAACAUUCAUGAAAAAUGAAACUUGAGUGAUUAGAUUGGUUGGGUUGGUUUGGGCCUAUAUUUGGAGAUUUUGAAGGAGCUCCUUAGUGAGUCUUGGCCGAAUGUAAGAUCGAAAUAUGUAAAAAUAAAAAGUUACUAUUUUUUAUACAUAAAUCUUAUCAUUAUUAAUAAAAAAAUAAUAACAGAGACUUUUUAUGAGCAAUGUUUUAUGUCGAAAAAUUCACGUUUUUCAACAGUUUUUUUAUUGAAUUAAUUGAUUUUAUUAUUCAACAAAUUAAUAACCAUUUAAAACAAAUUGUUGAUUUUAUUUUCCUUCUAUUUUUCCUUAACUUUUUUUUUUUCCCUUGAAUUUUCCAAGGAUAACCAAACAAGUGAAAAAAAUUAUAUUCAUUUUCUUACCUUUUUCUUUCCUUCCAUUUUUCCUCUCAAUUUUACUUCUCUCACAUUUUUGGGGAACCAAACAGAGCCUUUGUGACUUAGUGAGCAAGUAUAAUGAUCAGUUGAUUUUUAUGAGUGGAUCAAGUCAGUUCUCUAAAGCAUAUUUCUUUCUUUUUUUUCAGGGUUGUUGUUUUAUUGUCACAUUCGUAUCACAUUUUCACUUAUAUGAUAAAAAUUAAUAUAUAUAUAUAUAUAUAUAUAUAUAUAUAUAUAUAUACACCAUAUAAUUAAUCAAAUGGCUAUGUAACUUAGUGCUUCUCAACCUGUUGUGUUAACCAGCAUAUCUUAGUAGCGGACAAAUGAGCAUGGGAGGCCGGAACAGGCAAAUGAGUUUAGAAAGAAGAAUGGGGAGCAACAAGUUUUUGGAAAGGAGAUGCUUCUUCCAAAUGCCUCACCGCCUCUUUCUCACAUCACACUUACCAGUCAAAUUCCCUCCUACCAGUAAACCUCGCAUGCUUCUCCCCUAAGUCAUCCUCCUCCUUUCCCCCUGUAAAACACACUACCUCUCAAUCUCAUUCCAAAAAUACCACCUAUCAUGUCUGUCCAUAUCAUAGUGUUCCCAUGUUUUGGCCAAGGCCAUCUCCUCCCUUGCUUUGAGCUCUGCAAACACCUCGCCUCCCGCACCUUCAACACUACCCUCAUCAUCUCCUCCAAUCUCUCCUCCUCCAUCCCCUCCGAUCUCCGCCGUAUUCCUCUCAUCCACAUCUUUGAGAUCUCAUCCUCAUUUCCUCCUCCUCCUCCGCCAUCGUCGCCCUCCCCGGAUUCCGAUCCCAUGAGCCACCAUCAUCGCCACCAGCAUCAGAUGGGUACGGCCAUCGAAUCCCUCCUCUCUUCCAGAUCCACAUCCCCAGACUACGUCCCACCCCUCUGUGCCAUAAUCGAUGUGAUGAUGAGCUGGAGCAAAGGUAUUUUUCAUAAGUUUAACAUCCCACUCGUUUCUUUCUUCACCUCCGGUGCCUGCUCCGCCGCCAUGGAGUACGCCUCCUGGAAAGCCGGCGCCUUCAACAUCAAGCCCGGCGAAGUCCUACCCCUUCCCGGCCUACCCGAAGACAUGGCCUUGACUUACUCCGACCUUCAACGCGGCCCUCACGGUCCUCCUGGCGGCCCACCUGGACCCCCCGGUUCAGGUCGCCCACCUGGACCACCCGAUGCAAGAGGUCCACCACGGUCGGGUCCCAAGUUCGGGGGGCCACCCAAACCAGGGCACCAGCCACCGUGGGUCGUCGAGGCAGCGGGCUCGAUCGCGCUUAUGAUCAACACGUGUGACGACCUGGAGCGUCCGUUCAUCGAGUACGUGGCCUACGAAACCGGAAUCCCGGUCUGGGGUGUGGGCCCGCUUUUGCCAGAUCAGUACUGGAACUCAUCCGGUUCGCUCCUCCACGAUCGAGACAUCCGACCCAACAGGAAAUCCAGCUGCACUGAGGAGGAGGUGAUCCAGUGGCUAGACUCCAAGCCCCGUGGAUCCGUCCUCUACGUGUCAUUCGGAAGCGAGGUAGGUCCUACCAUGGAGGGCUACGCCCAACUGGCGCUUGCAUUAGAAGCCUCGAACCGGGCAUUCAUCUGGGUGAUCCAACCCGGUUCAGGCCGGCCAGGUCCACCUCGACCACCGGGUUCAGACUCAAACGAAGACAGCGGAUACUACCCACAUGGAUUGGAGGAGAAAGUAGGGAAAAGAGGUCUGAUAAUACGUGGGUGGGCACCACAACUGUUGAUACUGAGUCACCCAUCGACAGGUGGAUUUCUCUCACACUGUGGAUGGAACUCCACUGUGGAGGCAACAGGGCGUGGAGUGCCCUUUUUGGCUUGGCCAAUCCGUGGAGACCAGUACUACGAUGCGAUGCUAGUGGUGAAACAUCUCAAAAUUGGGUACAUGGUGUUUGCUAAAGAUGCUUCUGAAACCAUCGUAAAAGAGGCCAUAGUUGACGGAAUAGAGAAGGUGAUGAGUGAUAAAGACAUGAAGAAAAGGGCGGAGAUGAUAAGUGGUAAGUUUGGGAAUGAGUUUCCGGCGACUUCGGCUGCUGCUUUGGAUGCUUUUAGGGAUUUUAUCAACCAAAGGGCUCCAUAAGCACUUAUAAUUAAUGUAUCAUCCAUCCAUACACUUUUUUUUUUUUUUUUAAAUGUAUUUACAUAUCAUGUAUCAUGGAGGCCUAACGUAUUAACAGUACG